GGAAUUGGGUGGUCUGCUAAAAAGUCUGCUAGCGCUUGUCCUUUUAUCGCCUUUUGGGGAAUAUAGACAAUGUCAUAUUGUUGGAGUAGAACCGCCCAUUUGGCUAAGCGUCCAGCGAUGAUUGGCCUGGAUAGAACAUACUUUAUAGGGUCUGCUUUUGCCACUAGAUGAACCGUGAAGGCCUGCAUAUAAUGCCUCAACUUAUCAAUGGCAAAGAAAAGUGCAAGACACAUCUUUUCGAUAGGAGAAUAGUUAACUUCAGCCCCAAUUAAUGUUCUGCUUAGAUAGUAGAGAGAACGCUCCUUUCCCUUUACCUCUUCUUGUGCCAGUAAUGCUCCUAAGGACCUUUCUUGUGCAGCAAUGUACAAUAUUAGUGGUUUGUCAGGUACUGGAGCUCCCAGCACUGGGGGAGUAAGCAAGUAUUUCUUUAUGCUAUCAAAAGCGUUCUGACAAGCUUCAUCCCACACAAAAUUUUCUCCUUUUCUCAUCAACUUUUGAAAAGGUUGACACCGACCGGCCAAGUUAGAGAUGAACCUUCGGAUGUAAGCCAGUCGUCCUUGGAGACUUCUUAGGUCAUGCAAACUUUUAGGUCUUGACAUCUUCUGAAUGGCAUCAAUCUUGGACUGGUCUAUUUCGAUCCCUCGAUGCCUUACAAUGAAGCCAAGAAAUUUUCCUGAAGUUACACCAAACGCACACUUGAGAGGGUUCAUCCUUAGCUGAUAUUUUCGCAAGCGAUCAAACACGACUUUUAGAUCCUUCAAAUGGUCUUGUCGUCUCUUUGUUUUGACUACAAGAUCAUCAACAUAACAUUCAACAUACCUGUGCAACAUAUCAUCAAACACUUUCUGCAUGGCACGUUGAUAAGUAGCGCCGGCAUUUUUCAAUCCAAAGGGCAUCACCUUGUAACAGUAUAUUCCCUUUGGAGUUCUGAAAGCUGUCAUUUCUUCAUCUGAGAGGGCCAUCCGUAUUUGAUUAUAUCCAGACGACCCAUCCAUAAACGACAACGCCUCGUGUCCAGUAGUUGCAUCAACCAUGAUUUCGGUGAUGGGCAAGGGAAAAUCAUCUUUAGGGCAUGCAUUAUUCAGAUCGCGAAAGUCUACACAAACGCGAAGUUGUCCAUUUUUUUUCUAACAGGGACAAUGUUUGCUAUCCACGUUGGAUAUUUGACCUCGCGAAUGAAUCCUGCUUCGAUUCUUCGAACUACUCGUUUUAUUACCUCGAUUUGAGGGAUAAGCUCCGGUCGAAAACGUCGUUGUGUGUUUUAAAUCGGUCGAUAUCCAACGGGUUUAAUUGUGCAAGAUGAUGGACUGCUACUUUUGGGUCAAGUCCUGGCAUCUCCUUGUACGACCACGCAAAGAUGUCCCUGUAUUCGGUGAGCAAACUCAUAUAUUUAUCCACCUCUUCAUUAGAGAGGGACGCACUAAUGAAAGUCGAACGUGGUUCCUCUAUUGUACCAAGGUUCACCUCUUUUAGCUCGUCUACAGUAGAUUGACCACCAUCCUCUAAACUUUGUGGGGCAUUUUCUGCGUCUUCUUCAUGAGUUCCAGUCUCUGAUUCCUCAAUAAUGGUGAUGUGAUGACAUGAAGUUUCACCUUCCCCUUGUUCCGACCCUUCUUUUUCAGGAUUCGUUAGUAUAACAUCAUGUCUUUUUACCUUUAACGAACCUUGACUUGUAUUGAGAGUAACAAAAGUUUUUCUUUUCAUGCGAGAAGGAACGUUGCUAUGAAUUUCUCCAUUUUCCUUUGUCUCGCAAGGAAACUUCUUACUACGAUAAUUAUCGACAUCUGUAUGCUUAAUUCGACGCCAAACUUUCACACGAGACAUUGGUUCCUUCUUCUUUGUAUCUAUGUUGGAAUCAAUGUUGUCGUGUGAUCCUUUAUCCCCGAGAUGAUUAAAAAUCGGAGCACGGGGUGCUUGUACAUUUUUCUUUUUAGACACACCUAGCCUUUCAAAGGCUGAUGGUCUUGUAGUUGUCAAGGCAUGGCAUGUGCUUUCUUCCUUUAUGGGAGUCGUAGUUAGCCUUCGAAAGACCGAAUGUCUCUCAAGGUUUGGUACUGACUGGAGCCUUUCUCUUUCUGCCUCUGUCAUGCUUAGCCUUUCAAAUACUACGGGACGUGCAACAGAUGGUCUAAUUCGAUCAAAUACUGAGAUUCUCUGAUUAUCACCUUCUUUUACGUCAGUAUUGUCAUCCUCCUCUAUAGUUAUAUGAUUGAUGUCAACCACUUUUUCCUUCCCCUUUUUAGUUAUACGGAUCGGUUCUGGCGACUUGUAUCCGAGUCCUUUUCUCGACACGGGUAUAGAAUGUCCUUCCCGUAGAAGCUUCUUUUGAGUUGAGGAGAGCUCAGGUCGGUCAUGAAUUUCCAAGCUUUUAAACUCGGUGUGAGCUGUGAAGUCAUAACCUGCUUUCGCCAUCAAUUUGUAAGCCUUGGGGUCGAAUCCGUCUUUCGUUCGCCUUUGGGGCAAGUUUGCUUCCACCAGAUCUACCUUUACCUCUGCUUCGCUAUCUUAGUUAGUGGUGUAGUGAAGCUUUCUUUUAUGAUUUCGAUGUCACCAACUUUCAAACCUUUUGGAGACUCCAUGAAUGGUGAUUCGCCUUUCUUGCGCCUUGACAGAGGGACAUAACGCAAAACUGGUGUGUUUGCAGCAUUUUCAUCUUCAAGAUCAUACCCUUUGUGUUGCGAGUGUAUGCUUCACCCUUUCCAGAGUUAAAGGUUCUCGCACUUUCAUGUGGUUCUGUGGUUGCGAGUGAUUUCAGUUGUGAAUUAUCUUCUCCUUUUGUAAGAGGGGUUUCUGCAGGCAAAACUUCUAAAAUAUUAUUAUUCUUUUGAAUAAAACUUUGCAUCUGCGAAGUGAGACUCAGCUUCUGAGAAUGGAUUAGAGUCGGCUUCAACCUUCUUUACACCGUCCUGAUAAAAUUUGAAGCACUGAUGCAGUGUUGAAGUUACUACUCCGUUUCCAUGAAUCCAAGGACGCCCUAGUAACAACUUGUAAGUAGUCCUUGAGUCUAUGACAUGAAACAAUGCACUGGCCUUUAGGUCGCCAAUUAUGAGUUCUAACCGUAUCAUGCCUAUUGCUCUUUGGCUACCUUGGUUAAAACCUUGAAUUACUAGCUUGCUAUUUGAGAGCUCGUCCAUCAAGAUGCCUAAUUGCCACAUAGUCGACUUUGGCAUUAUGUUGACAGCUGAGCCAUUAUCAAUGAGGAUUCGAUCGACUCUCUGUUCUCGAACGUAUCCAGAAACAUACAAAGGUCUAUUAUGAAGUUUAGAUCCCAACAACAAAUCCUCAUCUGAGAAGUCUAUAGACAUACAAUAAGAACCACUCUCAUAUGUCAUAGUCGGAGUACUCGAACUUGAUGCUCUUGAAUUUAGCAAUGCAUCAAUAAGGAUGGUUUUGGUCUCUUGAGGAAGUGAUAAUAGAUCCUCUACAUUAAACCUUGAAAGGUCUUUUGAUACUCCCUCUCCUUCUAGUGAUCUUGGAGGGAUUAUUUCUUCCUCCGUUGUGUUGAUAGCAUGACACGCAACGACUUCUGGGUCUUCAUCCUGAUGAUCACAAAGGAAGCUUUUUGGAAGGAAGUCUGCCAAGGUCACUAAGCGUUGAGGUCGAGAGAAAUUCAUGUCUUCAUUAUGUACGAGCUUAAGCUUAUGAGUCUUCUUCUUUUUCUUAUUCUUUUGAGUCUUAUUUCCUCUUCUAUAGUUUUGGUAAGAGCGAGACUCUCUUUGGGUCGGGAUCGACUGUCUUUUCUUUCGGUGGGUCACCACUAUCCACCCUUCAUCGUCUUCUUCAAUUGGUCUUUUCUCUCCUUGAGGAUCCUCGUAUGAGAUUUCCUGAAAGAAUUGGACAACUAUAGGCUCAAAGGUCCCGAACUGGACCAAGCUUUUCCUUUGCUCAAAAAUCAAUCUCGACGAAGAAGCCUCAGACAUUAUCGUCACUUCAGCGUGGUUUGUUUGAGCUACUUCCUCCAAAUCUAGCUCAAUCCUUUUCUCACGAGCCAACCUUAGAAUUAGCUCCUUCAGCACGAAGCAUUUCUCUACUGGAUGACUGAUGACCCGAUGAUACUUGCAGUAAUUGGGAUCAUCUACCUUUCCUGCUUGCUCAGGUCGUUUACAUUCUGGCAGCUGGAUCAGCUGCUUCUCUAGUAGUUGCUCUAGCAUGUCAGCGAUAUCUGAAUCAGGAAAUGGGUAAACUUUUUCCUGCCUUUCUUUUAAAGUCAGACGUCGCCUUUCGCUUCCAUCAUCCUUCUUUUCAACCCUCGCUUCCUUUCCUUUGGAGAAUUUCAGCGGGGUUGUGUUUACGACCAUAGAUUCUUUCGCGGUGCUUUUCACUAUCUUUUCAGCACCUUUCAUCUCUUUCUUAUCUUUCUUUACUUCAGGAACAAGAAAAUCUUUAGUUCCUCUACUGGCGAUGCUCAACUCCAUAUCAUGAGCUCGAGUUGCCAGUUCUUCAAAUGUGCGGGGCUUUAUUCCCUGCAAAAUGUAGAGGAGUCCCCAGUGCAUGCCUUGGGUGCACAUUUCUACAGCCGACAGUUCGGUGAGCCGAUCUUUACAGUCAAGACUUAGAGCUCUCCAUCUAUUGAUGUAGUCGAUGACUGGUUCUCCCUUUCUUUGUUUCGUAUUUGUAAGCUCCAUCAUGCUUACAGUACGCCUGGUGCUGUAGAAGCGAUUGAGAAACUCCUUUUCUAGUUGUUCCCAACUCUCAAUGCUUUCUGGCUCCAGAUCAGUAUACCAUUCAAAAGCAUUUCCUUUCAAGCUUCGAACAAAUUGUCUGACUAGUUGAUCUCCUCUUGAUCCUGCAUUCUCACAUGUUUCGACGAAGUGAGCAACGUGCUGUUUUGGAUUGCCCUUUCCGUCAAACUGCUGGAAUUUUGGAGGCUGAUAUCCAAGCGGCAUUCUCAAGUUGUCGAUUCUUUUGGUGUAUGGUUUAGAGUACAUGAAAGAAGUCUGAGAUGGGCCUCCAUAUUGUGCUCUGAUGGAGCUUGUGAUCAUAUCUUGUAAUUGUUGAACCGAGAGAGAAGCCACAGAAGUUGAUUGUUGUUGUGGCUGAUUUUCUUGUACCACGUUCUUCCCUUUGUCAUCAACUUUAACGACAGGAGUUUGACUCGAUUCAGCAGUUUCACGAGUCUGCAUCUGCUCCUUUAAAGCUGCAAUUUCGUGGUCUCGUUCAUCAACAACCUUCAUCAGGAGAUUAAUUUUUCUCUCCAUCUCCGCCAUGGCAGUCUCGACUGCUACAUCAGCCAUCAUGACGGACAUCACAUCUGGGUGUGCUUCUUUCAGUGACCUGCUAGAGGCAGAAUCAUAAUCAUUAUAUAGAGGAUUUUCCUUGAUGACAAUUCCAGCUUUAGGAGAUUCCAUCAAUUGCUUCAGGAUGCUCUGCGCGAUGGCGGAACCUUGGUCUUGCCCUUGGAUGAUCCCCUUGGAACGACUACGGGUGAUAGGUCCCGUGUAGGUGUCGCUUGCAGCUGAAGAUUUGGAUGCAGCUUUCUUUGAUGCCAUUGAUUUGCUUGUAGAUCUAGAUGAUGAGAGAGAGAUGAGAGGUAGAGAUGGUCCCACUGGGCGUGCCAAUUUGUUCGCACGAGAUUUCCGGAGAAAUUUAAUUCGUGGACUUGAACUUGGGUUGAUGUUGUAUUUUUGUUGAUUUGAUGCGAUGCGGUUCAAUCUCUAGAAUUUGAUCCUCUGAUUCUCUCUCAACUGUAUGUCUACGCUUGAUUUGGAGGAAGCGGAGCACGUGAUGUUCUUGAAGUUUGUUGAACGUCUACGCUUGAUUUGGAGAAGCGGAGCACGUGAUGUUCUUGAAGUUUGUUGAACGUCUACGCUUGAUUUGGAGAAGCGGAGCACGUGAUGUUCUUCAAGUUGGUUGAAUGCUUACGCUUGAUUUGAGGAAGCGGAGCACGUGAUGUUCUUGAAGUUGGAGUCUUGGAAGAAAGUUUGUAUCUUCAAAACAGCUUCAAUCUUCGAGGGUGGUCAACUUCAGAAGUUAGGGAGUCUUCUAGCUUUUGGAAGAAUUCUCUCUGGAUCUUCUAGAGUCAAAAUUUUCCAACCCCUACAAAUGAGGAGAAUUCCUCUAUUUAUAGAGUUCACUGGUGGGCUUUAUGGGUUUGAACUUGGUUGGUCCAUGGACCAGACCCAUGGGCUCAACCAUAUGGACUUAGGUUAUAUUUAGUCUUUGGGCUCAAUUAAGCUUAUUUUUUUGGCUUAAUUGAACUUAGUCCAAGUAAAUAAUAUUUAAUUGAACUAAAAUGAUUAACUUAAUCCAACGAUUAAUAUGAAAACAUGUGGCAUUCUUAGAAUGACCAAUUUAUUUAUUUUAACUCUUUAAUUUGGAGCAUGUGUCAAUUUUAAUUAGUCCCAAAUUUAAUUAUUUGUACUUUUCAUCAUUAACUUAAUAAAUGAUGUGGCAACUUGUGAUUGGUCUCAAAAUUUCUUACAGAGCUCUUUUUUUCUAAUUUUUUUUGUCAUCUAAUGCAACUUUUCUAAAAUAAUAUCAUAUUGAUUGUUCCUCGAAAAUACAUAAAUUUACUAAGAUGGUAUAUGCUUAUUAACAAGAUACAUAAGUUCACAAAUUGCUCUAAGAUAUAGUACUUUUGGACUAAGGAGUUCUUCGUUAUCAUCUCGAGGUCGAAAUAUAUCUUUCUUUACAUCUAGUGAACGAACUUGCAUUUGAAUGUUCAAUGGAUGUGCUUUAUCUAUAUAAAAUAUUUUCAAAAAAUUUCUUGUAUUAGUUGAUUGAUGAACAAAUGUCUCAUUUGCUAAAUGCUCAAUUUGCAAAUCGAGGCAAAAUUUUGUUUUUUCAAGGUCUUUCAUCUUAAAUUCUUUUUUAAGAUAUUUUAUUGUCGUUAAAAGCUCUUCAAAACUUUCAAUUAUAUUUAAAUAAUCAAUAUAUACAGUUAUAAAAGCAAAUCUUGACUAUUAUUUCUUUGUAAAAACACAUGAACAUAUUGGAUUAUUUUGAUUUCAUUUUUCAACAAAUAUUCAAUCAAGUGAUUGUACCACAUUCGUUCUGAUCAUUUUAUUCCAUAUAAUGAUUUCUGUAAUUUUAUUGAAUAUAGUUUCCGAGAACUUGAUUUAUAUGUUUCAUAUAUCUUAAAUCCUUCUAAAACUUUAAUAUAAAUAACAUUAUCAAUAGAUCUAUAGAAAUAUGUUGUAACUACAUCCAUAAGAUGCUUGUCCAAAAUUUUCCUAUACAAUCAAGUCAAUUAAAAAUCUUAAUGUGAUUGCAUCCACCAUCGAAGAAUAUGUCUUCUCAUAAUCAAUCCAGGUUUUGGUGAAAAACUUUGUGCAACUAACUUGCUUUAUAUCUUGUUAUUUCAUUAUUUUCAUUUCUUUUUUUCACAAAUACUCAUUUAUAUCCCAUAGGUUUCACACAUUCAGGUGUUUGGACUACUGGUCCAAAAACUUAACAUUUUGAAGGUGCAUUUAAUUUUGCUUCAAUUGCUUCUUUCCACAAAGACCAAUAUUUUCUCGUUCAACAUUCUUCAACAGAUUUUGGUUCAGGAUCUUCAUUUUUUGAUAUAAUAUUAAGAGUAACAUUAUAUGCAAAAAUGUUGUCAAUAACUAUAUUAGUUUGGUUCCAUCUUUUUUUUUUUUUUUUGUCAUAACAUAGUUUAUCGAAAUAUCAUUAUUAUCCUCAAUUGUUUUAUUUUCUUUGAUAUUUUUGUCAUAAGUUAAAUUUUGGAUUUCUUCUAGAAUAUUCAUAUCUUUAAUCGAGUUAUUGGCUCAAUUUCUUUUUCGAGAAUCUUUGGAACCUACAAGUCUACCACACUUCUAACAUGUUCCAAAUUUAUUAAUGACAACUUGUUACGUUGUGAUAUCAUUUUUUUAUGGGACAUUUGCAAAUGUUAUAUGUGAUUUAGUCACUUUCUUUCCAUCUGCAAGUGCAUUUUGGUAACUGAUUUGCUAUAUUUUGCAAAUGAAUUUUUUUUUAACUUCAAAUUUACAUUAAUCUAUACAUUCCAUGUAAUUUCUUUUUCCAACUUUUUAAUUUUUCUCCCUAAUGUUGGAAAAAUUGUCUCAUUGAAAUGACAAUCAGUAAAUUGAGGACCCAUCUUAGUGGGUUGUGAUGGAGCAAUUGAAACAUGUAUUGCACAUCCAAAAAUUCUCAAAUGCAAAAUAUUUAGUUCAUAGUCAUAUGUUAAUUGUAAUGGCGAAUAUACACAAGUGACACAACAUGCAAAAUAGCAUGUCCCCAUACAGAUGUAAGAAUUUAGUUUUCAUAAGCAAUGGUCUAGCAAUUAAUUGCAAAGAUUUUACAAAAUGGUUAUGUUAUGAACAUGAGCUACAUGAUGUUCAACACUUAUUCCAAUAGCAUACAAUAAUUAUCAAAUGCUUGGGAUGUAAACUCACUAGAAUUAUCAAGUUGAAUGUUCUUAACUGUAUAAGCAGGAAACUGUGCUCUUAACUUAAUUAUUUGAGCAAGUAAUUUUGUAAAUGAAACAUUUCAACUUAAUAAUAAGCCCAUAUGUGACCAUCUGCUGGAUGCGUCAAUUAAGACCAUAAAAUACUUAAAUGAUUCACUUGUUGGGUUAAUGAGUCCAUAAAUAUCACCAUAAAUUCUUUCUAAAAAUGUCGAUGAUUCGGUUUCCACUCUAGCUAUUAAUGGUUUAAUUAUUAUUUUGCCUUGAGAGCAAGUAUCACAUGAUAAAUUCAUUAGAUUGAUAAAAAAUCUUUUGGUUCUUCAAUUGAUGUCCAUGUAAAUUUUCAAUAAUUAUUCUCAUCAUUAUAAAUCAUGUAUGACCCAAUCGAUUAUGUCAAAUUGCAAAUAUGUCUGUAUUCAUGAACUUCAGGUUUAUUAUUGCAUAUGCUUCAAUUACUCAUAUAUGAGUAUAAUAUAAUCCAGAAGAUAAAAGCAUGCAACUUUUCUAAUAUACAUUUUCUAUUCCAUUAUUUCUAUCAGUCUCAAUAUGAUAACCAUUUGUAAAAUAUAUCAUUAAAACUCAAUAGAUUUAUCUUUCAUUACUAGAGAACAAUGCAUUAUCAAUUGUGAAUUUUGUUCCUCUAGGCAAAAUAAUAUUUGCUAUUCCAAACUCUUCAAUAAAGUUUGUAGAAAAUGAUAUUGUAUUGAUUUUUGCUUCCAGCAUUGUCAGCUUGGAAAAAUAUUUUUCAUUUGUGAGUAUUGUGUAUGUGGUUGCACUGUCUGCCAGACAUAGAUAUUUGUUAUUUAUUUCUUAAUCACUCAAUGUAUGAAAAUGAUUCAUAUUUCUUCAUUUAAAAAGAAAUAAUUAUAAUAAAUAAAGCAUAGUUGAAAUGUAUAAAGUUUAAUAUUAAUAAAAGCAAAAUAUGAAGAAAGAUAGCAAAACAACACUGUUAUUCUAGAUAUUUUCAAAGUCAAAAGAAACAUUUGUUGUUCCACUAAUUGUAUCGAUUUUCUCAUGGAGUUUCAAAGAAAUUUGCCACAUCAAAAUUAGUCAUGUUGGAUAGAUCGAAUAUAUCAUUAUGUUGUUAGGCACAAUUGGCUUCUACACUUUUUCCUUUUUUACUUCUCUAAGGAAGUUGGAUAUAGAUCAAUUAAGUGUUUCGAUGCACGACAAACAUCUGACCAAUGUCUAGUCAUACCACAUUGAUAGCAUAUUUCUUCAUCACAUUUUGAAUUAUAAUUUUGUGGAGUUUUUCCUUUAUGAUCAUCGUUUCCUGUGUUUCUUUUGAAAUUUGGAUUAUAAGAAUGACCACGAAAAUAAUAAUUAUUUUUUCCUCUUUCACAGUCUCUACCUCGACUAUGACCACGACCUCUUCCACGAUUAAAAUUCACAACAUUCACUAAUUUAGGGAAUGUUGUUCUAGUUGGUCGGGAUUUGUGAUUUUUUAUCAACUCGUUAUUUUGUUCGACAAUAAGAAGACAUGAUAUGAGUUUAGAAUAUUUUAUAAAACAUUUCUCUAGAUAUUGUUGCUGCAAAAGCAUAUUUGAGAUAUGAAAAGUAGAAAAUGUCUUUUCCAACACUUAUGUAUUAAUAAUUUUUUUCUCACAUAACAAUAAUUUUGAACCAAAUUUGAAUAAUUCAUAAUUGAAAUCACUUACUGAUUUAAAAUCUUAUAGCCUCAAAUGUAUUCAAUCAUAACGAGCUUGGGGAAGAUGAACUAAUUUUAAAUGAUCAUACAUUUCUUUUAAUUUAUUUCACAACAUAUGAGAAUCUUUUGUUGUUAAAUAUUCUGACUUCAAACCCGAAUGAAUGUGAUGACGAAGAGAAAUCAUGACUUUCGUUUUCUAUUGAUUAGUCAUUGCAAUUUCUUCUUUAAUUGUAUUUUCAAGAUUCAUGGUGUUGAGAUGCAUUUCAACACCAAGAACCCAUGACAAAUAAUUGUUACCGUUAAUGUGAAGAGUCGUAAAUUGUAGUUUCGCAAGAUUUGUCAUGGCAAUAAUAUUAUAAAAUAUUAUAAUUAUAUAGUAAACUGUCCAAAAUAGCAAAUUUAACAAAAUAUUUACAAUUUAUAGUAAAAUUUUCAGAUUCAAUCACUAAUAGACACUAAUAGACAUUAAUAGACACUAAUAUUGUGAUUGAUAGAAGGUGGUAGAGGAAAAGGUUAAUUGGGUUGGUGUUGAAAAAGAGUGAAAUGUGAUUUGCAUAGAAACAUCCAGAUGCUUGGCUGCCGAUACUCUGUGUUUACCAAAAGCAUUCCAAAAUGCCAUAAAUCUGAAUGUCGGUGGAAAGAUCCGUACCGACGAAAUAUAAAUUCAAUUCAUUAUCUCUACCCUACACGUGGCAUCCAAUCUCCAGCCUUGGCCCAGCCUGGCACACUCUCCCCCACUUACUAAAUUUUAGCCACACCAUUCUCCUUUCCACCAUAAUGCCUUCCCACUCUUUAUCUUAUUACUAAAUAUGCCAUUCCAGAGUGUUUUCCUCUUUUCUUUUUUUUUUUUCCUUUUUUUUCCUUUUUUUUCUUUUUAUCUUUUCUUAUAUUACUUAGUUUUCCCCAUUUCCCGGGUCAAACGCAACUGACACUCUCUAAUAUAAUAAUACUAUUUAAUCAAUAUCAUUAAUUCGCUCACCUCCUAAAUUACAUAUUUUAUCCUACCAAAAUUUUCUUUUUAUUUUCAUGCUUCCAUAUAAAUCUUUUUUAUUAAAGCUUUAUAAAUCAUUAAAUUUUAACCUUUUCUUUUUAUUUAUAAAUAAAUAAAUAAAUAAAUUUAUAAUUCAGGAGAAUCAAAGAAGUGAGGUGUCACCUAUGAAUAUUUUGGUGCAUUAUCAUAUUUUUAGCUAUGUUCUAAUUAGAGAUUAUUCUAUUUAUUAUUCAAAUAAAAAUAUAAUGCCUUUUUAAUUGAAUUAUUAUGCAAACUUUUUUUUUUUUAUAAUUACAAAACUGUUAAUAAAUAUUACAAAAUUUAAUAUUUUACUAUCUAUAGAGUUUAUUUGGAUAUAUUUGAAGUAUAUAAAAUUGAUACUCACUGCCAUUCAAUUCAAUUCUAUUCUAUUCCCUUCCAUGUUUCACUUUCAGGUAAUCAAUCAAUUAACUUUAUUUUUGUAAUUUGAACCACACUUUGUCAAAAUGAUGCAGCCCAGAUGUAAAUUUCUCAUCCAUAAAUAAAAAUAAAUUAUAUAUUUGGAUCUAAAAUAAUACCCUAUUCAUCUACUUCAUUGCCCUAAUUCUUUUCAUAAUGAAAUAGAGUGCUAUACACAAAUAGAAUUUAAACUAUACAAAAUAAUUUUCACAUGCCAAAUUCUUACCUAAUUUUUCAUUUUAAAACAAACUAUACCCACCAUGCCUCCAAUCUGAUGGAAGGACUAAAAAAAAUAAGAACUAAAUUGAAUGAUAAGGAAAAUAGAGAGUAUUUGCAUUUAUAUAUGAAUUAGAAAAAAAGUGGGGUCCCAUAAUUUGGGGGAAAUCUGCGUGAUUCUAUGCUUGUGAUUGGAGUUUAGUUUAGUUUCUUUCUUUUUUUCUCUUCAAAUUUAUUAUAUACUUUUCGUGCGUGUUAAUGUUUUCGUGUAACAGAUGCUUGCGCCACGUGACUUGUUCCAAACCUUCACUUUUAACACCCUUAUUUUACAUUUUCAUUUCUUCUAUUUCUCACUUUUUUUUUAUUUUUUGCUUUUUUACUUUUCAUUUUAUUUAUUCUCUUCAAUUAAAGCUAUUACGUUAACCUAUUAUUAUUAUUUUUUUUAAUAUCAAAAAGACAGUUUUUCAAGUUUAUUAAUUACCAUAUCAUUCACUAAAAAGGUAUGAUUAGUGUAAUCAAAUUAUUUUCUUUCAAAAAUCAUUCCACAUUUCCCUUUUUAAUCAUACGCUACAAACUUGUCUACAUAAUCACUUUUCCACUAAUCAAAUCAUAAAUCUCACUUACCACCGUUAUCAACUUAUAUAAAUUUGAUGUUUAUACGACGUUUUAAUUAAUUUUUUUUUAUAAUCACAAAUUAAAAAUACAUUGUCUUGUCAAACAUACCAAAUUUAUUUUUCUUUGAACCGAAACUGUAUGAAUUUGUUAAUCUUACUACUGAUACAGUAUCAAGUUUACAAAAGUAUUACCAACCGAUAAAAAAAAUGAAACAUAAAUUCCAAUUCCAAAAGUUGAGUUUUAAUAAAGGUGUACCUUACAAGUUUGGUUAAUCCACCAAGAUUGGUAAGGUGUUGUUCACAAGGCGAGGUUAACGAUAAUAUUAUAUUGAUAUGAAAUUAGGCACACCUACUUAUUUUUAUAACAAAUAAUUGAUGAAUGAUUAUCGAUUUUUGUUAUACUAAAUGACAUAAUUUGUUGGCCUCAAACAAUGAUAUUUGGAUCCAUCCUUGCCAAAAAUGACCAAUCAUGACCUAUAAAGCAAAAUCAAAUUAUGAUUUAUCAUAACUAAACUUACUAUUGUGUACAUUAUGAAAUUGUGGAAUGUUUUUAAUGAUUGUGAGCCAAACAUCCCAAAAGAUGUUUGGAAUUUUGAUUCUACCUAAUAACACUGUAUACGAUCUAGUUCAUUUUAAAAUUACGAGUUGAUUUUGUAAAUUUAAAAUCUAUGUCAUUGUAUAUUAUAGAUAUUUUAAUUUUAAAGUAAUGAUUCUAACUAAAUAGUUGUUUGAUAAUAUGAUUUUUCUAAUUAUUUAAUGGAACUAUAAUACUUGCCUACACACCAAAAAAUUAAUAAACACCAACUAACAAAUCACUUUAUCAAUUUAAAACAUUAAAACACUUUCAGUUUAGGUUUCACAAUAACACACUGUGUAAUUUUUGAAUUUUGAGUUUAACUUCAUCUUGAUUUAGUCCAUAAAUUUUAAUCGAUGUUUAAAUUUUGUUAUAGUUUGGUACUUGAGUUUCAAAUUUUAAUUUUUUUUUACCGUGUACUCAUUUUUAAUCUUUUGUUAAUGCCUAAUAAUUAAGUUUGAAAAACAGGAUUAAUCAAGUUCCUUUAUUAUUGUUAUGGAGUACUCAUUUUUAAUUUUAGGGUAAAGACAUUAAUUAACUUAAAAAAACAGGUUUAAUCAAGUUUUACUAUUUUUUUUAUCACUUUUAAAUUUAGUUUUCUAUUUUCAAUUUAUAAUGAUUUUAAAUUAAUUUUCAGACAUUAACUUAGUAAGUAUUCAAUGAAAAAAAAUGUGAAAAAUGCAAAUCUUGAAAUGUGGGACAAAUUUAUGAAAAUAAACUUAAAAAAUAUAAAAUACUAAAAUGUAAAUAGGUGAUUGGGGUACGAAAUGAGUUACUAAUUUUAAUUUAAUAUCAUUUUGUUAUAAUAAUUUGGAUUUGAGGAGCAUAUUAUUUUAGUUGGAGAAGAAAUAAUAAACAAUCCUCUGACAAAUAAUAAAUACGAUAUGAAAUUGAGAAUUUUUAAGCAGAAUUUAUUUUAACUAAAAAUGAUUAUUAUAAUCUUGCAUAAUAUUCUCCUCCUUCAACGUUUUUUAAAACUAAAUUAAAAGCUAAAAAUACAUAAUUUUCGUAGGGUGAAUGAGGAACAAAAUUAAGUAAACCAAAGAGAUAUUUGUUUUUCUAUUUCUUACAAUAAAAUAUUAUAUCUGGGAUUUUUUUAAAAAAUAUAACGAAAAAAUAUUUACACGAGUGUAAUUUUGAAAAUGAAAAAAGCUGACCGACCCACAAUGAAAAAUAUAAAAAAAGUUCCACGACUAAUUGGCAUAUGCACCACAUGCCCGUAAUAUAUUUGAGAAACAACAUUUUGCUUAUUUUGAAUACAAAUUGUUUAGGAUCGUAAUUUUUUUUAUAUACAAUCGUUUAGAUUUGUUAUACGAUCAAUAAUUUUUUACGAUAUUUUAUAUUUGGCACAUGAUAGGAACUAAACUAAAUAAAGGUUUGAAAUUUUUUUGUAGAAAAAAAGUGAUGGAUGAAAAGAAAAGAAAAAGAAUAGAAAGAUGAAAAAAAAAAAAAGGAAGGGAGGUGAAUUUUUUAAAAAAUAGUUUGUCGUAUGCAUUUUUUAGGUGAAUUAUAUUUUGUGGGUCCGAUUAUAUUUGUGAAAAGAAUGCUAAUAAUUACGUAGAAUUAGUUGGAGGGGUAGAGAAGUGAAUUAUUUUUAACCGCUAAGCAUAUAAACUAUGAUGACUUUAGCGGUAAUAAAUAGAAAAACAAAAUAUUAAAUGAAAAAGAGUGGGAAAAAAAGCGAAGAAAACGUGGUUAUGAGUCAGAAGAUGGGAAGGAAAAAGAUAAAGGCCCCAAAGGAGACAAAAAAAAUGGGAGUGGCAUUAUUGUAAUAAUCUCAAUCUCUAUGCCCAAAUUGUUGUUUUAAACCCUCUCUCUGGUCCCAUCUUCUUCUCCAACUCCCAAUUAUUACUAUCCCCCCAUUGUUUAACACUCACUUUGCACCAAUUCUCUCAACUUCAAACCUCUCUCUCUCUCUCUCUCGAUUCAUAAUGCUGCAGCAACUCUGCCGCGGCACCGCCGCUGGGACUUUAGUCCUCGCUGUCCUAUUCCUCGUCAUCGCCACCGCUACGGCUCACAACAUCACUAAGCUUCUAGAGAAGCACCCGGAAUUCUCCACUUUCAACCACUACUUGACCACCACUCACCUUGCGCCUGAGAUUAACCGGAGAACCACCAUUACUGUCUGCGUCGUCGACAACUCCGCCAUGUCUGAUCUCUUGGCCAAACAACUCUCCAUUUACUCUAUCAAGAACACUCUCUCUCUCCAUGUCCUCCUCGACUACUUCGGAGCCAAGAAGCUUCACCAGAUCACUAAUGGAACUGCUCUCGCUGCCACUAUGUUUCAAGCUACUGGCUCUGCUCCUGGUUCUUCCGGUUUCGUCAAUAUUACUGACCUCAAGGGCGGGAAGGUAGGGUUUGGCCUUCAGGAUAGCGACGACAUUGAUGCGAUGUAUGUGAAAUCUGUGGAGGAGGUUCCGUAUAAUAUCUCUAUCAUUCAGAUCAGUAAGAUCUUGCCGUCUCAAGUGGCAGAAGCUCCAACUCCGUCUCCUAGUGAGAUGAAUUUGACCGGGAUAAUGUCUGCUCACGGCUGCAAGGUUUUUGCCGAAACUCUUCAGGCCUCUGACGCUGUGAAGACGUUUCAGGAAAAUGCAAUCGGUGGAUUGACGGUUUUCUGUCCUCUAGAUGAUGUUUUCAAGGCAUUUUUGCCGAAAUACAAGAACUUGACUGCAGCUGGAAAGAUCUCCUUGCUGGAAUACCACGGUUUGCCUGUGUACAAUUCUAUGUCCAUGCUUAAGUCCAACAAUGGCAUCACGAACACCUUGGCCACUGACGGUGCUAACAAGUACGAUUUCGUUAUACAAAACGAUGGCGAAGUGGUCACUCUCCAGACGAAAGUGGUAACCGCCAAAAUCACCGGCACGCUUCUCGACGAGCAACCAGUGGCGAUCUACACAAUCGACAAAGUUCUGAAGCCAAGAGAACUGUUCAAGAAGGAAAUUCCGGCUCCGGCACCGGCACCAGCGCCUGAGACAGAAAAACCUGCCGACGCUCCAAAGGCUCAUUCUCAUAAGCACAAGAAGGGCGCCGCGACUCCAGCAGCAGACUCACCGGCAGAUUCUCCGUCCGACGAAGAUCCAGCAGAUCAGACGACGGACGGCAAUGGUGCAGUGAGACUCAACGGAUGGAGAUUUGUUUUGGCCGGAAUUUCAGGUUUGGCAGCGCUUCUUCUACUGUAAGGUCGUCUUCAAUACAUUUCGCCGGCCCUAGUUUCUUCCUCUUCUUCUUUUUUUAAAUUUAAUUUUUACUUUUUUUUUUUUUUUCUUCUUUGAACUUUGAAUAAUUUCUUUUGUUUUUUUUCUUCUUCGGAAAAUAUUGAAAUUGGUUGUAGUACAUUGCUGUGCUCAUCUGUCUUCUCUAAGGGGUGUUUAUUUAUUUUUUAUUUUUCUUUUUAUUUUUUAAGCAAAGAGAAUUUUCUACGGCUGUGAUUUGCUUUCAACUUUGGAGGGUGGAAGCUUAAAUAUUAUUAUUGUUGUUAAUCGCUUAAUUAAUUAAUGUAAAUUUGAUGUGAUAAUUGUGAUUUGAUAAUGAUAAGCAAGGUCGUUUUCGUCUUAUAAUCUUAUUCUCUUGUUUUAAUACCUCACCCACGUGGAUGUUUAUAUAAUAUAUAUCUUUCAAUUUUCAAUCUAUCAAAUAUUAAUACUAUGACUAUAUUUAUUUAGGUCUCCCAAAAGUCCAGAUGUGUUGUUGUUGUGUUUUUCAUUUAGUUCAUAAAUUUUCAUGCUAACAACUUUUUUAAAACAAAACAAUUAAGGACUAAAUUGUUGAGUUUGGUUUAGUGAGAUUAGUAGCAUAACCCAUCCCUAGAAACCAAAGGUCAAAUCCCCCCUUAUAAUUGUACUAAAAAGAAGACUAAAUCGAAUUAUUUAUGAAAGAUAAGUAUUUGGUAAGCAUUUUUAUUUCUUAUUUUAUAUUUUGGGAAACACCUUUAAGGACCAAUUCUGUGGUUUACUUCUUAUUUAUGCAUUUAUUUUGGGAGUGGGAGGGAAAUGGUUGGUAAAUUGAAUAAAAGGAGAGAGCAUAGUUCCUAAAAAUAAUGUCACCCAUGACCCAACCACCGGUCCACUUAGGGGCUAUCGUUUUUCGUAUUUUUAAUUUGUUUGGUAGAUAGGACAUGUUGUCAAUAAACUGCUCCUCUAUUACCUACAUGUGCUUCCACGUCUAACAAUUUUUAUAUAUUUAUUUAUUUAUUUAUUGGAACAAUUUAUAGAGCCAGAAUUUCAAAAGAAAAAUUUUAAAACUUUUAUUUUUGUUUUCUAACUAUUGGUUAUUUGUUUUAGUUUUUAACUUUUUUGCUUAUUUAUUUAUUUUAUCAUUAUUUUAGAACUGCAUUCCAUUUUGGAGAAUUACUCAAAGUAGUUUUAGUACAAAUGGGAUAUGAAAAAAAUAAAAAAAAAUGCCCUACAUGAAAUUUCUCUUUAUUUUUCCCUAAAAAGACAUUAAAAAAAGGCUUUCUUUUUUCACGUUUUCUCUCCUGCCUCCAUAAUUUCUUCUCUAUCAAAUUCUCUUAAAAAAAAAAUCUAGUCACUUUUCAACAAACUCUCUUGCUAUUUUUUCAAAGUGUUUAUAUGUAUACUUUUAAAUUAUUAUUAUUAUAGUUAAUUCUUUUUAAGUUAUGAAUUUGGUACAUGAAUUUAAAAUUUUCAUUUCUUUUGUACUUUUCAAUUAAGUAAUUUAUUGUGAUUACACUCGUUGAUUCAUACAUUACAAAAACUAUGACGAUUUGAUAAAUUUAAUAUAUGAAGUUUGUGGAUUGAAGUUAGAAUAUGAUUUUUUAUAAAAAAAAUUAAUAAUUACUCACAUGCAACUAUUACUAAAAAAAUGUUGGAAUGGACGUCGUAUUUAAAGAAAUUACUUCAAAUUGUUUUACAAAAACUAGGUUAAUUUGAUAAAUUAAAUAUACGAAAUUGGUGUAUUUGAGUUAAAAUAUGAGUUUUAAGAAAAUAAUAAUUUUUGCUCCAGCAUUGUGUUCUAUGUAAUUGACUUCCGUUUAUAAUCCUUUUUUAGAAACUAUUUUGUUCUUCAUAUUUCGUUUGAAUGAAAUUAUGUUGUCAGUCAUUGGUUUAAAUCAAUUGUUAAAUAUACGCAAUUUGUGUAUUGCAUUUAAAAUAUAAAUUAGAAAAUAAAAGUAUAAUUUAUUCAUAUGUAACGACCCAACGUUAGAAAAGGUUGAAAACAGAUGUCGUCUUUGAAGAAAUUACUGAAAAUUAUUUUACAAAAAAUAAGACGAUUUGGUAAAUUAUGUAUAUAAUUUGUGUACUGUAGUUAGAAUACAAUUUUUUUUUUUAAAUUAAAAAUUUAUUGGUACGAAACGCUUGCACAAAAAACAUUGAAAAUUGACAUAGUAUUUAAGAAAACUAUCGGAACUUGUUUUACGAAAAUAUGACAAUUUGAUCAAUUAAAUAUACGAAUAUUUGUGUAUUGGAUUUACAAUAUGGAUUUAAUAAUAAUAAUAAUAAUAAAUAAUUUUGAUAACCAUUCCCACGUAACCCAAAACAAUAUUCCUAAAUAUAUAACCCAAAUUAAAUUCUAUAAUUGUUCUAUAUACCUUAGCAUCUCCUUAGUCUCAAAUGUGGUCUUGAAGCAUUGACUUAAAUGAAAUUUAUCACCUUUGGAAACAAGAUAUCUUCUAGUGCACAAUCCUUUUUUUUUUUUGUAAAUGUAUUGUAAUAAAUGCUGGGGUGGAGAUUUGAACUCGAGACCUCUUAUCCACAGGAACAUACAUGUGUCAGUUGAGCUAAGCUCAUGUUGGCUUCUAGUGCACAAUCUUUCAUGCCAAAUCUACUAAAAAAUUAUGUAGUUCUUUUGUGAUGAUCUCAAAAUACCUUUAGAGCAAUCUUGCAGUAUGUCAAUUCCUAUACAUACUACAAGAAUUUGAAGCUAUCCCAAUGUAGAAAAAGGCGUCAACAAACGUCAUGUAAAAAAAGAGAGACUCCCCCUACGACGUAAAUUACGCUUCAACCUAGAUGACUAGUCCCAACGUUUAUGCUACGUCAAGAAUUAGGGAUCUUCCAAUGUUUUCGUUGUGCGUCGGGAGUUUCCCAAAAAAAGGGGUUUUCAUUUUUGUAAUUCACAGAAACGAAAGAGAGAAGGCCGAAAGAGUUGAGAGUGUGACCAAGAAGGAGAUAACACCACAACGCUGCUCGCCGCUCAUCGUCGUCCUUGUUCCGCUUUUCGUCAUCCUCUCACCAUCAUCCCUCUUCAUUCCAAGUUGUUUAGUUAGUUAUUGAUUUUGUUUGUGUUUAGUUAAUUAGUUUUAGGAUUUAGAUUUUUAUAUAGUUUUAGGAUUUAGAUUUAGAAUUAGUUUUAGGUUUUAGUAUUGAAUUUGAAUUUGAAGUGUUUUUAGGAUUCAAGAUUUAUGUUGAGAUUAAGAUUUCAUUUGAAUUUGAAUAUGAAUAUGAAUUUGAAAAUUUGUGGGAGUUAUAUUGAAUUUGGGAUUAUUAAUUUAAGAUUGAGAUUUAAUUUGAAUUAGAAUAUGAAUUUCAAUUUCAAUUUGAAUAUUUGAAUAUUUGAAUUUGGGGGAUAUAUUGAAUUUGGGAUUUGUAAUAGUUUUAAAAUUUCUUUAAUUUGAGGUUGAAAUUUAUUCGGGCUACUCUGCCGUUAUGGUAGCCUCUAGUUCAAACUUAGAGUUUUGUUUGCGACGUCGGGUUUUAUUUAGCGAUGGUCCAUGCUUGAUUUUGCUGAUCAAGCACAGUUGAGCAUCAAAUGCUCAGCACAUGAAAAAUGUUCAGGAGAGACAACGAUAGGAAUUUCAAGCAAUUCAAUGACCUUAAAGAAGCACGUGCCAACCCACCGUCGAGAUUAAUGAAUCGUGUGAAAUAUUGGCACUUCCUCUACGAUCAUUACACGAUUAUGCAAUUUCAGGUGAUUUAUAUCUUCAACUUGUACUUCACAGUACUACUUUUUUGUUGUUUGGAUACAACAUUAUGAUUGUUUGCAUGUAGGAGCAAUCAAGGAUCAACAAGGAUGCUAUAGCGGAGCAACCUUACGACCACAUAAGCGAAUCCAAGUCAUUCCUACAACAACACGAGCUCAUUGAACAACGUGGUCGUCCAGUGGACCGUGUGAAGUUGUUCAGAGAAACACACGCCAAUAGGACUAGCGAGUUCGUUUCACAGGUGGAAGCGGAUGAGUAUGUAAGUUAUGAAUUUUUUUUUUUUUGUAUUUUCUACUUUUAAUUCUCAGCUCACAACUUAAAACUUUUGGUGCAAAAACAAAUGUUGGAACUCCAGUUCCAACACACCCUAGAAGGUUAACAACCACUCUCUAAGGAGGAGAUAUACAAGAUCGUUUUAGGUAAUGAUCAGACUACUCAAAAGGUCUUGGUUGGGACCCCAAGCUCAAAUCUCGAAAGAGUACUGCUACCAAUUCUUCCUCUUCAUAUGAGCAAGAGAUGCACUCAAAAGAAGUUAGCGAAUUAAGAGCUAGCCUUGAAAAUGCUAACUUCUUAAUUGAAGAACAACGAAUAAGGUCGGAGUUGCAAGAAUAAUAAAUGGAAGAAAGUGCCUGAAAAAUGGAAGAAAAUGCACGACAAAUGGAAGAGAUAAGGAAGAUGAUUGAGGAAAUGAGUUGGGCGUCGAGAGGGACGUGAAUACUUGGGGUACGUAUUUUUCAACUUUUAAUUUGUUUAAUUUCUCAUUGGUGAUAUAUGUCUAACUUUAGUUUUUUGUCAUUUGUAGGUUUAUAAUUCUUUGAAUUUGGCGUCCGUGACAAUAAUUAAGAGAUAAUAUACGGAGGAGACAUUGAGCGUAAUCCACUACCGACGUCAACCAUCCGUUGGCAUUGAUGGCGUCGAGGAUACGACAUUCUUGACGUUCUUGUUUGUGAAUCGAAAAUUGCUUCCCUAACGUAGCAUGCUCGACAUCUUCCCGAUGGAGCAUCUAACGUCAGAAGAGGUUUUCUCGAAGAGUUUUUGUACAAAUGUCGAAUUUCCCAAAUCCUUGUAGUGACAAAAGAACCAUAUUUAAGAUCCUUUAUCUCAAAAUUCUUUUUGAGAAGCCUCUUAAUGUCAUACAAUAAACUUACAUCAUUACUUGGAGUCUUGGUAUGAGUAUAUCAUCAACAUAUAACACCAGAAAAAUAGAUUUACUCUGACCGAACUUGUGAUAUGUAUCUUUCACUAUAUUCACCUCAAAAUCAAAGGAAGUAAUUACUUCAUGAAAUUUGUGAUACCAUUGAUGAGAGGUUUGUUUGAAACCAUAGAUAGAUUUCUUCAAAUUUGCAUACCAUAGACUUUGAAUUAUUAGUUACAAAGUUUUUUGGUUGUACCAUAUAAAUCGUCUAAACAAUGUUUUCAUUGAGAAACACAGUUUUCACAUCCAUCUGAUGUAGCUCUAAAUCUAAGUGAGCUACUAAUGCCAUGAUUACCUACAAAGAGUCUUUCGAUAAAACUGGAGAGAAAGUCUCUUUGUAAUCAAUGUCUUCCUUUUGAGUAAAACCCUUUCCUAGAAGACGAGCUUUAUUCCUUUCAAUUUUUACUUGUGAAUUCCUUUUGGUUUUAAAUAUCCAUUUAUGUAUAACCUAUGGGUUUCACUCCUGAUGGCAAUUCGAAAAGUUUCCAAACAUCAUUGUCUUUCAUGGAUUUUAUUUCCCCUUCCAUAGUAUUUAUCCAUUUUUUAGAGUUAGAGGUUUGUAAAGCUUGUUGGAAGUUGAUUGGAUCAUUUUCCAUUAUGCCCAUAUCAUCUUAAUGUUUUUGAAGAAACACAAAUAAUCAUAUGAAAUUUACUUCUUUUUUCUCUAAUGGCACUUCUUGAGGUUGUCGAGUUUGAACUUUAGGUUCAACAGGGACUUUGUUGUUGUCUUGUUCUAUAAUUGGUUUUAUAGUGAAGUCAAGAAUUGGAGCCUAAACAUCAUCUAUGCCCACAUUAGAAAGAGAAACUAACUUCUCUUCCGAACUUUCUUUAUUCUAUCUUCCCCUCAAACUCAACAUCCUCAAGGAAUCUAGCAUUUUCAGUCUCAAAAAACGAUCUCGAAGUGGGAUCAUAAAACUUAAAACUCGGAGAAAUCCUUAGAAUACCCAACAAAAUAACAGCUAAUAGUUCUUGGGUCCAAUUUUCUUUUGUUAGGCCUAUAAGGCCUAGCCUUAGUUGGACAACCUCAGACGUUGAGAUGGCUAAUACUAGGUCUUCUUUCCUGUCCAUAACUCAUAAGGGGUUUUAGCUACUGCUUUCUAGGUACCCUGUUGAGGAUAUACAUCUCUAAUGCCUCACACCAUAGAGGUUCUAGUAAAGAAGAAUGACUAAUCAUACUUCUUUACCAUAUCCUUAAGUAUUCUAUUUCACCUUUUCGCUACACCAUUCAUGCUAGGUUUUUUUGGCAUAGUGGAUUGCGAGACGAUUCCACAUUUCUCUAGGUAUUUGGCAAAGGGUCCUAAACGUUGUUCACCCUGAUCCAUUAUAUCUACCGUAGUAUUGACCACCACGAUCAGACUUGACAACCUUAAUUUUCUUUCCAAGGUGAAAUUCCACUUUAGCUUUAAAAGACUUGAAAACGUCCAAAGAUUGAAACUUCUCAUGAAUUAAAUAUAGGUACCCAUAUUUUGAAUAGUCGUCUAUAAACGAGUAUUGUUGUCUAUUCCAAGAAGCCAUAGGGAAUGGGCCAUAAAUGUCUGUAUGUAUUAGUUCUAAGACGCCUAAACAUCUGUUUGCACUUAAUUUUCUUAUAUUUUUAUGUUCUCCUUAAUAAAUUUCACACAAACUUCAAAUUUGCUUAAAUCAAGGGAAUUAAGAAUUUCAUCGGACAUAAGUUUCUAAAUUCUAUGUUUAGAGAUGUGACCUAAACGAUUGUGCCACAACAUAGCCAACAUUCUCAUUUAAUUUACACUUCGUACCACAUUAUUUAGACAACAAAACCUUGUUAGAUGAAGCAUAAGAAUUAAGCAUGUAUAUGUUAUCAAUUAAAGAACUAAUACCAAUAAGCUUGAUUUUGAAAAAGACGAACUCUAUUAUUUUCAAAAGAACAAGAAAAACCAAACUUGUUCGAACUGGAAAUAAAAACGAAGUUUCGUCUAAAUGACGAUACAAUGAAAGUCUCGUCCAAAUCCAAAAAGCAAACAAUUUUUAAAAGUAAUGUAAAAAAUUGCCAAUAACUUCAAUUGGAACUGCUUUGCCAUCACCCACGUAGAUGAAUCUUUCAACAUUAUUUGGCGAUUGGCUCUAUAGGCAACCUUACAUGGAUAUACCUAUGUGAGUAGUAUCACCAUAAUCUACCCACCAAGUACCUGCAGGUACAUAAGCUAAACUAACAUGCCAUUUGGCAUACUUGAGACAAUCUUUCUUGAGAAGACCUUUCUCUUUGCAGAAGAAACAAGGAUUCUCUGUAGCUUGUUUCUUUUUUUGCUCAGAUGUCCCUUCUACAACAUAUCUAUAUGUUUUCUUUUCUUCUUACAAUAAAAAUUAGUUGCCAAAUGAGCACUUUCUAUCCUUUCUCUCUUAAUCCUAUCUUCUUAUUGCACACAUUUUGAGAUAAGCUCAUUAAUACUCCAUUUAUCCUUCUGAGUAUUAUAACUUAUCUUAAAUUGAGUGAAUUGUACAACAAGAGAGAUAAGUACUAGAUGUACGAGUAAAUUUUCAUUUAUUUUGAUAUCAAGUGUCUUUAAUUUACGAGCGAGAUUAGACAUUUUCAUAACGUACUCCCUUAUGUUUCCAUUGUCCUUAUACCUCAUGGAAGUUAAAUUAGUCAAAAGAUUACUUGCUUCCCCUUUUCCAUUUUUAGCAAAAUAUUUUUCAAUUUCGACAAAACACUUUUUGGCAUUUUCACUUUCAGUGAUAGAACCCCGAAAAGACUCUAGAAUGGAGUGCCUAAUAAUCAUCAGGUUCAUGCAAUUUGACAGUUCCCACUUCUCAAUAUUAGUCGUACUCAGUUGUUCCUUAGUAGAAGUAGGUUUAUCGAUCCUCAAUGCAAGGUCUAGAUCCAUACACUCGAGAAGUAUCUCUAGGCUUUCCUUAAAAAUCUUGAAAUUCGAUCCAUUCCACUUAGGGAUUGAACUUAAAUUUUCAAAUAUUUGAGCAAAAUCAACUAAACAAAGAACAAACAAAUAAACGAUAUACUCACAAAUUAAUAGGUGUCAUAAAUAAAAUAUAACAAAAUAAUUUCACAUAUACGAUGGAACCUUUUACAAGAUACCUAGCACAACAUUAAUGUCCAACAUUUGGGUAGAGACAUCAAUUGUAAACGACACUCUCAACAUAGUAAUCAAACUACUGACGGUAAACUCUGUAAAAAAAUUCAUUUUUUUGGACGGACUAUUUUUCACAUGUCCAAUCCUUAUAACUAUGACCUACUCAUUACCAUACUCAUACUCAUAUUUUGGCCAAAUAAUUAUCUUCAUUUGGGCCAAAGGAAGAUAAUUAUUUGCAUAAAUCAAUGAAUAACACAUCCUAUAUUUUAGAAUUAAAAUAAUCUAGAUAACAUAGGCUACUUUGGUAACAUGUUAUUUCAACCAAUUCAAUAUAACAUAUAAGACACAAUAAUAAUAAUAAUUUUAUUAUUGUAAAAAAUAGUGGAGGAAAAACACCAAAUAAUCUUUACCAAAAUUCACCCAUAAUUGAGUACAUUAAAAUAUAAUUAAUGUAACAUAAUCAUAUAAAUAUCUCAAAAUUAGCAUUCAAAUUUAAUCAAGAGGAUGAUCAAUUAAUGUUGAAUUUACAGCAUGAUCAAAUUAAACUUGAACUCCCAUAAUGAUUAAUCAAAUCUUGAAUAUAGAUCAAUUAAACUUAAAACCACAAUCUGAUUAAUUAAAUCUUGAAUCUACCACAUGAUCAAUUAAACUUGAAUUCACACCCUGACUAAUCAAAUCUUGAAUCUAGAUUAAUUAAACUUUAAACCACAUAUGAUUAAUCAAAAUCUAAAACAAUUAAACUUAAAACAACAAUAUGAUUAACCAAAUCUUGAAUCAAGAACAAUAGAAAACAAACAUAUUCCAACAAUUCAACAUGAAAUUUAUCAACAUGAAAUUUAUGCUCUGGUACCACUUGUUGGCAUAAAUACUUUAAAUCUAUAUAAUAGAUUAACCUAAAAUCAUUCAUGCUAAAUUGUCAAGAAUAAGUUACCUACCAGAUUUCAUCUCCAAGUAAUUAAUUCUGACUAUAAAAUGACUAUUGUCUUCCUUAGCCAAAACUCUAAGUACGACCCUUGGUGGAAUCUUUCUCUUGACGGGGAUACAAGAAAUACAUGUGUUUGGAUUGAUUUUUGAAGUGUUUGACUCCAUUGUUUUUUAUUCUAUUUUUAAAUACUUUGAAUAUUUUUUCAAUGUAUGUUCAUAUACAUUUAAAUAUAUAGAUUUGCAAAUAUUCCUCUCUCAGCAAAAUCUACUUUGCCUUAACAUCUGUGAAUGAAAUCAUGAGAACGUCAAUGAGGAACAUGAUCGUUCGGUUUGUGAAAUACAGAUGAAUGAAGAAUAUGAUCGAAUUACACAUCUUUUUGUCUAGUUGAUAUUAUAUUUUCUCGAAAAAAUAUUUAUUUUAUUUAUAUUUUGUUGUUGGAAAUCAAUUAUGUUUUUUAUGGUUAUGUAUUUAUAUUUCAAGAUAUUUGUGUUUUUAAAAAUUGAAUUGUAAAAAAAAAUUAAUAGAAAAAAAUGAAAUUAGUGUUUAGUUUCAAGUAAUUAAGAAAUUAAUAAUUUGAAGAUAACGUGCAAUUAAUUCUAAAAUAUAUUUAUGAAAAAAAGAUUUAAAAUGUAUGUAUUUCUUUGUGAAAUUAAUUCAUAAUGUUUAAUAGUCUUUUAUGGUAAUUUGGCCAAGUAUAAAGAUUAUGUUAGUGUAAGACAAACCAAACACAAUUUUGCAUAUAAACCUUUAUAAAGAGGUUAAACAGAACAUGUAAGUGUUUUAGAUUUUAAACUCGUUUUACAUAAAAGGUUUUUUAAAAAAUGUACUGUUAACAUUUUUUUCAUACCCAAUCCAGACGGACCCUAAGUGCUUAUUGUUUUAGUAUAUUGGAGACCAUAGGUCUAAGUCUCUUUAUAUACUAGCUCAAUUAGGAUCCAAAUUAAAUCAUAAUCAAACUAGGAAUAAACUUCUACUCAUUUAGUCCAUACUCAAUUAGAAAUCUUGUGCCUUAAUUAAAUAGAUCACACAAUAGGCCAAAUUUAAUCAAAUAACCUAAUGUGACAAAUUAUUAAUUCACAUACAUAACCCAAUAAUUAUACAUAUUAUUUAAAUACGUCUAACACUCAAAACUUUCAAAUUUCAAAUGUUCAAUCUCAAAUCAAUCGUAUACUUGUUUUAUGUGAUUUAGGGUGAUUUUACCUCUAUUUUAGAAAAACUUUAGUUGCUACGAUUUUUUAUCUCACAAACAUCUGAUAUAGAUCUUGUAAACAUCUCACAACUUUCAAAUUUCAAAUGUCAAAUGUCAAAUAAAUUAUAUACUUAUUUUAUGUGAUUUAGAGUGAUUCUAUCCAUGCUUUAGAAAGUUUUUAGCUACUCUUUUUAUAUAUUGUAGAAAUCUCGUAACUUUCAAAUUUUAAUGUUCAAUCUCAAAUUAAUUAUAAACUUGUUUUAUAUGAUGUAGGGUGAUUAUUCUAAUUUCUACACAUGUUUUAGGAAGUUUAUAACUACUGUUUUUAUAUCUCGGAGACAUCUUGCAAACAUCUAGCAACCUUAAAACUUUAAAUGCUAAAUCACAAAUCAAUUAUAUGAUUUUAUAACAUGUUUGACUGAAUUUGUUAGCUAUUUUUUUUAAUCUCGUGCACAUCUUGCAAUGUCCAAAAUUUAUUUCAGGAAAAGAACAUUAAAGACUAGGAGAAUUAUCGAUAAGAAAAAAAAACAUAAACACUUAACAAAAUGGCAAGAUAGUUGAUUAAAAAAUGACUAAAACUUAUAAGAAAUGGUAGGAGUGGUUGAGUGAAAAGAAGUUAGAGAGGAGAGAAAAGGUGGAAAAAGAAAGCUUUUUUUUUUUUUUUUAUGUUUUUGGAGAAAAAAAAGAAAAAAGAGAAAAAAGAAAAAUUUCAUGCAAGGACAUUUCAAACAAUUAAUUUACAAAUUGGAAUGAGCUAAAGUGCUCCAAGAAAUGCCGAUCUAUUCUCAUACUCUUAAAUGGUUGUAAAGAUUUUUAGCGUUGUGGAAGGGAAAAGUAGAUGAAGCUGAGUGAAGAAGGAAGGAGACAUUACUAUUGAAAGAAGAAGGCGUAGUUACGGAGAAAAAGAGGUGAAGGACCAGUGCAUGAAGUAUGUGUUGAUUUUUAAGGAAGGUUGCGUGAAGAUGGUGAAGGGUUGAGUGAGGUAAAGUGAAGACGAUGGUGAAGGUCUAAACCGAUCAGGAAACUCAACGUUUUCAAAACUAGACCCAAUUCACCUCUUUGGUUCAAUGGUUCAAACCACUUUCUGGAAACUCCACACCUCUUGUGGAUGAAUAAUUUUAUUCAUAUUUUAAUCAAAUAUGAAUAAGGUAUAAAAAAAAAAUGCCACUUACCAUUAUAACUGUCGUUCACAAACAAUCACAAAAGUUGAUCGUUAACAAUUAAGAUGAUUGGUUGUACAACUGUCUUCCUAGUCAAUUGUUGAUGGUCAAGAUGAUCAUUCAUCAAUGGUUAAGACAUUUGGUGGCUGAGAAUCGACCAUCUAUAAACACUAUUGUUAGUCGUGUUGCUUACGAUCGUCGACCGUCCUUGAUGAGAGAGAGGAGAUGAAGAUAGAUUUUUCUCAAACUCAUGAAAGUAAUUAAAAUACCUCUUUUAAACCCGUUGUUUGAUCUCUUACCUUGAAAUUUUUUCUUAAUGCUUAAAUAUGUGCUCAAGUUUAAAAGUGGAGUUUUUAAUUCCAAACCUAUGAGUCAAACACUCCCUUAUAUAUUCCAUUAUUACAUACAUUAGUUGUCAUCAAUUUACGUCAAUGAUGCUAUGAUGUCGUACAUGUCUUAUAGUUUUUACACAUUAACCGUCACAACGAUUUUCAUAUUGUUUUCAUAAAGAUAAACUCUACAUGGUAUUUUUGUAAUAAAUUUUGAAUUUAGAAGGUAAAGGUGCAACUUUUCAUAAUAUGGAUAAAUAAUUGAAACACUCUCCAACAAGUUGUUAAAAAUGGUAAAUUUGACAAAAUAUUUAUAAAAUAUAGCAAAAUUUCAGUUUCUAUCAAUAAUAGACAUUGAUAGACACUGAUAUAUUUUGCUAUCAAUGACAUUGAUAGACAAUUAUAGGAGUUUGCCAAUUUCUAUCAUUGAUAGAAUCCAAAAUUUUGUUAUAGUUUAUUUUACUAUAUUUGAAAAUACAUCCACUACUAGAAAAAUAGGCUUUCUUGACGGUUGCUGUUUUCCUUUCUUGACGUUUUUUUCAAAAAACGUCAAGAAAGAUUUCAUUUUUAAUAAAAAACGUCAAGAAUUUUUCUGAAACAUCAUUCUUGACGUUUAUUAAACGUCAAGAAAAAAUAAAUUUUUUCUUGACGUUUUUAAAACGUCAAGAAAAAACAAAUUUUUUCUUGACGUUUUUAAAACAUCAAGAAAUAUCUAUUAAUUAUUUGACGUUCUUAAAACGUCAAGAAGCGUAUGAAUUCGACAUGCUUGACGUUUCUUAAACGUCAAGAAUUUAAAAUUUUACUUGACGUUUCAUUCGUACAUACUUUUGAUUAUUGUUGUGUGACUUUGUAAGUUGAUUUGAAUUCAUGCCAAUGUAAUGCCAUAUGGAAUCUAAUGUAAAGCCUAUUUCAUUAUGUAUAUGUAAAGUCUUGGAAUUGAAUAUUAUAUAUGGUGAAUGGUUUUAUUUAUAUAUUUUUGAGAUUUGAAACUAUAUUGGAUGAAUAUCAAAUAUCUAUGAAACUGUUUCUGGACAAUUACAGGACAAUCAUCGUUCCAUUACAGCAUAAUUCAAUUACAAAUUAUUUUUUUUAAAAAAAAAUUAAAAAAUGCUUGACGGUUUUAAAAUGUCAUGAACAAUUGCAAGCUUGACGGUUUUAAACUAUCACGAACAAUUGCAUUUUUGACGGUUUACAAAUGUUAAGAACAAUUACAUUCUUGACAGUUUUAAAAUGUCAUGAAUAUUAAAAUUCUUGACGGUUUAAAAAUGUCAUAAAUCAGUUCAUCCUUGACGGUUUUAAAAUGUCAUAAAUAAUACCAGUCUUGACGGUUCUAAAACGUCAUGAACAUAAGUAUACUUGACGUUUAUAAAACGUCAACGUUCACUAUUCUUGACGUUUAAUCAACCGUCAAGAACUUUGCCUUUCUUGACGCUGGCUUCAACGACGGUUUUAAAACCGUCAAGAAAGCCUUCUCUUGACAGUUUAAAAACGUCAAGAGAGCCUGUUUUUGUAGUAGUGAUCCUAAAUAUUUAGUAUAAUUGAACGGCAACAACAAUGAUUAACAAUAAUUUAAAAUGUGAAAAUUUGAAAAAGGACUUUUUCUUUGAAAAAACAUUAAAGGGUGCUGUAAACAAGCUGUAGAAAAACAAAUAAUUAUUUGAGGAAGAUGAUGAUAAUGAGUUUGAUAGUUUUUACACCAUUGAAUGCAUGAGAAAAAUUGCUUUAAUAAUGUGUAACUAAUAGUUAUGAAGGAACAUGUGGAUUUGAAAUUCAUAUCCAAUAAUUAGUAAGAGACGAAGAAUGGGUGACAAUCUGGUUAAAUACAUUUUUUUUCUUCAUGAAAACACAAUAAAAAGAAAGAGUUGAAAUUAUGAACAAAGUUAUAAGACACCCUAGCAAAGUUUAUGUUUCAAUUAAAUAACCUUUUUUUUAUCAGUUUGUGAUUGUGCUUCAUAAUUUUAAAAUGUUUACUUAAUUAUUGAAUAUUAUUAUCAAAUAAGGAAAUAGGAAUAUGAUUGAACAAAAGUUACUAAUAUCUUUAUGUCAAAAAAAUAAGAACAAAAUUCUUAAUGAUAGUGAGUGUGACUUUUGUUUUGUAUAGAUUCCAUGAGGAUAUAUAUUUAGGUGUAUGGAAUCUAUAUGUUACCUAAGCCAAAGCAUAUAGCUUGUAUUAAUAUUUGCAUUAAAGAACUUUGUUUCAUAGUCAAACAUUGUGCUCCAUAAAUAUGAAACAAUUAGUGAGCUCAAUACCUCAACAAAUGCAAAGAAUAAGAAUAAGAAUACGAAUUUUGUUUUGGUUCAUUAAUUAAAAUCAAAGAAUUAAAAUGAAAUAAAAGAAGAGCAUAGCAUAGCUUCUUUAUGAGUAUAGGGUUGUAACCUAUAUCUCCAUUCACAUAAAUUUGCAAGGAAAAUAGAGGGAAAAUUUCCUAACUUUUUAUUGAUUAGAAUCUCAAAGCUUUUCAACUUGACUGGACAAACAAAUAAUAAUAAGAAGAGACAUCAUGAGACAAACACAACCUUUAUUUUCCUUCUAUUACAAAAACAUAACAAUUCUGGAUGAUAUUCUCAAAAUAAUAAAUAAAUAAAUAUUGUUGGACCAUUUAUUUUAAUAAUACUCUUUUGACAACUUAUUAUUGAAAUAAUGGUGUUUGGAAUAAAUUUUGGGAAAUAUGGUUGUUGUAUAGGUUGAGUGUACCUAAGUAAAAAAAAAAAAAAAAUGCAGAAGUGUUCGCUCGUCCUAAGUUAUUGAAAAAAAAAUUAAAGAUCAAGUGUUGAACGCUCGACCUACAUGGUCAAAGUAGUGGUGCAAGGGGUAGUAGAAUAGGAGAGUGUUUGACACUCGUUCCCCCUCUUCAAUGUAUGUAGAGUCUAUUGUGCUGAAGCCCGACCUCGCCAUGCUUCUGUCUGUUGUGCUGCCUGAAUCCUGCCUCACUAUACAGUUUUCCAUGAAGGAGAGCAAGUCUGCCAGCCUUUCUUUCUUUGAUACACUAUCCAAAACAUAAUAACUUUAUAAGUUCUCCUAUCAGACUGGUCGACGUUGCAGUAAUAAGCUUAGCUUAGAGAAACAUGAUCGUUAUCUGGAAAGUGAGAAAACAUUUUGAAAGAAUCAGCUAAAAAUAUCCAAUAAGUGAUGAUUUUCCACUACAAGGAAUUGAGGAACACCAGACGCCACCAUAUUGCGUCAGUUUUUGUACCCAAGGAUGUUAGGAUUACCUCUCCCGACGUCACAAGAGCCAUCCAUAAGACCGUCAAAUGUAGUGCAUUAGGGGAGCAAAGCCCGACGGACUAACGGGACGGUGUCAGAAAUGGCCUAUUUUCGAUGCUUUCAAUGUCGACAUCUACAAGAUGUCAACAUUGGCUUAUUUAUGACAUCCUUUUCGUGCAUCAGGUGUAGUGUUCUCCUGACACAGUGUCGAAGGCACUUUCCUCGACGUCAUCUUCACAACAUCGGGGAAGGUCAUUAUGCCCAACGCAGUGUAUGCGUAGGGAAAAAUUGUUAUAUAUAUAUAUAUAUAUAUUAAUUAUAUUAUUCAAAAUAUUUUUUUUUGUUUUCGUGAGUAAGGUGUCUAUUGGGUUCUGAUUCAAUAUAAAUUCAAUAAAUUUAUGAAAAACAACAAACACAAAUUUAAUAACAAAUUAAAAUUUUAAUUAUAGAAUUAACUACUAAAUUCGAAUGUAUAAUGAAAAUUACAAAUUGUUUUAAUUCUUCAAAUUACAUGAAAAUGGAAAAAACUACACUAUCUUCUAAUUAUUGAUGUGGACGCCAAAUUGAGAGAAUUCUAAACCUACAAUGACAUAAAAGUAAAUUUAGAUAUACAUGACCAAUGACAAAUUAAACAACUUAAAAGUCUAAAAAAUACGUACCCCAAGUGUUCAACGUCCUCUCUGUCUCCGACUUAUUUCUUUGAUCAUCGUCCCUAUCUCUUCCAUUUUUUGGCCAUGCAACUUUGACAUUCUUCAUUAUUCUUCAAUUAGGUGUUUAGUGUUGUCAAGGCGAGCUUUUAAUUCGUUAACCUCCAUGGCAUGCAUCUUUUUGUCAAUUGAUGAAGACAAAGAACUAGACACCAAUUCUCAAAUUCAUGUACUCUAUAUACAUGUGCUAUAAACCAACCAGGAAAUAAUCAUUGAUGUUUUUUGAAUAAGUCAAAAGCGCUUUGACCCUAACGACGUAUCAACCGCAAGUGUUUCCUAAAGUAGAUAUUUGUGAGUUUGUGUGACAACAAUAACAAAGACUUAAAAUAGCCAAUGAAGUAUAAAGUUGAAAUUGCGUACUUGCAUUCGUUUGCUAUUUCAUCUACAUUGUCGAGGAUGUACCGAUCUAUCUACUAUUUUACCUCAUCAUCGAGAAUGAUAUCAUAAUUUAAUCAUCUUGAAUCAAGUCUCAAUCCCACUUAGAUACCUCGAACAAAAUGUUUCUGAUUCCUUCAUCAGAUAUGCUUCUGAAAUGAGCACCUCAGGAUGUGCUUUAUUUCGAACAAAAUAUUUUAAUGUGGGUGAACUUAUUUCAAUGAGAUACACCCAACUAUAAGAAACCAAAACAGCAACCUUGGUUUCACAUGGUAGUGUACAAGGUAGACCAUUACAUCGAAGAAGAUAGCUAGGAGUAUUCUUUCCAAAUUGCAAAAUAUAAUUACGAUAUUUUCUUGCAAUCGGUUCAAAUCUUUUACUCUUAUCGUUCUUGCACACAAGUCAUGAAAAAAAACUACACAGUUAGUAACAACGAUGUACACAUUUUUCUAUAAGUAUGCUCGAACAUCAUUAGGGAGAAGUCGAUGUAGCAAAACAUGACAUUCAUGUGUUUUGAGACAUUUUCCAGUCUUUGCCAUUCACAAAUCAUGAAAUAUUAGAAAUGAAUCUGUAACGCCCCAAACUCGAAGGUAUUUUAUUUUAAGAAAUUUUUUCGAUUUGUUCAAGAUUUAUUUUUUAAAAAGAAAAUAUGUUGAAGGGGGAUAAAGAAGAUUUGAAAAUGUAAUAAUAUAAUUAUAUAUAUUUAUUUAUUUUAUAAUUUUUAUUAUUAAAUUAAAUAAAAGAAAAGAAAAGAAAAUUUCCCUUUCUUCUUCCUCCCGCGCGCAAACCUCUCUCUCCAUCUUUUUCUUCUUCUCCUUCCUGUACCCUAGCCGCACGCCUCCCUUUCUUCUUCUCCGUUCACCCUAGCAGCCGGUCGUUUGCGAAGCAGUGGGCUACAAAAUCGUGGGUCAUGCGACUCUCCGUUUCCCUAGCUGAGCCACAAACCGUCUGUAUGCAGUCUCUCCGUCGCACGUCGUCUCUUCGUUGUAUUCCGUUUCUCUGUCGCACGUUGUCUGUUCACAAAGCUGCUGCUCGAUUUCUUCCGCGAGUAACACCUUUGACGUCCGCGCAGUCAGGUUUUCGUUCGCUACAGUGAAGCUGCCGUGAACCGAACUAAAGACCCCAGAUCCAACUUUCUGCGCGUCGAGUUUCUUCUUCGUCCUGCCGCAGGUAGCAAACCCACACCAUUCGAUUGGGUUGUUCACUAUCGUUCCUGCUUUGCCACGAGUCAUUAAAUUUUGGUCGGUAAGAUUGAAGUUAUGAAAUUUGUAGUUGUUUCCAAAAUAAACUCAAGUAAUAUUGCUGGAUUAAUUGGUUGGAUAAAUUGUUUACUGUUCGAUCAUAGGUUGAAGGUAACACUCGAAUUCCUUGGGUUCGCAGCAAACAAUUGAUUCUAGUUGGAACUCGUUUCGUGAAGAUUUGGGUAAGUUGUAAAAAAAAUCACAUUCGGUUGAAUUUAAAUGAUUGAUGCGUUGAAGAGAAUUAUUGAGAAAAUUGUCUAAAUGUUUAGGUUCGUUCUUCGUAGACUUCAACGUGGUUAAGGAGCUUAACUAACUUUAAGGUAAGGGACUUUCUACUGGACUCACCUACAAUUUUGAGUUAUGGUUGACUGUAUGGUUAAAUUGGAAUUUAGUGUAUAUGGUUAAAUUGGAAUUUAGUGUAUAUUGUGUUUAACUGGGAAAGACAGAUAUAUUUAUGUAUGGAAUGAUGUGGAUUUGGUAUUGAGUGCAUGCUGUGACUGGAUAUGUAUUUUUACACCUAUGGCUGUUGAAUGAUUGAAAGUUAUAGAUGUUUCUUGCAUAAAUGUAGGGUGGAACUGGUAGAUUGUCGUUUGACUGAAUAUAUGAUAUAUGGUUAUGAUUGUGUUUCUGUGAAUUGAGGAAAGGUCGUGGUUGUGUCCUUGUAGACUAAAGUGGAUGUUAUGAUUGUUUAGUUGUUCACUGAUGUACUGACGUGCUUCUAAUUGGCCUUGAGCUAAAUUCGAAUAAGAUGACUGUUAGGGACCAAGUGAAGAGUUUAUGAAAUGAGAAUAUUUAACUGAAUUGUGAAUGACUGUUAAAAAGUUUAGAAUGGACUGAGGGGAAAAAUUGUUAGCUUUUAUUGGGAUGUGUGCCUUGUAGGUGUCCCACGGGAUCACCAAUUAUUCUGCAUCCUUCGGGAGCAUUAGACUGAUAUGUGUUUCUGCAGAACACUAGACUGAAAUGUACGUCCCUCGGGGCGUUAGACUGAAAUGUGCAUCCUACGGGAUCACAAGACUGCGACUGCGACUGUACAGGGUGUCCCAAUAGAAUGUUAACAAUUUAUUUUCCCCUGACGGGACCAGUAGAGGGUCUCUUAUUGGGUAUUUUUAUACUCACCCUCCUUAUGUUUAAUUUUUCAGGCAAAGGUAAUAAAGGCGGCAAACCGGCGAGGGGUAGGAAGGAAGCGUGACCGCCACAGGGGACACUUUAAAAUUUUGCUUCCGCUUAGUGAUUUAUAGUAUUAUUUGUAUUCGAACGUGAGACUGUUUAGAAAAUUUUGAGGUUUUAAAGUAUUCACAUAUUUGAAACUUUGUAGUUUUAAAUUUUCAUGUGGAUUUUAGUAACUUAAAACUGGGCCCAAACAAACAAAAUAAAUUUUGUUCUUUUGAGGUUUGAAAUUUUAAUUAACCAAGGUCUUUUGUCAAAAGUUAAUGACCUCGACUUAGGUAAAAAGUUGGGUCGUUACAGAAUCCAUCAAGAAACUUAACUGAUUUUAGGUACUUGCAAAACGUAACUUGCUCGCUGCUAGUCAACGUGCAACUCUAAUGUGACUUCACCAAUAUGUUAUCAACUCUAUCAGGUGUAAAUCCUUUCUUAUUUUUAAAUCUUGUACGUUUAACCAAACAUUCGUGGUAUCCUUGAUUUUUUCUUCAAUGUUCAAUAAUGCACCGACUAAGUUGUCACAAACAUUCUUUUUAAUAUGCAUUACAUCAAGUUUAUGAGAUGAUAGUAGUCUCGAUUAGUAAGGAAUUUCGAAGAAAAUACUUCUCUUAAUCCAAUUGAGAGUUCUCUUUCUUUUCUUAUCUCUUAAUAAAAGAUGUUUUACUCAAAACUGAAAAACUCCAACGAAUCUAGUUUUUUCAAGAUUUCAUGACUAUUCGUUACCACUAGAGGAUCCUUAUGCUUUACCUUUCCAUCGUGUAGCUUACUUCUAUGCCAAACCUGGUUCUUUGGAAGAUAGUGUCAAUGUCCCAUGAAAUAUAUUCUUCUUCUUAUCCCAAAUGGCAAUCGAUAUCCCAUGCAUAUGGGACAUGCCUGAUACUCUUUUGUACUCCAUCUAUAUAAGUCACCAUAUGUCGGGAAUGAUAGAAAUAAAACAUGCGCAGCGGAAAUAGGAUCAAAAUCCUCCCUAAUUGCAUUUAAAAAAGCAUAGAACCCUAAAUCGAAAACUAGUUUGAAAUUAGGGUUUAUUUUGAAAUACUUACAUUAGAAGUGUCAAUAGUUGCUUGAACCACCACUAGGGUUGACCUACUAUCCUCCGAACUUAGAAUCGGGUUGUGGGACCCAUUUGAUGAAGAAAACUUGGAGAGAGAGAAAAUAUGGAAAUGGUAUUAGGAAUAGAGUUGGGUUUUAAUUUUGGUUUUUUAAAAAAACCAAAAGAUAAACCAGCAGCCCAAUAAACUUUUCAACAACAUCAACCCUUUCCAAAAGAUCCUAAGAGCCCAAUUUACAGAGAAGUCACAUGCAAAGUUGUAUAUGCAUGCAAGCUCAUGGGCCAACAACACAUAAUCCCGUAACCAUUAGGGGGCUUAAUGUCUUCAUAGUGUGCUAACACCUAGCCCAUUAUAGUUAGUGGGAUUAUCCAACAAAAUGUUGGAUUAUCCCACUAAAUUUGGUCAAAGGGCAAAAUUAUCAUUUAGUCAAAGUCAAACUUUAACUUUUCAAAUAAAAAAGUUAACAUCUUGACUUUUUAUAAUUUUGUCCGUUUUGAUUAAUUUUAACAUCCCGAGCAUGAAUCCACAUUCAUUUUCUCCAGAUUCAAAUCACAUUUGAGUAUAUUGCCCAUCAAAGUUUAACUUUUCAAAGUAAACACUAACAUUUUCACUUUUUUUUUAUAACUUUCACUAUUUUCAUCAAUUUCGAGCUUCCGAGUAUGAAUCAACAUUCAUAUUUAAAUCCUAUUUAAACAUAAAGCUCUAUCUGUAAUCUAAAACUCGACGCCUAUAUCAAAUGUAUUUGUCGAUUUCUCUUUCCUCGCCUAAUUCGAAUAAUUCGACUCAUUCCAUCAUAUUAUUCUAAGUUUAUUCUAUAUGAGCUAGCAGGGGAACCUAAUGGACCUACAAAUCAUGGGAUCCAACGAUAUGAUAUUAACUGCCUAAGCUUUUUUAUACCGAGCUAAUCAACAUUCGUUAACUAACGGGUCAUUCCACUAAAGUCCUUUAGUUGUACUCGCCUCACUAUAGAUAUAUUUGUGUCUAUUUGAUAUAACCAUGAUCAGUAAGUUACUCCUGUUGGAAUUUAUAUCCUAAAACUUGCAGAUUGUAAAUAUAAUCCAUUGACUGUUGUUAAUAAAGUGUUAUUAUUGUAAUAAUUGUUAUUGGUUAUAUUAUUAGUUUUGUCUAAUAACCCAAAUCCAAUAAACUAACAUCCUAAACUAUUUAAUGAGUCUUGAACAGUAUGUAGAGACAUACAAGGGUCAAUGUUUGAGAUAAGCUUAAAGGGGCUAUAGAAUAAGGAUAAGACUGGUUACCUUAUCUUGGUAACACUAUGGAUACAACUUAAUUUGUAUUUGAUACCAAUGCAAUGAUCCAACACGUUCUGUAAUUGAUAUGCGAGUGAGGAUAUCCUAUACAAUAAAAUUGCAUAAGAUCAGACCACAUAAUAGUAACCACUAGAUGUAACUCCGUUAAUUAGUUAGGUUUCUAUUUUAAAGAUGACCAAGAUAACUUAGUCUUAAUCAUGAGUGUGGUAUGAACUCUGGCGCAUAAUAGAUCGAUAUGAAUAUCAUGAGGGAUUGUCCUUUGAUUUGAAUGGGUGAGAGUGGCCAGAUCAUCGACUCAAUAAGCUUAUCAUUUUGGAAACAAAACCAAGUGGGGAGCUGGGAACAUGAUUACACAAGAUGGAAUUCACUCCUUUCCUACUUUAGGAUAAGUAGAUUAGUGUUCCCUUUAAUGGUGUCUCUAGAACUUGAACAAAGGGCUCUACCAUCUCUAUGGCACGAGAGGGAUUUCUAUUUAUUGGUAGGACCAUAAUAGGUAGUUCAUUAAUGGAGCACUGGUAAUUAAGGAUUAGAAGUAACCAAGGGGUAAAAUGGUAAAUUGAUCUAGUUGGUGUUAUGAACACUCGUGAAUGACUAACUUACUGUUAUUGGUCUAUAUCCAUACAGACAUAAAUAUAUCUACAGUGAGAAGAGUUUAGUUGUGAGUCUUUAGUGGAGUGUACACACAGUUAACAAAUAUUAAUUCAUGUGGUUAAUGAGUUCAGCCAAUUAAUCUCAUAACAUUGUAACUUUUGAUUUGUAGGUCAAUUAGGUACCCUUCUUAGCUCGUAAAGGGUAGUGAAGUUUAUUUAUAUUGGUUGUAAUUUGAAGUGUUCAAAAUUACCUGGAAAUUAAUUGAAUGUAUUGGUACAUUAUAAUAUAAAGUUUAUCAAACUUUAUUAUAUAAGUUUAAUUUUGGAUAUGAUUCAAAAUUAAUUUACGAGAUAUAAAAUAUUUGAAUGAGCUCAAAUAUUAAUUUAACGUGAAUUGAAUUCAUAUUAAAAUUAUUGAGAGAAACUUAUAUUUGAAUAUGAUUCAAAUUUAAUUUAAGUUAAAUAUAACAUAUUUAAUUUGACUAUUAAUUAAUUGGAGAAUUAAUUAAUAGUUCAGUUUUAUUUAAUUAAAUUUGAUUUAAUUUAAUUAAUAUAAAUCUAUAAGAUGUUGGAGAGAUAUUCAUUCAAAUAAGAUUAGAAUGAAAUAUUAAUUCAAUAUGAUUUAAUUAAUUAUAUUAUUAUACAUCUAUAAGAUAUUGAAGAGAUAUUCAUUUAAAUAAGAUUUAAAUGAAAUAUUAAUUAAAUAUGAUUUAAUUAAUUAAUGAUUAUUAAUUAGUAUAUUUGAAAUAUCUAUUAAUUUAAUGUUUUUUAAAUUAAUAGAAUCCCACGAUUCUCUCCGACACUUUUUCCUAUUCAAGAAGGGAUCAGAGUUAUAAAUAUCUAGACGAAAACAAUUUUCUUUAACGAUUUUUUUUUAAAAAAAAACCAAGCCUAUUGCUCUCUGCAAAAAUAAAAGAGAUUCUCUCAAAUAUCUCUAAACAUUUUCUCAUCCUAGAGGAUAGGAAGGUCUCCAACGGAUGGUGUCCCCAAUUUGGUAGUUUGUAGAUUCAAAGACAUCAACAAAAGUAAGUUUUCUGUAUCUUUUAAAUUAAAAGCAUACUUAGUUAUUAUUUAGAAUUUUGAUUCUAAAUUUUUGCCAAUGUAGUGGUAUUUUAGGAUUUCCAAAUUAAUUUGAGGAAUGGUUUGGUAAAAUCUUCCACUGCCAUAGGGCUUUUAUCCCUUCAAAUCCUUCACAAGUUGUUUGUAACCUCAACUGGGUCAAAAUAUCAUUUACCCUUAAGACUACAUCUUGCACUUUAAGUCCCACUGAUCCACUGUUGAACAAUUGGUUUAAGGUCCAACCUACAAACUAAAUCUCUCUCGGGACAAUGAGAUAGUGGGACCCCUUAUUCAAGACUUGAAUUCAAUCCUUAAGGAAACAAUCUAUCUACUAACUAUAAAGCACGUGGAGUGAAUUACGUCUUUCACCCUAUGUGUCCAGCUAACCACCCGAUCUUACCUCUGAAAUUGAAGGCUUUUUAGACCAACGCUAAUGAGCUGCCAUCAUCUAUGCAAAUCUAAGGAUAAUCUUGUAUAAACAGAAGUGCAUAGUUAGUUCAGGAUUAAGAUUAAGUUACUUAGGUCAUCAAUAAACGAGAUAGUUAGUUUUAAACAGUAAACAACGUUAUAACGUAAAAGUGACUAUGUCAUGGUUCAAUCUUAUUUAAACACUUUACAUAAGAUGCCCUCACUCUCAUGUCACUACUUGCAUCUACUUCUUUUCUUAAUAUGCAUCUCCUUCUUUUUCCAUGACCUUUCUCCACUGGAUGUUCUGUAACACUUCUUCAUUUGUUGUUGGUUCUUCAAACACUGCUAACAUUGCAUUUGCAUAACUAAAAUUUGAUAUUCUUUGUUUGGUUGAUCUUUUUAUUUAUAAUUCUUUAUCAUGGUCACCGAUUACUAGAAAAAUGAGCUAUAAUGACGCUACUAAUCAAAACACUGUAUCGUUGAAAAUAAAAAAUAAAAUAAAGGGGGUGAGGUGAGGUAAAUUAUGUCGUUGAAGAUAAAAGUACGGAUUAUUUAUUGACACAAUUUAAUUUAUUUUUAACACAAUUUUUCCGUCGCUAGUUAACGACAAAUUUUUUGUCAUUAAAAAAAUUUCCAAAUGAAAAAACCUCAAAUUUUAAAAUUUUUAAUUUCCCUCCCUCACUCAUUUAAAACUAAAUUAAAAACCCCAAAUUUUCUGUCAAACAAAAACGUUGUCGUCGAACAAGUCUGAACGCAAAACUUUCCUCUCUACCAAAAACUCAAAAAACAAAUCCCGCUGAACGAAGUGGGCUAUCACAUCGUUGUGAAGAACCCUUGCCUUUCAAUUUUCUGUAACCUGCCGCCGUCAAUUCCACCAUCCAACCAUUGCCUUCAUUGUCACCACAAUAAGCCUUCACCGUCAAACCCACAAAUCUAUCCACUCCUGUUGAAUAAAUUUAUUUAGAAAUAUGAGUUUUAGUGACAUUUGAAAUCAAGAAAAAAGAGGUAGGAGAGAAUAAAAAGUGUCGUUAAAAAUAAAAAUGCAAAAUUUCUCGUGACACGAUUUUCUUGACACAAAUUGAGUUUUCUUGACACAAUUUUCGCAUCAUUAAUUAAUGACAUAAAUUAUGUGUCAUUAAAAAUUACCUGAAUAAAAAAAUCAAUGUGUUUCUUAAUUCGACGCUUUCAUCCCUCUUGCGACGAUCGAAAAAAACCCUUACUUCAUCCCACGUCAUUGUAGUUUUUCUCUCUCGCAAAGACUCUCCGGUGACAUUUCCCCCUCCCUUGCAAACGAUCUUCACGACUUUCCCUCUCGCUCAAAAGCUCUUUACCUGCCAUUUUGAAAGAGCUCACCAAAUUUGCAGAUAGUUGAAGAAUCCGUAGACCAUGAGAUUGAUCAAGUCCAUUUAUGAGUUAGUUUGAUUAGAUUAGGUCACACAUACAUGUAUUACAAUUAAUUUUAUCUUUUGGAUUACUGUAAAACCUUUACCGACAAUGUAGUUUAUAUUUUCUAUUAUCAAUAAAAGAAAAUUUAUAAACAUAUGUGGGUAAGUUGAAUCAUGUAUUUAUAUCCAUCAUUUAUAUGUCAAAAAAAUAUGUGCUGUGACUUGAAAAAUAACGACGUCAAACAAGUGUCAACAUAUAAACCUUUAUUAAAGAGGAACGGUGUCGGAACCAUCAUGGGCUGACCUAGUGGUAAAAAGUUAAAAAAUUACCUAAGAGGUCAUGAGUUCGAUUCAUGGUGGCCACCUAACCUAAGAAUUAAUUUUCUAUAUGCCUAAAUAUUGUAGAGUCAAAUGUGUUGUCCUGUAAGAUUGAUUGAUGUGCGUGUACUCGUGUCCGAACACAUUUUUUAAAGUGUCAUUGCAAAUUUUGCGUCGUUAAAACCCAAAUUUUCGGUUGCUCUUUUUCUUGUUCCUUUUCCUCAUUUGAAAGAUAUUAUUCUCUUUAUGUUGGAGCUUGUUGUCAUUGGCUCCUUUCUUACUUUGAUAUUUCUAACAAAGACAUCUUAUCAUUGGUUACAUUUUCUAAUUUAGUUGAAAGAUUUGUCUUAGUUCUUCAUGUGUCCACUCCUUAGUUCUUUGCCAAUGUCUCUGCACUUCUCUAUGUUUGAAUUGUUUAGAUUUGUUCGUGCUGUUCAGAUCUACGACGUUCAGGCAUGAUUCAAAUCCACGACACUCCUCUCCAUUCGACCGCUCAGAUCCGUCGCUCCUCUGCUCUGUUCCUGUUAAUCAUCCAUCUGCUACGUCGUUCGCCACAAUCUUUGUUUUGCGUUUCUCAGACAACUAGGUUCCCGUUGCGCUGUUCUCUAACGAGAAGAUCUCUGUCGUUACAAGAUGUUUCAUAUCUUCGUCGUUGUGUCUUUGAAAAAUUAGUUCCAGUUCAUUGUUGAUCCUUGUUCUAAUUGUGGAUUCGUUUGUACUGCUCGUCCUACUCUCAGAUUUGUGAUUAGCUUGUGAUUUGUUGAUCCCUGUUUUAGAUCUUAGUUCCGUCGUGUCUUUGGUUCUAGAUCGCCUCUGAUGUCCUCCGCUACCACCAUUGUAGCCCUCUAUCAUUUCCUUUUUCGCAGAUCUGCCGCUUAGAUCUGACCAGAAUAGUUUCUGAGCUUUGUAUUGAUGGAAAAAAACGAUAUCACCAAGUUUUCUCCUAAAAAUGGUUCUUCAUCUAUCAUUGUUGCUGCCACCAUUUGAUAGCACUGCACCUCCGAGCUUUCAGUUAACUAAUCUUCAUAACUAACUGAAAUAGGUGAUCUCUUCUAAAUCUAAUGCUCUUACUUUCACCUCAGAUACCUCUUGACUCCUAGAUUCGGCUUGUUGUAAUCAUAUAACUUCUGACAUUUCGUUGUUAUCCUUCUUUAUUCUUAUUCAAUCCCUUCCCCAAAUCCACUCUGCUAAUGGUAAUCACAUGUCUAUUUUCUCACAUUGGGACUAUUAAUACACCCAUCAUAAAUCUUUCCAACACCUAUCAUGUCCCAAAUCUCACAUUCAACCUAGUCUAUGUUGGCCAAUUAUGUGAUCUCGGACUAACCAUUGUCUUUUCUUCUCAUGGGUGUCAAGUUCAGGAUCCUUAGACGGGAAGUGAUUUGUAUGGGACAAAAGGUGGGACGAUUAUUUGAACUCACAUCUCUAUAACACUCUUCCAUGUUUCUACCCAUCUCUCUAUCAGUCACCGAUAACACUAUAUAUCAAUGGCAUCUUCACCUAGGUCAUGCAUCCUCUGAUAAACUUCAUAAGUUAGUUUCUACUGACACCUUGAAUAAUGUCACUAAAUUUAGUCCUUUUGACGGUUUAAAUUACAAACUUGUGAAACAACCUGCUUUAUCCUUUUCUAAUUCUAAUUCGUUAUGUGAUACACCAUUUGACCUUAUUCAUUAUGACAUUUGGGGUCCUGCUCCAUGUACUACUGUUAAUGGUUAUCGAUAUUUUGUAUUAUUUAUUGAUGACUAUUCUCGUUUUACUUGAAUUUACAUUCAUCGUUCUUCCUUAUAUCAAAUCUAUGUUGACUUUGCGAAUAUUGUUCACAUACAAUUCUCUAGCACAAUUAAAACUCUUUGCACAAAUAAUGCGAUGGAAUAUAAGGACUCUCGCCUUAUUUCCUUCAUUGUCCAACAAGGCACUCUAAUUCAACACUCAUGUCCACACACCUUCCAACAAAUGGAAAAAUAUAAUGCAAACAUCAUCACAUGCAUUCUAGACUCUGUUCGUGCUCAACUUGUCUUUGCUUCCUAUCCUAAAAAAUUUUGGGGAGAGAUUGCCCUCAUCUAUGUCUAUGUCAUCAACCGUCUUUCCUCUCAGAUCAUUCACAAUGUUUCUCCCUUUGAACGACUAUACAAUACUCCCCCCUCUUACUUUAAUCUCAAAGUCUUUAGUUGUGCAUGCUUUGUGUUAUUACAUCCUUAUGAACAUAACAAACUUGAACCUUGUGCUCAUCUAUGUUGUUUCUUGGUUUAUGGUAUUGAACAUAAAGGAUUUUGUUGUUGGAAUCCCAUCUUCUAAUGAUUAUGUAUAUCUCGUCAUGUCACCUUUUAAGAACAUCGUAUGUUUUCUAAUCCAUUGCAUGCAUCUCUAUCUAGUCCUCAUCCAUUCUUCACUGAUCCUUCUACUGACCUAUUCUCCACAUUUGACUCACCAUCUGACCCUACACCUUGUCCUCUAUUCAUAUCUGAGCUCACUCAAUCUAAUCCUAUCUUUGUACUCUUGGAUCUUCCAUAUGCCCCUUGUAAGGAACCUGAAUUGGCACAUAUUUUAUGAUCCACCCGGAUAAGAGAAACUCCUCCUUAUCUGAAAGAUUACCGUUGUUUUCCCACUAUUAUGUCUUUGGUUGAACCUUCCUCGUAUAUGGAAGUCAAUUCUAACUCUUUGUGGCAGCAAGCAAUGGAAGUUUACUCAUAAGAUUUAUAGCACUUCUCUUUUAAGGGUGGCAAGCUCUCAGCACCAAAUACCCACACUUGUUCUUCUUUCAGGACACAACUGAUGGAAGUUAUCUCGCUAAGGUGGAGUUUGUCUCCAAACUUCUUCUUAUACGCAUUUGCCGUAUCUUUUACACUUGCUCUCCCGAGUAGUUGGCGAUUUACACUAGCAAGAUGAUGAUUAUAGCUCAACUAACAUGGUAAGUGUUAUAAGCUAAACUUCUUAUCAAGAACUUAUCACAGACCUAAACUACAAAUGACAUAUUGACAGAUGAAUAGUGUUGCCACGUACCCGAGACGAUGCAGAGCAACCGACGUCCUCAAAAAAGUUAGUUCUAAAAGAAAAUAAGAGUCGUCACCAAUCUUUUUUACGGUGUGAUUGGACAUCGAAAUAAAGUAAAUAAUUUUUUUUAAAAAAAUGGUCUGCAAAAAAUAGAGUUGAGUUCGAGAGUCAUUUGUGUGUGGGGAAGGUAUUAGCACCCCACAACACCCAUUUAGAAAAACAAUGGCCAAAUUUUAAAUCUCGAAUUUAGAAUGUUUUUUAAUUUAUUUUAAAACUGAUGUCUUAUUUUACCCCUCAUUACUCCAAUAUUUGAAGCAAUGAUCUCAUAAAAUAAGUGUAAUAAGUGUAAUAAUAUUCCAUCUUCUAGCAUAGGGGAUUACAAGAGCUUUACAAUGAUUGCUGAAACAACAUAGACCAUACUGAUAAGCUUUGAACAUUCUCUAAUUACAUGAAAUCGAUUCAAAGAAAAACAAUUUGAAACGACGGAUACCGAAAUCAAUUCAACCAAAAUCGUCAACAUAGUUGAAGUAGAAGAAGGUCUUUUUCUUUCAUUGCACUCCUAUGGCCGACGAUUUAUAGCGUAUAAUUCUUCUCUAUUGUUGCUUUCAAAUUUCAAUCUAUGAUGCAGUGUACUUAGGAGUAGAAGACGUGGUACGGUGGAAGAAAUGGAACAAUCAAAUAUAUGGUUGUUAGAAGGUAAAAUAUGACUUUUUAAUUGGUUGUUCUAUUUCAGCCCAUAUUGUGUUUGGGGUAAUGUCUGACUGAAUUUAACCCAAUUAGUUUUGCAGAAAGAGUGUGAAUGUUGGAAAUGGUGGUUGUGGUUGAUAAUUUAAGUUAUUUUUAGCUUGCCCACUUAAGAAAAUAACAUCUCCCAAACUUGUAGAUUAAGUUAUCUGAUCAUUUGGACAUGUUCAAGCUUCUACCUUUAAGUUUUUGUAAUUUUACUUCUUCUCUUCUUUCAUGUUUUUUUUAAAGUGCACUUUCUAGUUUAAUCCUCUAUCAUUGGAAUGUUCUGCAAAUCAUCUAAUUAAAUCCAUAAAUUGGUAUCCAAUUUUCCCUCUUUUCCAUAAAUUUGCAGUGCCAAGUAGGUUAUGUGUUGAACUUUUGUUGAGUUUCUAUGAAGAAAUAUAUAUGUUAUGUGAUUCUGUUUAUAUAAAAAUUUUAGUGAGUCAAUGUUGAGCAGUGGUACAUUUAGUCAUAAUGAAUUGUCCUACUCGUUGAAACCAAUAGUGUACAUUACUUUGCGUCUGCACUCUUGUUAGGAAUAAGCUUGAAAAGCGGAGUUAUGAUAUUUUCCUGCUUAUAUGCUAUUGAUUAUGGGUUCUUAGUGCUAUGUUAAUCAAUUAGUAAAGUUAUUUUUCCGCAGUUUUCCUUUUUUACAAUGAUAGAGAAUAUGUCUAUGAUCGAAGAAUAUGGGAAGCUACCAAGACUUACUAUUGUAUUACAAAGUUAUAUAUUACAACUUGUUUGAGUUAUUUUCUCUUUACUCCAUAUUGACUACACUUUCUUUACUUUCUCUAGCCCACCUCCAUAUUAGCUACACUUUGUCUUGAGUGACUUUGUUUUAAUUGUUGUUGGAGGUGUAGUUGAGUGAGUGUGUUUUAUUUUCUUUUAUCCCUUUGGAAAUUAUUGAACUGUUGAUUUGGACUAACUAAAUGUAAUUUAAAGUUUUUGUUUCCUAAGAAUAUUACACCACAACAAGGGGUAGUGAAGGUAUGGAGUUUUAAUUCGCUCAAGCAUGAAUUUAUUGAUAAAUUAUUGAUUAACUCAGGUAGUUUCUUCUUUUAUAUCAGUUUUUAGAAAAUUAUUGGGGUGAAAUUCUUUCUAGAGUUUUGAAUGGAUAUUAUGCAUAAUGGUCAUACAGUUGUCCUUGUUGUUCAUUUUAAUUGUUUGAAAAAUCUUGACGUUGCAUCAAGCCACCCAAAGAUAUCUGAAGAUUCUAGACCUUGUUCUCAAGACCGUUAUUGUUAUUUCUAUACUUACUAAUCUAAACAUUUAUAGAACAACAAUGACUGUAGCUUUGUUUGUUUCCUCAUCAUCACUCUAUUUUUGAGAACUAUGUUAAGGUCUCACUUAAAGACUCGAGCACCACAACCAUUUUCGUUUUCAACUUGAAAUUGUGCGCACAAGGACCAUGUAUGCUCUUUCUAUACUCAUCUUUUAUAACAUAUAGAAUGAGGAAUUGCUUUCUCUUCUGUACUUAUGUUGAUACUCAAACCACAAGUCCACACACAUCCUAAAGUAUUAAUAUGAGGAAUUGCCUUCUCUUCAAUACUUAUGUUGAUAUUCAAACCACAAGUAUACAUACAUCACGUAGUUGUACUUGUAUUGAUACAAUUUAAUUAAUUCCUAAAUGCUGUUUAUUUCAACUUAUUGGUUAUUUUCAGGUUUAUGAAGGCUUUCUUGCUAUUAUAUAUAGUCAUCCUAUCAGGAGGAGCACUAGACUUCUAUGGUGAGCAAUUUCUCUUGAUAUUUUUGGCUUUCUUCUAAGAACUUCAUAAUCGUUUGAUGUGAUAUUCUGGUAGUUUGCAUUUGAUUUUUUUCUUCAAUAUGAUUUUUCUUUCUUCUUCCACUCCUAAUUUUUUUUUUUCAGGUUUUAUGUUAUUUUACAGAUUGAAAAAAGUUCGUUCCGAGGAAGCUUCUUCAGAGGUGAAGUUAAUUGACUCAAGUUAUAUAUAAUUACUGUGUAAUUCUUUUCCCUCUCCUUUCAGUUGAAGUGUUAGUUCAUGAAUUUGUAUGGAUGUGGAUGUGGAUGUGAAAUCCGUUAACAUUAAAUUGCUUAAUAAUUUAAAAUCAAAGAUAUUAUCCACAAAGUAUACAUUGUAGGACCAUUAUCUGAAAUUUAAUAAAUCUCAAGAUUCAGGAAUAAUUCUAUUACAUGUAGGUUGGUGGUCUAGCAGUUGUCUGUGUUGUAUGUUUUACAUCAAGUGCUUUGGUAGAUCUUCUUACGGAUAUUUCUGUAAGUUGUAGACUGUCUCUUUUUGUGUUUGAAUCCAGUUAGUUAUGAAUGAUCUCAUAUAUAUAUGCUUCGUUUAAGUUUCUAACUUCUCUCACUUACGAUAGAUUUCUUAUAGUUGGCACUUCAAGAGAACAAAUGGAGUAGAGGCAUCAGUCAUUUUAUGUUUGUACUUCUGCAUGGGUAUGUCCUUCUGAUUUCUUUUAUGGAUCUGGGAUCUAAAUUAUUUGAGUAUUAGAUACUGGUUUGUCGUGUCUUCCUUCUUGGGUUGAUCUUUGUAGAAAUUUGGUAUCCUCUUUUGAUUUUUUAUUUUCCUCCAAAGUUUUUUAUUUUGUUAUAUAUGUGUGUGUAUGCAUAAAUAUGUAUUAUAGCUACUAGCUAAAAGAGGUUGCGUAACUAAAGUUUAAAACUUUCAACCCUCUGAACUGUACUACGUUUGGAUGGGAUAUUGGGUGCAGUAUCUUUAUAAUGUUAUUGGCAUUGUAUUUGUUGAAAAUUGAGAUAUGUUUUUAUUAGCCUGAUAUUAUAGUUACAUAUGGUUGGUACAUGAUCUAGAGAGAUUAAGGCCAAGUGUGGCAUGGUGAAUAUUAUUUAUGUUAGAUUUAAGCUUUGCUUAUACAAAAAUGCCCCUUCAUCUUCUUCUCUCUUGAUCUCCUAAUCAAUCUAGAGUUGCCAUCAUAAAUAGUUAUUUUGAUCUAAAACUUCUUAUAGUUGUUUUGUUGUUUUUUCUUUCAGGGGGAACUUGGUUUUUAUCUUUCUUAUCAAUUGAUGCAAAGAGCAUUGAGUAUUUUUGGAGCUUUUGUUCAUUGGUAUAACAAGAGGAUAUACUUUAGUUUUGGUAUACCACACACAUUUUUUGUUAUAUAAAAAUAACUAUUAUUAUUGUUGAUUUCGGAAUAGGCCAUAUAUAGUAAAUUUAGUUGACUGUAUUGGAUUGAAAUUAUGUAAUUGUUGGUGACAUUGUUGAGAUUAAUGAAAUUAUUGUUGGUUUACUUAUUAUACUAAAUUAUGUCAUUUUAUUGUUGUGUAACUAUUGGUUGGAGAGUUUUUUUUUUUUUUGUUGAUGAAUAUGUUUUAUUAAAACAAAUAUACAUAAUGUAGGAAACAUGAAAUGAAAAUUUUUGUAUAUUAAAUAUAUUAAUUACAUGACGUUAAAUACAUGUCAAGUAUACCAUCUUACUUGAAUCAAAUAUACACUUUUACUUGAUGGAUAAAUAGUGUCAAGUAUACUAUUUUACUUGACGGGUAAAUAGUGUCAAGUAUAUUAUCUUACUUGAUAUGUCAAUAAUGUCAAGUAUACGAUUUUACUUGACGUGAAAAAACCGUCAAGUAUAGGGCGUUACUUCAUAAAAUGCAUCAUGUAUACGACCUUACUCGACACAUAAUAAGUGUCAAGUGCAAUAGAUUACUUGACGUUAAAACACUGUCAAGUAAAUAUAUACUUGAUAGUUUUUUAGUGUCAAGUAAUGUGACUAUACUUGACGCUUUUAAAAACGUCAAGUAUACGUUUACUUGACACUGUAUUAACGUCAAGUAAACCAAAUUUUGUAGUAGUGAAAGACUAAUUUAGAAAACCUGAUGAAAUCAUAUGUUAAAUUUUGAAGAUUUUGAAAAAACCUAAAACAUUUAUAGCAUUAGUAUAAUAAAACCUUUAAGUGCAUCUAACAAUAAUUAUUAUACUAAUGUUAUAAAUGUUUUAGGUUUUUUCAAAAUCUUCAAAAUUUAGCAUAUGAUUUCAUCAUGUUUCUUAAACCAGUCUUUUCUAAAAACUUAUACCGUUUUUCUUAAACAAAAUCCUACGACGGAAUCUAGGAAGUUUGGGAGUCCGUUUUUCUAGAUUUUUUUAGAUGAGUGAUCAAUAUCUUUGAGAGUUCGAGAUUCGAUCCCAAGAAAAAAUGAAUUUAAUCAAUGUUAAAAAAAAUCUUUAUUCAAAGACUAGCCUAUGAUAGAUUUUGAGAAAUUUGUAAUAGAAAUUUGUAUUAGUCUCUUCUUUUAUGUAUAAUCUUGCGUUAAGACACUGAAAACAAGGUGAAAUAGACAUAGAGCCUUAUGUAGAGUAUUUUCAAGUAUUUAUGAAUUUACAACAUAAGCUUAUGCGCUUUGACAUACUUACUACACGUUUUGGUCUUAUUAUUCUAUCUAAAAGGCUAUAAUAACUUGUAUUUCUACAAGUUAUUAUCAAACAUCUAGCGGUAUUGUUCUCCUUCUUUUAUAUGUUGAUGAAAUGGUUAUUACAGGUGAUAACCCUCAAAUCAUAUAUGAUUUGCAAUGUUACCUGGGUAAGCACUUUGAAAUGAAGGAUUUAGGAACUCUCAACUAUUUUCUUGGCCUUGAGAUCUUGUUCUUGUCUAAUGACUACUAUUUAUCUCAAGCUCGUCUAAUAACUACUACUUAUCUCAAGCAAAACAUGUCUCUGACCUCCUCAGUCAAUCUGUUAUUACUAAUAGAUUUUGCCACGUCCUUGAUACCUAUGGAUCCAAAUGUGCGAUUCACUCCUUUUGAUGGUGUUUCGACAACUUGUUGGCAGCCUAAUUUACUUAAGUGUGACCCAUUGUAUGUAAUUCACAUUGUCGGUCAAUUCAUGACUACUUCUCAUACUAUUCACUUCACUGUUGUUCUUUGUAUUCUUUGUUAUAUUAAAGACAUUUUGGGUCAUGAUUUACAAUUCUCCUCGGUCCUCUCUAGAUUCUUUGAUGUUGAUUGGACAGGUGAUCCUACUGAUAGAUGGUCCACCAUUAGCUAUUGUUUCUAUUUAGAUGAUGUUUUUAUCUCCUCAACCAACACGAAACAAUUUGAAUAUCGUGCUCUAACCGAUGCCGCUUCGGAUUACUAUGACUUCAUUGGCUUUUUACUAAUAUGGGCCCCACAAAGAUCACUCAUUAUGAUGUAUUCAUGAAUGAACAAAACACAGAGAAUGAUUGUCGUUUGAUUCAUCAUCAUCCUCACGCCACACUCUCCUAUCUCCAAUCCAUCACCACCACUGACCAACAACAGACAUUUUCACCAAAACUCUCAAUUCAACUUGAAUUUGAGGAAGAGGGUAUUGUCGUAAGUAGAGUAAAUACUUAUUCAUGUAUUUAAUAUGCAAUAUUAUUCUUUGGAGCUAUUCAUUUGUGUAUAAUUAUCUUGUAUGCUUGGAAAAUAUGGAUAUCAAUAUCAGUAUCAAUAAGAGAUACAAUUAUUGAAUAAACAAUGUCAAAUGCAAAAGAAGCUAACUUGAAAGGUCUGUUUGUAAUUUAGUGGGAGUGAGCAGAGUGUAAUUUGUGUUUGGAAGUCAUCAAUUUUCUCACCGAUAAAUAGUUUUUGUUUUGGUGAGAGUAAUAUUAUUUUGUAAACUAUGGCAUGUCAAUAUUCCUUUUUCUUUUUUUGGUCAUAUACCUACCCUACAUUGUCCUCGUUGAGGAAUGUAUGAAACUAACAUAAUAAUACAUUAUAAGCAAAAGACAAAUCACCAAUAAAACGGUGCUAUCCACUUUUAUGAUACAUAUCUGAAAACAAAACGCUGUCCUGUCAUCAUCAUCUUCUUCAAAUCUCCCACACAAUUUCACCUUAAAACUUUUUCCAUUACACAACUUCAUAGCCACCCUCUUAUAAACAAACAACAACUUCCCAAAAGCUUCAGAAAAUGGCCAACAACCCAAAAACAGGGGCCAGAGCAGAGCCCAACCCAACUCUCAAAAACGAAGAAGAAGAAUUAUAAAUCGGUGUGUAUACAUUACCAUUCACCGCCGUCGCUUGCGGUGGCGGCGGCGGCGGCGGAAGAAACUGACAGCACUGGACAAUGGUGGGAGGGCAGUUCGCAGGAGCAACUGGAAACGGCAGUGGCUCUGGCUCUGCAUAGGGCGAAGGCGGCGGCGGCGAGAGUGGCAAUGGCAGUGGCUCAGACGGCGGUGGGCUGCAGGUGGAUUGACAAAUGGUGCAGUUGUCGCAGGAAAUGGGUGUGGGCAUGGCAGCGUCGUCGGUGGCGGAGACGGCGGUGUUGAGGUUAAAAACGACGACCAGAGCCAGAAGUUUGGCCGGAAACAUAUUGAAUUUGAAUGGGGAAGUGAAAAAAAAAGGAUUUUUUUUGUGAUGGGUUUGAAGGAAAUUGGAGUAUUUAGAAUUUAUAGAGGCAGAAAAAUUAGAAAGAAAUGCCAUGUGGUGAGGGAAACACAUCUGUCAAGUUUCUGUGAAGAGUGGAAGAAGAGAGUAAGCUUUUACCACCGCAAUGUUUAUGAAACUUAAUUAAUGGAUUAGGGGUUUGCUUAAAUACUGUUUACUUAGUAAAGAACAUCAGUCUAGUUGUUCAUAAUUUUUGAUGUUCAGCGUAAUGAACAUAAUUUGAGAUUGUGGUAAUAGUAAGAGGGUAGAAUGUAAUAAGAGUUGAGAAAUAGAAGUGGGAUUAAUUGGAGAAAUAAGAUGGUUUAGAAAGAAAAAGAAUUUUAAAAAAAAGGUAGUAUUGAAAUUAUUUAGGUAAAUGGUAUGGUUUUAUUUGUCAUUAGCGGUGAGUUUGUCUUGCAGUGGAACCUUAAAUGAUAGUGAUGACUUGACCACACAGUUCAAACUAAAUACACUUACUGCCCUCUUUUAUUUUCUUUUAAAUCUCUUUUCUAAAUUAAUUUACAAAACCACUUCCAUGCAUUUCUUCGUGUAGAGUGUUGAAACUAAUUAGGGCUAGCUUAUUUUGAUUUUGUAUUUUCUUACUAGUAUUCUUUCUUUUAUGUUUUCCUUUUCUACAUCGAGUAUAUUUAUUUUGUUAUUUACUGCAAUUUCAAAUCAAACGAAUUAUUCAACAAUAUUUAACAAUAGGUUGUUCAUUAAAUUUUAUUAACCAUAAAAACUAAAUUUUACUUUUUAACAAUUAUAUACACUAAAUUUCAGGUUGUUUCUCCUAACCAUAAAAAACAUAUAAAAAAAACAAUUAUUUUAUAUAUAAAAUGUUUUUGGUACUUUUCAUUGUAAAUCUAUUGGAUAAAUAUUUUGUCGGUCUGUUAUAUUUUGUAAAAACCCCCUAAACUUAAACAUAUAAAUAUAAAAAAUAAUUAAAAAUAAAUAUUAAAAGAAGGAAAAAAAAUACAAAAUCAUCAAGGUUGGAAGUUGAAUCCACGACUUGAACGAUUAAAAUGAUUUUAAGCAUGCCUCCUUGAGCCAACUAAAAAUUACAAGACAAAGAAAACUAAAAUAAAAUAAAAUGAGAACAGAACUAAAAAUACUACUUUCUAUAGUUUCUUAAUUUUUGUCCAAUUUUGACCAACAUUCCUCAAAAUUUGGAAACUAAAAAUGAAAACAAUUAUGAAACACAUUUUUUAAAUGAGAAACAAAAAUAGAAAACAAGGAACAAAAACAUUAUCAAACGGACCCUUUCCAACUCAAUUAACUUGAAAAAAUAAUAAUAUAAAAGUGAAUUAAUUGGAAAUUCAAAUAAUUAGAUAAUGGUAAUCUGCAUCGUUUGUUAGAAAUUUAGAUUCAUAAAUGAUAAAAAUGUAUCUUAACAUUUGAGAAAACUACUUAAACCAGAGUAAGCUUACUGGGCUUUAGAUUAGAAGAAGAGAACUAUAAAGGAAGCCAAGUCCUAGGCACAAAAUCCAUACAAAUGCUACAGAAACCAUUUCAAAUCAAACUAAACACGAACAAUAUCGUCUGAGAGCCUACCUAUGUUUCAAAGAUUCAUAUCAAGUUCAUCGUAUCACGUAAUGAUAAAGCAAAUGACAAUAACUGCAUGAAUUAGUAACCGAAAACUGAAUAUCCAAUAGAGGUCCCCAAAUAUACUAGCUCAGGGUACCUAUACUUCCAAAAGCUAUGAACAUAAUUUACCAGCAGCCACCAAUACACUUCAUACUUAACCUAUAUACCAGAUAUGGAUAGAUUCCAAAGUAGUUAUAACUUAGAAUGGUUAGUUGAUACCUCCCAAUAACUGUUCUAACUAUGUCACUUCCUGGGGCCUGAGUGUCAUAUCUAACAAAAUCCACCCAGUCCUCAUGUGUUACUUUUUUUUCAGUGAUUUGAAAAAUGACAAGAUAUAUACAGUGCGCAGACUAAUGUCUAUAUUUUCGCUUCUGUCGUUUUGAACGCUUCCUAGAUGUGGCAGAACCAUUUACACUUUCUCGUUGUCGUUUGACAUCGCCAUUACUAAGUGAAUCUAUUGCUGGUGUUUUCAAACUUUUGGUGUAUCUAAUAAUGUUAGUUACGAUGGCAUAUACAGUGACCUCGCUUUUUGGGAUUGAGAUGGCUUUUCGCUCGAUAACUGCGCUUUUUCCGCAGAAGGAAUCUUGAACUGUCUCCUCUAUUAGUCUCUGAAAUACAACCUCCUUAUCUAGAUUCAUACAGUCUGCAGAGACCUGCACAGCAAUAAGAGUGACAGUGAUUAAUCCUUAUACAGAUACUCAGCACGUGAUACAGCAUAGAUCUUAUCAAAAUCUAACCAAAUUUCUACUUGUCUAAGUGACACAUGCAAUGAAAAAGAUCUUUAUUUUGCACAAAAUGGUGCAAAAGAAAAACUUGUUGAAGAGAAAAAAGGAACUGACUGAUAUGAAAGCAAAAACUGGGGCGGUGGUGAACUAGAGAAAAGAUCCCAAACAUAUUUGUUCAGAGCAAUGAGAGGAAUACUUGUAAUUUAGAAUUCAGAAACGUAUAUGUCUUUUUCUCAUUGAGUCAAAGCAAUGUUACAUAUUUAUAUAGAGAAUAAACUAAACCCUAGAGACUAAGUAAAAUUACAAUAAAGGACAUAUGUAUAUAUAUAUAUAUAUCAUAACACUCCCCCUCAAGCUGGAGCAAAUAUGUCGAUCAUGCCCAGCUUGUUGCACAGAUAGCUUAUCCUUGUUCCAUUUAAAGCUUUAGUUAGAAUAUCUCCCAAUUGUUCUCCGGUCUUCACAUAUCCUGUGGACACCAACCCAUCUUGGAUUUUCUCACGAAUGAAGUGACAAUCCACCUCAAUAUGUUUAGUUCUUUCAUGAAAUACUGGAUUAGAUGCGAUAUGAAGUGCAGCUUGAUUAUCACACCAUAAUUUAGCUGGCACGGUAAUACUGAAGCCUAUCUCAGAUAAUAGUUGGUGAAUCCAUACUAUUUCACACACAGAUUGUGCCAUAGCUCUAUAUUCUGACUCAGCACUCGAACGAGAAACAACAUUUUGUUUCUUACUCUUCCAUGAAACUAAGUUUCCACCUACAAAGACACAAUAUCCAGAAGUCGAUCUCCUAUCCUCACGAGACCCCGCCCAAUCAGCAUCAGAAAAACAUUCAACUCUCGUAUGUCCAUGAUCUUUGUAUAGGAUCCCACGUCCAGGAGCAGCUUUUAGAUAACACAAAAUCUGCUCUACUGCAGCCCAAUGAUCCACUGUAGGGGAAGACAUGAAUUGACUUACAACACUUACAGAAUAUGCAAUGUCUGGUCGAGUCACUGUUAAGUAGUUCAACUUCCCAACUAAUCUCCUAUAUCUCUCAGGAUCUUUACAUAAUUCUCCUUCUUUAACAAGUUGCUGAUUUGGCAUCAUUGGAGUGCCACUUGGUUUGGCGCCUAAUUUUCCUGUUUCAGACAACAAAUCAAGUACAUAUUUUCGUUGAGACAAAUAAAUACCUUUCUUGCUUCUCAUCACUUCAAUGCCCAAAAAAUAUUUCAAUUGGCCCAAAUCUUUUGUAUAAAACUGACCCUGAAGGAAAGUUUUGAGAGACGAAAUACCCAAUGCAUCAUUUCCAGUAAUAACAAUAUCAUCAACAUAUACAACUAGUAGAACUAUACCCUUCUCAGAUCGGCGAUAGAAAACUGAAUGAUCAGAUGUACUCUUCUUCAUACCAAAGCAUACAAGGGCUUGACUAAACUUACCAAACCACGCACGAGGACUCUGUUUCAAACCAUACAGAGAUUUUCGAAGGCGACAUACUUUAUCACUCUCCCCCUGAGCAACAAACCCUGGUGGUUGUUCCAUAUAAACUUCCUCUUGAAGAUCACCGUGAAGAAAAGCAUUCUUAAUGUCAAGUUGAUGCAACGACCAUUUAUUGGUAGCAGCCAUGGAAAGAAAUAGGCGAAUGGAAGUUAACUUGGCAACCGGAGAGAAUGUAUCUGAAUAAUCAGUGCCAUAGAUUUGAGCAUAACCUUUGGCAACAAGGCGAGCCUUUAAACGAGCCACUGUUCCAUCAGGAUUCAUCUUGACAGCAAACACCCAUUUACAACCAAUGGCCUUCUUUCCUGCAGGACGAGAUACCAAAUCCCAAGUACCAUUAUCAUCUAAAGCAGUCAUCUCCUCAAUCAUUGCAUUUUGCCAGCCAGGAUGAGACAAAGCUUCAUGAACAGAGUUAGGAAUAGAUGUGGACUCAAGAGACGUAAUAAACGCAUAUGUGGAGGGAGAUAACUGGUGAUAGGAAAUAAAGGAAGAAACGGGGUAAGUACACUUGCGUUUACCUUUGCGAAGAGCAAUGGGAAGAUCAUCACUUGGCGCUGGAUCACAUGAUGAAGGAAGCAUUGAUGGAGGACAUGAGUCUGAAGGUUGUGGUGGAGGUCGUCGGGAGUAGACUUGAGAAAUCAACGGGCGGGAAGGAGACACAUCAGUAGACAAGGAUGGUGUGGGAGAGGUAACCUCAUAUAUAAAAAGAUUGUCAUCCUCCCCCUGACACAAACUCGAUGGUGAUGAAGUAAAGGGUGUAUCUUCAAAAAAGACAACAUCAGGCGAAACCAGAUACCUUUUAAGGGUAGGACAAUAACAACGAUAACCCUUUUGAACACGUGAAUAACCCAAGAAGAUACACUUCAAGGAUUUGGGAUCUAACUUAGUAUGAUGAGGACGAACGUCACGAACAAAACAGACACAACCAAAUAUCUUAGGAGCAAUAGGAAACAAAUGCUUGGUAGGAAAAAGAACACGAUAGGGAAUCUCACCAUUAAGAACAGAGGAAGGCAUUCUAUUAAUCAAAAAACAAGCUGUAGAGACAGCAUCAACCCAAAAGAUUUUUGAAACAUGCAUUUGAAACGAUAAAGCACGGGCAGUUUCAAGUAAAUGCCUAUUUUUCCGCUCUGCAACACCAUUUUGAGAUGGAGUGUCAGCACAGGAAGAUUGAUGAAUAAUGCCAUUUUCACACAAGUAAGAGCCAAGAGAAUGAGAAAAAUAUUCACCCGCAUUAUCAGUACGCAAAGUUUUGAUAGAGACAUUAAAUUGGUUUUUUAUUUCAGUAUGAAAGGCACAAAAAUGAGAUAAUAACUCAGAACGAUUUUUCAUUAAAUAUAACCAAGUUAGACGAGAAUGAUCGUCAACAAAAGUAACAAAAUAACGAAAGCCUGUUUGAGAUACAACUGGACACGGACCCCAAAUAUCAGAAUGAACUAACUCAAAUGGAGCAAUUGCUCGUUUAUCGACUCGAGGACUCGAACUAAGACGAUGAAAUUUCGCAAAUUGACACGAAUCACAAUUUAAAGAGGACAAAGACCUAAAUUCUGGAUAAAGUUUCUUCAACACAAACAAAGAUGGAUGACCUAAACGACAAUGGACUUCAAAAGGAGAGGGAACGACAGGACACGCCACAGCUUGCGAUACUUGAUGAUCAAAGAGAUAAAGGCCUCCUGACUCAUAUCCUCUACCAAUAAUCUUCUUCGUCACACGAUCCUGAAACAAGCAAUAACCAGAAAAGAACAUGACAACACAAUUUAGGUCAUGAGUAAGUUGACUAGUAGAAAUUAAAUUAAAGGAUAAGUUAGGCAAAUGUAACACAGAAGAGAGAGAAAAGGAUGGGGUAAGGUGAAUAGUGCCAGAGCCAAGAACAGAAGAUGUGGAGCCAUCGGCCAAUGUAACAGAUGGGAAAGGGGCAGGGGACAACGGUCUAGAAAAUAGGUGAGAAUUACCUGUCAUAUGAGCUGUGGCACCAGAGUCUAUGACCCAUUUGGUAGAUGAUGUAAGAAGACACUUUAUAUUACCUGGGGCAACAGUGGAUGCAAUCGGAGUAGAGGAAGAUGACGCUUGUAAUGACUCUUGGUAAUUCUGAAACUUAGCAAACUCAUCUGCAGAAAUAGUAACUGACGCCUCUGGUAUAUCGCAUGUGGAGGCUAUCUGAGCAUGUUGAGAUCGUUGACUAUUCUUAUAUAGCAAUUUCCGACAAUCACGUUUCAUAUGGCCUGGCUUACGACAGUAGUUACAAACAAUCUCUACAGACUCUGGUUUUCGAUGAUCAGUACUAUUCCUCUGAGGUGCCCGAGGGUUAUUGUUCUUGCUAAAGAGAGCACUACUGGGUUGAGGAAUAGACACACUAGUCGGAGAGCUUUCAAUGCGAAGGACUCGAGUGAAGGCAUCAUCUAAUGAUGGAAUCUUGGAGUCAGAGAGAAUCUGUGUCUUUGCCAUUCCAAAUUCAGGUAAGAGUCCAUUCAGAAAAAUCAUAACAGCCAUCUUCUCUCGUUGAACUUGUUGAACUUUAACAUCAGGACUAAAAGGUAACAACAAGCCAAGCUCGGCAAUGAUCUUCUUAAGCCGCAUAAAGUAGCUGGUGACAGACUCAGCUUUCUGUUCCGCACGAAAAAAUUGCAUACAAACUUCAAACAUUCUAUGCACUUGCUCUUUACCUGAGUAUAGAAAAUCCAAAAAUUCCAAAAGUUCUUUAACAGACUCACAGUGAUCAACCAAUCCAAUUAUCUCACUCUCAAUUGAAUUCUUGAUCUGAAGAUAUAAACGGGCAUCAUCACGAAGCCAAUCCUUCUUCUGCUUUGCAUCUUUUGGGGGAUCUUCAGUCAUAUGAUCAUCCAUAUCAGUACUUCUCAAAUAAAAUAAAAUUGUCCGACGCCAAUCGUAAUAAUUGGAUCCAUUUAACUUAUGUUCUGUGAUCUUAGAGGCCAAGGGAAUAACGUUGGAGACUACCAAAUUUUUUAUGUCGGCCAUAUUGAAGUCACACGUUGAUUGUAGUCCACUCGAACAAAGAGAAAAUCAAUCCAAACAGCUGCAAAAUUGGAAAAAGACACAAAACCAAUCGUGUAACCUUCGGUUUUCGUCAAACCCGAAUGUUAUUUGAUAGACCCAAUGGUACAGACUGGCAGGAAACAAUGGUUCGAGACAAGCCCAGAAGACAGAAGACAAAUCGGACUUCUCACGCGCUCUCACGCGCCGGCGCGUGGGUGAAGGUGACGAUGAUUCCGGCGGCGCGUGAAGGUCACGCGCGGUGUUUUCCGGCGAUCGGCGAAGACAGACUUGGGCGGACGGAGGUGGUGCUUCUUAUGGUAUGGGCGGUGUCGACAAAUGGUCACCGGAAGGUAACCCAAACUCCAAACCUAAUGGAGGUUGACAAAUGGUCACCGGAAGGUAACCCAAACUCCAAACCUAAUGGAGGGCUCUGAUACCAUGUAAUUUAGAAUUCAGAAACGUAUAUGUCUUUUUCUCAUUGAGUCAAAGCAAUGUUACAUAUUUAUAUAGAGAAUAAACUAAACCCUAGAGACUAAGUAAAAUUACAAUAAAGGACAUAUGUAUAUAUAUAUAUAUAUCAUAACUACUAAAGAACGUAGCAUCGUGGGUUUUCUAUCCUAGUUAAUGCCACAAAUCAAGGAUUACAGUCUAAACCUUCUAUUCUAAUAAAGCCUUUCGACAAACUUUGUUGAAUUUCAAAAGUUAAUAAGUGGAUGGCCAAUUUCCUUCGAAAACUAUUUUGGAAUUUUAGACUUGACCAGUUUAUGCACAAGCUUUGGUGCGAAACAAAUCAUUUCAAUCAUACAAGCAUGAAAGGGAAAUCUUGACAAAGAAGAAACAGUACAAGAGUAUAACAAGACUCAAUAGCGUCACAGGGGAAGUCACAGGGGAAUUCAUCAUGCUACGCCGUGUGGAGGUGGAAUUGCAACAAAAUAUAUUCAAUAGAAUCACAAAGGUUAAAAGAAGAAAACAAAACAAAGCAAAAAAAUAUUUAGAUUGGCUAUUGGCCUUGGUGGAAAAUUUUACAGCCUAUUCGGUUACUGAAAACAAGCCGUCUCUGAAGUUAACCUUUUGUAUCAGUGUUGACGAUUGAAAGGAAAAAACAAAUUCCAUAUCUUCCACUGUUUUCUUCCUAGUAACCAAAAGAAGUAGAAUCUGAUGUAAGAAUAUUUUUAGGACAUUUUUCCAUGUAAAUGUGAUGGAAUCCAGAAACUAAGAGAAUAGAAUUCUACUUUUAUUGAUAAUAGAUUCAAACUGAAUCUAGGUUACACACAUUAAUGCGAUCACACACUAAAACUGAAAACUCUCUGUUAUCAUAUCUCUCAAGGAAGAACAGAAACCUACUCCUUCAAAGUUUCUAACUCCCUUUCCCGCCCCACAUUUGUUCUUUAUUUAUACUAACCUAACUCACAUGUGUCACUCUACACACGUGCCGUGCCACUACCCUUCUUCCCUCUCCUACUAUAUUGAUAUAGUAUUGGAGGUCUAUCAUUACUUUCCCUUUCCAAAUUCACCUUGUCCUGAAGGUGAAAAUCUGGAAAUCGUUGCUGUAAAUCUUCAUAUAACUCCCAGGUUGCCUCAUGACUUGGUAAACCCUUCCAACUUACUAACACAUCCCAACCUCCCGCCUUAUUUUUCGAAUAUCCAUACACUUCUUCGGGCACAACUCUCCAUUCAUAAUUCUCUGCUAGAUAUGGAAUAUCGUCACGAUUUUCCACAUAUGUUCCAAACACUUUCUUCAACUGAGACAUGAAAAACUGGGUGUAUAACCGCCUGUUCAGGUAACUCUAGUUUAUAUGCCACGGGUCCAACUCUUUCAAUCAAUUUGUAAGGUCCGAAAUAUUUAGCUGAUAGUUUCUCAUUCCUCUUUCUUCUCAGCAAUACUUGCCGGUAAGGUCUUAUUUUCAAUAAGACCAAAUCCCCUACUUGAUGCUGCACAUCCCUCCUCUUCAAAUCAGCAUAUUUUUUCAUUUUAUCCUGUGCUACUUGCAAAUGUUCCUUCAAAGCUCCCAAGGCUAGAUCUCUCUCCUUCAGUUGUUCAUCCAAUGUUGAAUUGGAUGUAUCUCUAUCUCCAUAAUAUAUUAGAGGAGGAGGUAAUCGUCCAUAUACUGCCUGAAAUGGUGUGAUACCUAACGAACGCUGAUAAGUGGUAUUAUACCAAUAUUCAGCCCAUGGUAUCCAUUUUACCCACUCCUUCGGUUUUUCUCCACAAAAACACCGAAAAUAAAUCUCCACUCCACGAUUCACUACUUCUGUUUGUCCAUCCGAUUGAGAAUGGUAUGCUGUACUAUGGUUUAAUCUUGUGCCCGCUAGCCUGAACAACUCUUUCCAGAAUGAGCUCAGAAAUACUUUAUCUCUAUCUGACACAAUGGACUUUGGAAAGCCAUGUAGUCGCACCACUUCUUUAACAAACAAUUCUGCUACAGACUUCGCGUUAUAUGGAUGCUUCAGUGGUAAGAAGUGACCAUAUUUACUGAAGUGAUCUACCACCACCAAAAUAACCUCGAAUCCAUUCGCUUUUGGUAAACCUUCUACAAAAUUCAUGGAAAUAUCUUCCCAUACUCUAUUAGUGACUUCCAAAGGUGCUAACAACCCUGCUGGAAAUAAUGCUAGAGUUUUAUUUCUUUGACAAAUCAUGCAUUCUUCACAAUAUUUUUUAACAUCUUGUUUCAUUCCUUCCCAGUAUAACUCUCCAGUCAAUCUCUUGUACGUUCGUAAGAAACCCGAAUGUCCUCCAAAUACCGAAUCAUGAAACGUAUGUAAGACCAUAGGAAUCAGUUUAGAAGUUUUAGAAAUUACCAUUCGAUUCUUAUACAUCAACAUCCCCUGCUUCAUAGAGUAUUUGUUGGACUGCUCCUCACCUUUUUCUGCUAAUUCUUCUCUGAUCUUCUUAAACUUCUCAUCUUGAUUAACCUCUUCUUUAAUCACUGCCACAUCAAUUAUAUUUGGAGCUGUCAAAUGAUUCAGAUGGACAGUAGGUGGUACUCUAGACAAUGCAUCAGCAGCCUUAUUUUCUAAUCCUGGUUUAUAUAUUACCUCAAACGAAUAUCCUAAAAGCUUAGAUAUCCAUUUUUGGUACUGGGGUUGUAUCACCUGUUGUUCCAGCAGGAAUUUUAAUGACCGUUGAUCAGUUUUUACUUUGAAUCUCUUCCCCAGCAAAUAGGGCCGCCACCUCUGUACUGCUAUUACUACAGCCAUCAAUUCCCGUUCAUAAACAGGUUUAACUCUAUCUCUAACUGCUAGAGUGUGGCUAUAAUAAGCAAUAGGCCUAUGGUUUUGUAUCAACACAGCACCUAAAUCAUAGCCCGAAGCAUCCGUUUCAAUUUCAAAGGGAACGCUGAAAUCUGGCAUUGCCAAUACCGGUAGUGUCAUCAUGGUUCUCUGCAGUCUGACGAAAGCUUCCUGAGCCUCUUCAGUCCAUCUAAAUCCCUCUUUCUUCAACAAUUGAGUCAGUGGUGCUGCAAUCGUACCAUAAUGCCUUACAAACUUACAAUAAUAUCCAGUUAAACCCAAAAAUCCUCGGACUUCUCUCACGUUAACUAGAAUAGGCCAUUCUUUGAUGGCUCUAAUUUUCUCCGGAUCCACCUCAACUCCCCUUCCAGAUAUAAUACGCCCCAGAUAUUCUACCCUUGCCUUGGCAAAACUGCACUUUUUCUUGUUAACAUAUAAUUCAUUCUUUCGCAGUAUUUCUAACACUGCUUUGAGGUGAUCCAAAUGAGCUUUCAAAUCUCUGCUAUAGAUCAAUAUAUCGUCAAAGAAUACCAGCACAAACUUUCUGAGAAACGGCUUGAAUACAACAUUCAUUAAGGAUUGGAAAAUCGAAGGUGCAUUCGUUAGUCCGAAAGGGGCAUCACCAUGAACUCAUAAUGACCUUCAUGCGUCCUGAAUGCGGUCUUUUCAAUAUCCUCGGCAUUCAUUCUAAUCUGGUGAUAUCCUGCCUUCAGAUCCAACUUAGUGAAUAUCACAGCUCCAUUUAACUCAUCAAAUAACUCUUCAAUUACUGGUAUUGGAAAUUUAUCAGGCACAGUCACAUUGUUCAAUGCUCUGUAAUCUACGCAAAACCACCAACUACCAUCUUUUUUUCUCACCAAUAAUACAGGGCUCGAGUAAGGACUCGUGCUGGGCCGUAUUAUCCCUGACGAUAACAUUUCUUCAACUAACUUCUCUAUCUCAGUUUUUUGUUGGUAAGCAUAUCGAUAUGGUCGCACAUUUACUACAACACAACAGCGACCGACUCUUCCUCUAAUAUUUCACAUCUUUCCAAGGCUCUGUACUCUACCAAAUAGCCUUGAUCCUCUACUCCCCAUGUUUUAACUAAAUUUUUCGGGCUUACUCUAGCCUUAGUCAAACUAGGGUCUCCUCGUAUUAUAAUCUUCUUUCCUUGAUACAUAAAGGACAAUAUCAAGUUCUUCCAAUCUACCUCUGUUAUCCCCAAGGAAUUAAGCCACUUCAUCCCUAGAAUGGCAUCAUCUACUCCCCCUAAUUCCAAUGGUAAGAAUUCAUCAAUCACUUUACAUUUUUCUAUCAUCAGUUCCACAGCUUCACAUAUCCCUUUUCCUUUUACAGCAGUACCGGAACCCAAAAUUACCCCAUAAUUUGCGGUUUCUUUUGUCUCCAGUUGUAAUUCCUUCACAAGUAUUUCAGAAACAAAAUUGUGUGUUGCUCCGCAAUCAAUCAACACCACCACAUCCCUCUCUUGUAUCCUUCCCUUCACCUUCAUCGUCCCUGGAUUAGAUAAUCCAACCACAGAGUUGAUAGAUAACUCUACUAUCGCCGAGCUUUCUUCCAUUAUUUCAAUAGUUUUCAACUCCUUCAUUGUCUCCUCUCCUUCCUCAAUAAUUUCGUACUCUACAUCAUCCCCAUUAACUACUAGCAUCCGUAAUUCCCUCAACUCCUUAGUUUUGCAUUUAUGGUCAUGAGAAUAUUUCUCAUUACACCGAAAACACAACCCUUUCUCCUUCCGAGCUUGGAAUUCCGCAUUAGAUAAUCGCUUUGAUGGUCCUUCUUUUGGAACUUCCUCCUUUGAUGUCCCACGUAGAGUAAUGGUUCUCAUUGGCCAAUUCGUACCCCCUUAUUUUCUCCAGCGUUCGAAUUCGUGUUAGCCUUAGUAUUAUUCUGUGGAUUAGUCGUUCUUCCUCUGGAAUAUCCAGGAAGAUUUGCCUCACGCCGAAUAUCUUCUCUGUUUUCAAUCUUUUGCGCUAUCUUCAUCAUAUGGGCUAAACCUUUCGGUUCGCAAAAGUCCAUAUCUGCUUGAAUCCAUGGUUUCAAUCCCGAAACAAAAGUCUCUUCUACUACUUUUUCGGGUAAAUCAGUUAGUGGUGCUACCCACUUAUCGAAUAAAUUUUGAUAUUCGUCCACAAUUGUUUGUUGGAUACGCAAAAAUCGCCCAUACAACGAUCCUUCUCUCGAUGAACGGAAUCUUUCUAACAACCUCUCCUUCAUAUUCGCCCAAUCAACAAAAUUCUCCCGUUCCUCUUGAGAACGAAACCAAUUCAGCGCUGGUCCUUCAAAACUUAUAGUAGAAAUUGUCAUCUUCUCAGAUUCAGUGAGUUUAUGGAUACGAAAAUACCUCUCAGUGCGAAAUAACCACGAAUCAGGAUCAUCUCCGUUGAAUAUCAGCAUCUCCACCUUCUUGAACUUGUUUCGGUCAUUGUUCCCUUCGUCAUUCGGUUUCUUCUCUUAGUUUUUCGUUUCGUCUUCUCGCCUCAAAGAUCCUUCGCAUUCAUCGUUCAUCUUCGCCGGAAAAGUCCGCAUAGAUAAUUCGGAUAUCCUUUCAUUCAUCGUUGAUCUUUCCUGUGCGGCUGAUACCAUAAUUCUCAACAUUACUUGAUUUUACCUUUCCAUAUUCUUCGAGAUUUCCAUCAACGUUUUCUCAAUCGCCGACAAUUUCCCAAUCUCCUUCUUAAUGCCGUGAAUCUCUUGAUCUAUCGUUUCAAUCUUUUCUUCAAUCCUCGUCUGCACCAUUUUUCUUCUUGGCCAGAAUCACACGCUCUGAUACCAAUUUGAUGGAAUCCAGAAACUAAGAUAAUAGAAUUCCACUUUUAUUGAUAAUAGAUUCAAACUGAAUCUGGUUACACACACUAAUGCGAUCACACACUAAAACUGAAAACUCUCCCUGUUCUCCUAUCUCUCAAGGAAGAACAGAAACCUACUCCUUCAAAGUUUCUAACUCCCUUUCCCGUCCCACAUUUGUUCUUUAUUUAUAUUAACUUAACUCACACAUGUCACUCUACAUACGUGUUGUGCCACUACCCUUCUUCCCUCUCCUACUAUAUUGAUAUAGUAUUGGAGGUCUAUCAAAAUGUACCUGUAAUGAUGGCUAAAAAAUGGUUUGAGCAGUCAUUCAGUCCAGUAAAAAAGUAAAGAAGCUAGAGGGGAUAAGUCCAGACCACAAAAACACCACCUAUUUAAUAUUGAAGUUCUUAGGUGUUUCCUUGAUAAGUAAAUGUUGUAAGGUUAGAUAGUUGUUUUGUAAGAUUUGUUUAUGUUCAAACACUAAAUGAUAUAUAUCUGUACAUAUAUGCAUUUGCAUAAAAUAGGACAGCUUAGAGGGUUUGAAAAUGUGUCUUAAAAAUUAUCCAAGUCCAAUUGGUCAACUUGAACGGCAAAGCUGCUACUUGUCUAUCACGACCAUUAUGUAGAGCAACUCAUCCAUCUAGACAAGCGUUAUGGGCACGUGAUAACUCAUCCAUCUAGACAAGCAUUAAGGGCACGAGGACAAAAUAUUUGGAUGCAUCCCUCCUGUUAUGAUAUAUAUAUAUAUAUACAUAUGUCCUUUAUUGUAAUUUUACAUAGUCUCUAGGGUUUAGUUUAUUCUCUAUAUAAAUAUGUAACAUUGCUUUGACUCAAUGAAAUAAGACAGAUACGUUUCUAAGUUCUAAAUUACAUGGUAUCAGAGCCCUCCAUUAGGUUUGAAGUUUGGGUUACCUUUCGGUGACCAUUUGUCGACACCGCCCUUAUGGUAUCAGAGCCCUCCAUUAUCUGAGAUAGGCUUCAGUAUUACCGUGCCAGCUAAAUUAUGGUGUGAUAAUCAAGCUGCACUUCAUAUUGCAUCUAAUCCAGUAUUUCAUGAACGAACUAAACAUAUUGAGGUGGAUUGUCACUUCAUUCGUGAGAAAAUCCAAGAUGGGUUGGUGUCCACAGGAUAUGUGAAGACCGGAGAACAAUUGGGAGAUAUUCUAACAAAAGCUUUAAAUGGAACAAGGAUAAGCUAUCUGUGCAACAAGCUGGGCAUGAUCGACAUAUUUGCUCCAGCUUGAGGGGGAGUGUUUGAUAGAACACUGAUGUAGUGUUUCUAUUUAUUGAUAUUUGCAACGGAAUUACAAUCUCAAAGCAGUAAAAGAAAAUAUAAAGAACCCUAACCCCUUGCCCUUCCUCUCUUUCAAGGAAUAUUGCAGCCUUAAUUCUUCACCCCUUUCUCCCUCCCAACAGACUCCUAUUUAUAUUCCAUACCCAACUCCUAUUUAUACUCUAACUAACUUUCUCUCUCCAUAACAAACUCCUACUUAUGCUCUAUUAUUUUAUUAUGAAGCAUCUACUAACAAUAUUAAAACUAAGGCUAUUCUCCUAGCACGUGCGGUUAACCUUCUUCUUUUUCCUUCUACUGUACUGGUGUAUAAUUGGGGGUCUAUCAUUACAUUCCCUUUCCAAAUGCACCUUGUCCUCAAGGUGAAAAUUCGGAAAUUUCUUCUGAAAGUCUUCAUACUCCUCAAUAACUGGAAUGGGAAACUUAUCGGGUAUAGUCACGCUGUUUAAGACUCUAUAAUCCACGCAGAAUCUCCAGCUUCCAUCCUUCUUCCGUACUAACAGAACCGGGCUGGAAUAUGGGCUAUUACUUGGGCGAAUAACUCCUGAACUCAGCAUCUCUUCCACCAAUCUCUCCAUCUCCGCCUUUUGUUGGUAUCCAUAGCGAUACGGCCUCACAUUUACCGGGUCAGUUCCUUGUUUCAAAUAGAUAUGAUGCUCAAUACUUCUUCGUGGAGGUAGAGUCUCCGGCCAUGUAAAAACAUCUUCGAAUUUCUUUAGGACAACUGAAACUGCCUCGUCCACCGUUAGAAUUUCCUCAAUUCCAUUAUCUUCUGAGGGCUCAUACAUUGUCUCCAUUGCUCGGCACUCAAUUAAGAAUCCUUGGUCAGAAUCCUUCCAUGACUUAAUCAUAUUCUUGAGGCCAACCAUGGCUUUGGUUAAGCUGGGGUCUCCUUUGAUUUUCACUUUCUUCCCGUUGUGUAGAAAAGUCAUGGUCAAGUUUUUCCAAUCCACUUCCGUCACGCCCAAUGAAUACAACCACUGCAUUCCUAGUACUCCAUCUACUCCUCCCAACUCAAGUGGUAAGAAGUUUGCUUCCACUUUCCAUCCCUCCAGUUCUAGCUCGAUGCCUUCACAAAUUCCUUUCCCCUUCACUGCUGCACCCGAGCCCAAAAUCACUCCAUAGUGUGAGGUAGUCUUCGUCGGUAAACUCAAUUCCUGCACCACCUUGUCCGAGAUGAAGUUAUGGGUUGCUCCGCAAUCUAUUAGGAUAAUUACUUCUCUAUCCUUAAUCUUUCCUCUCACCUUCAUCGUUCCGGGAUUCGUCAGCCCCACCACUGAAUUUAUGGAAAGUUCAACGAUAGCCUGAUCUUCUGGAUUUAUCUCGACACAGUUCAAUUCUGUCUCAUCCCAUUCCGCUUCCUCCACAAUUUCAUAUUCCUCAUCCUCCUUUACCACAUACAUUCUUAGUUCCCUUUGCUCCCUUCCUCUACAUCGAUGUCCAUGAAAGUACUUUUCAUUACAGCGAAAGCAAAGUCCCUUCUCUUUUCGGGCUUGAAAUUCUGCAUCGGAUAGUCUCUUCGUCGGGCCUUCUUUCUUAACUUCUCCAGCCGUUGUUCGUAAUGUCACCGUCCUCAUUGGAAAUAUGGUAUUUCCCUGGUUCUCAUUGUUAUUCAUCGUUGCACUACUCUUGAUGAUUGAAGAGUUUCCCUGGUUCUCAUUGUUAUUCAUCGUUGCACUACUCUUGAUGAUUGAAGAGUUUGGAGGGGGGUAUUUACCCUUGGCAUAACCGUUUAGGUUCGCCUCCUUGCGAAUGAUCUCCCGGUUCUCCACGAGUUGAGCUGCGUGCAUCAUCUCGGCCAAACCAACCGGUUUACAAAAAACUACCUCAGCUUUGAUCCACGGAAACAGUCCAUUCAUAAACGUCUCCUCUACCACACGAUCUUGCAGGUCGGCGAGUGGUGCCAUCAACCUAUCGAACUCAUUGCGAUAUUCUUCCACUGUGGUCUGCUGUUUAAUCCUCAAGAAUUGCCCACAGAUGGAUCCUUCUCUCGACGAUCGAAACCGCACCAGCAAUCUCUCCUUAAGAUUGUGCCAUCCUGUAAACUUAUCGCGUUCUUCUUGUGCUCGGUACCAGUUUAACGCUGGGCCUUCAAAACUGAUGGUCGCCACCAAAACCUUCUCUGCAUCACUCAGUUUGUGAAUUUGGAAGUACCGGUCGGCGCGGAACAACCACGAAUCCGGAUCCUCGCCAUUGAAUACUGGCAUUUCGACCUUCUUAAAUUUGUCUCUCUCAUUCGCACCCUCUUCGUCCUCAGUCCUCCUCUCCUUUGUUUCAUUCUCACCUCUCCUACUUGUCGAACUUUCUCCUUCAUUACUUUUUCUGCAUCCAGUUUCUUGUGCGCCGUAGUCUGCCAACUUCUCACUGGUUAUCGUCCGUUCUUUCGCAAUGGAAUCCAUGAGUAUCAUCAGCAUUUGAUGCGUCUUCUCAGUUUGAUGACUGAUCGCUGUUAAGCUUUCUUCGAUCGCUGGAAUUUUACUCACUUCUUUCUUUAUCAGCAACAUUUCCUGAUCGUAAGCUUCCAUUCUCUCUUCUGAUCGCGUGUUAACCAUGGUUUUCUCCUUGCCCAGAUUCGACAGGCUCUGAUACCAAUUUGAUAGAACACUGAUGUAGUGUUUCUAUUUAUUGAUAUUUGCAACGGAAUUACAAUCUCAAAGCAGUAAAAGAAAAUAUAAAGAACCCUAACCCCUUGCCCUUCCUCUCUUUCAAGGAAUAUUGCAGCCUUAAUUCUUCACCCCUUUCUCCCUCCCAACAGACUCCUAUUUAUAUUCCAUACCCAACUCCUAUUUAUACUCUAACUAACUUUCUCUCUCCAUAACAAACUCCUACUUAUGCUCUAUUAUUUUAUUAUGAAGCAUCUACUAACAAUAUUAAAACUAAGGCUAUUCUCCUAGCACGUGCGGUUAACCUUCUUCUUUUUCCUUCUACUGUACUGGUGUAUAAUUGGGGGUCUAUCAGUGUUAUGAUAUAUAUAUAUAUACAUAUGUCCUUUAUUGUAAUUUUACAUAGUCUCUAGGGUUUAGUUUAUUCUCUAUAUAAAUAUGUAACAUUGCUUUGACUCAAUGAAAUAAGACAGAUACGUUUCUAAGUUCUAAAUUACACCUCCAAAGCAAGCUCAAGUUCAAUGAUUGCAAGAUCAUAUGCCUCUUACGAAUCUCUCCCCUUAUUUGGCCAUUAGUAAUUUUCUCCAAAAGAAAGAAAAAACUAAACUAUCUCAAUUAAUGACUCGUAUACCAACUAAAUACGCAUAUAGUGAUUGAACUCCAAUGUUUGCCAGAAAAUUAUGAAGCCUUUUAGUUCAACAUUUUUAGACCUCCAGCAUCAUAUAUCAUAUUACUUUAUUAGUGUGUGAUGAAAGUUGGGGUCGAUAUUGAUUUAAAGUUGAAGGAACUUGCGCUAGGUUAACAAUAUUCUUCUUAAUCAGUAAAGCAUGCAAGUCUACAUAUGUAGAUGGAAGCAUUUCAAUUUCUCACCUUAAAAUCAACGGGGACAUUAAUUUCAGCAUGUGAACUACCACAACCUUCGCUGAAAUUGAGCCUCAAAACCAUUUCAAAUGACUUUUCCUUUACCGUUCUUCUGAUAAAUGUCAAGAUGUAAAAUGAACUAGUUAAGCAUUGGCAUGGCAGAGUAUUUCAAUAGUUAACAAUAUCGAAAACUGAGUUUAAAAUUCAACCAUAUGAUAAAUGUUAUAUACAGAAGAAUGAAGGUAGCCAAAUUUAUAGGCCAGAAAGCGCAAAAUAAUCUGUCCCGUUGCAAAGCUGCAAGAGAUGAUCAUUCAGAGAGGUAAUCAUAAAACCAACUUUCUCAUUUUGCAAUUAAACUACCUUGCCACAAUUGAUUACAAACAUAAGCAUAUCUGUGAAACAAAAUGGAACUCAUUGAUCAACCAUUUAACAUGCCAAAUGCAUCAUGCCCUUGUCCUAUGAGAUUGCAAAAGCAUUUAUAAUUUAACAUACCCGAAACGAAUAAUGUUCUAAAUAAUUUUGUUCGCUUAUGGAAAAAUUAGUUAUGGAAAGUUUGCCAAAAAUAUUUUUUCCUUUUUUUCUUUUGUCCUUGUGUAUUCUAUUUAAUCUCCAUCAUUGUACCAUUUUAAUUCAUUAGAAAAUAAUAAUAACAAUAUAUUGUGGUUUUUCUCCCGGUACUCGGGUUUUCAUGUAAGUUGGUCGUCUUUAUCUCUACUUUCACAAGGAAAAAAUGAGAUGCCUUGGAAAGAAACAAGGAAGAAUAUAAACAUACCUUUUAAGGAGAAACGGUUGGCUUUGCAAAGUAGUUGAUUUGUAAUCUUGAUUAUCCAAGAACGAAAUCUGGUAGAUCAUGGACAAGUGCUGUUAAGUGGGCUACCAUUUAUCCCAAAAUGAUCAAUAAAGAGAUGAGAACAUAGGAAAGUUUGUUGGGGUUGUUUGGGUGUAUUUUCUAAGAGCUGUAUAACAAAUGAAAAAUCAACCACCUAGUUAGGAUACUAAGAUCCUACAGUAUGAACAAUAGGAUCAGUGGUUGUUUUGUUAGAUUAAUUUAUGUAAAUUGUAAACCAAAUGCUCACAAUAUUUUAUAUUAUAAACUAACCUGGUUUAAUGUAUAAUUAGGACAAGUAUGCUCAUGAUUCAUCCCAUUAAGUUAUUUAGUGCUUGAACCCAAGACCUUAUUAGAGAUCUUGUUUGUAUUUCCAAACCUCUAAGCCCUUGCCACGUGGCAUCACAUAAGAUUUUUAUGGUUAAUCUUUUUUUUUUUUUGGAAUAAGAAACAUGUCAUUGAUUAAUAAAAUAGGAGAAACCCCAUGGCCCAUUAGGCAGGCGGAUUAAACGCUUAUCUUUGCACCAAUUGGAAGGGGUAGACAAAACCAAAUCCAUAAACCUACCAAAAGAGGAAAAAGAAUCUCUUAACAGACGACGGUUGUGCUUGCACCAAAGUCCUAAAGAAGCAGUAUUCUUUUUUUCUUUGAAAGGAAACAAGUCUCUUUAUUGAUAAAUUGAGUGAGACUAAUGCUUAAAAUAUAAGAGAAUUAUACAAAGAGUAAUAAUAAAGACCUAAGGACCAGUAGCCGCAACUAGACAUCUUAACUAGGUUGACAUCCCCUUGGGGCCCUCAUCAUAUCCUACAAACAAACUUCAAAAGGUACACAAUUGAAGCUAAUAAGACAACCUUUACAAGAAAAAGACUAAAAGAACUUAAUCUUACAAUCUACAGCCUCACAAAGGUUACAACAUAAUACAUAGAGAACCAACUAAAGAGAACAAAAAGAUAAAACAAGCUCAUAUCAAGAACAGUUAACCUGGAGAGAUAAAAGCGCUCCAAUUUAAGUAAAUCUCUUGAAUGCUGUAACUUUCAAAAGGCCUAGAAAAGGAGCACAACGAGGAGGUGUUUUUGCAGGCAACUUCAAAACGAUCCAAUCAUCCAAGGGAUUUAUCAUGAAACACCCUUUCGUUACUUUCAAACCAUAUUAUUAAACCAUCAAUUCAUUCAAAAGCUUAAGCUGGUGGUUGAAGGCAAAUUUAAUUAUAUAUCAUCAACACUCCCCCUCACUUGUGGGCUUGAAAUAUUUGAAAGGCCUAACAAGUGGAAUCAAUUUUACCUCACUUGUGGGCUAGAAAUAUUUGAAAGGCCCAAGUGGAAAUCAAUUUUAAUUGGGAGGAAACGACAAUGCAGGGGCUUGAACGUAGGACCUGACCAGCUGCUCUGAUACCAUAUUAAACCACCAAUUCAUCCAAAAGCUUAAGCUAGUAGUUGAAGGAAAAUUUAAUUAUAUAUCACCAAUACAUAUAUCUGCCAAUAAGGACUUUAUCGCAUUUAACCAAUGCAACCAAGAGGUUUUGUUUAAAGACACCCUGUGUAUUUCCUUGAAAAUCAACACCAAACACCCAAUAAAAAUUGAAUAACAAGAACUUCUCCCAACAACGAGAUGAAUAUGGUCCUCUCCAUGCUGAUGGCAUAAUGGGCAAUAGAGGGAGAAAGGCGGCCAUAGGAAGUUUUUUUUUUCUAAAAAGGAAACAAGCCUCUUCAUUAAGUAAAUGAAUAGACAAAGUAAUGUUUAAGUAUAAUGAAGAGACGAGAUCAAAGCCGAUAAAAUCAAUAAGUGCAUGCGAACAUCUCAACUACGUUUACACCCCUUAGCACUCUCAUCAUAGGUGUCAUUUUACAUAAAACCCUACAAAAUGGUUUGUACUCAAAGUCCGAGUGCCGAGUACAACAAAUUAUCCAUUGGGGAAGAGGGAGAUAAAUGAGUUGUGAGGGACUUUGCUGAAAAUGUCUCAUUGCCUUUCAAAGACCAUAAUAUUCUAUCAAAAGCAUUUGUGACUUUCCUUGCUGAAAUUCUACCGAGCAUUUCCUGAAAAUGAAGUAUCUCUUCUUUAACAAGCGACGAAACAUAAUUGACCAAGAGGCCACGGAAAUGUCCCAAUGAUUAGCCACCAACCUUUUUGGAUGUAAAGCUACACUAAGAAGUCUCAGGAACAAAAUGUUAAAAGGGACCUCACCCUCCCAAGCGUCUAAUCAUAAACCAAUCCAAUGGCCACUUCCCAACUUGUAUGUAGCCAGAACAUCCAUUUUCAGUAAAUUUCAGGAUAUGCUGAUCCAUGGGCUUCUUAAACUCUUUCCAAACUUUUCCAUGUAUACUUCAGUUCUAACCACCUUACACCAAGGAGAAACCUCUUCUUCAAUAUAUCUCCACCUCCAUUUGGCUAGAAGGCCUAAACUUUUUGCCUUUAAACCACCCCAAGAUCUCCACCAAUUAAGGAUCUAUUGAUUGUUUUCCACUUUACCAAGUGAUUGAUCUUACUUCCCUUAUAACUCUCCCAAAAGAAAUUUCGUAAUAACCCUUACAAGGUUGAUAUCACUCCUUCAGGCAUUAAAAAGGUUAAGAUAAAGUAAGUGGGGAGAUUAGAUAAAACUAAUUUGCAUAAAGUGGCCCUUCCUCCUCGAGAUAGAUUAAAUCUUUUCCACUUCUCUUGUUUGACAUGAAUUUUAUCGAUCAUCGGCUGCCAAAAUGAGGCUUGCUAUGGGGAGAUGAUCAGCCUGACAUCCCAAUCUUGAAACAGUUGACAGCAAUUCAUUCCCAUCCACAUUGACACUACACAAAGCCAAUUUGUCCCAAUUUACUUUCUGUCCGGAACAUCAUUCAAACGACUCAAUGGUCGUGCUUUAAUUUAAAGAGCAUGUUGCUGUUGUACUUACAAAACAAAAGGGUAUCAUCCGCGAACUUGAGUAUGGAAACAUGAAUAUUUUCUUUUCCAACCACAAAACCUUCGAAAAGACCAAUCUGAUGCAGCUUAACCACUAAAGCACUCAAGACUAUACUGACUAGGAGGAAUAGGAAUGGUGAGAGAGAGUCACCUUGUUUAGUGCCUCCUUUUUUUAAACGGAGACAAGCCUCCUUAUUAAUAAUAAAUGACAUUAAUGCACAGAGUACAAGAGUAUUAUAUUAAGAGCAAAAUAAGAAAAAGACAAUCAUCCAAAAAAACUAAACAAAGAUGAACCCAGGCAAUACAAAAUGGAAAACGGCCAACAAACGAUCACAAAGAAGAAACAAAUGAAAGAACCAAAGCAAACAGAGUUGAGACAUCAGUGAAGAGGUUAAUACAAAGAAAAUAUGAACACUUUGAUGAAAAGCGCCCACUUCAGACUGAAAUUUUGAAUUUCACAUGCUUCAAUUUGAAAGGGGAAGGUAAAACCAAGAAGAGGCAGUCGGUGGCUUCAAAACUAUCCAACCCAAAUAGUUUUUCAUAGAUCUUUGGCCUCCACUGAUAAUCAUGAUGACAAAGACAAAACAUCCAAAAAGCUAAACUUUUAAGCUAACAGCAUCAAUAAAAAAAAUUGUUCUUUCUUGAAUACAAAAGAACUAACUAAUUUAGAAUUAAGUGUUCAAGAGACUUGAUCCCAAUCACUUUAUCUUUAACCUUCAAACCUAACAAAGUACCUGAUCAUUGGACCAAAAGGUGACUGAAAUCAGAUCUCAAACAAAAACUAAUUUGCAUUUUACUACUGACUUUAAAUGAACGGGAAUUUCACAAUGCUUAGGUUGAGAGGGGUUUCUAGAGGUUUGAUUUCCAUCAUUCAAACCUUCUUCGUUCUGAAACAAGUCUGUUGAGAUCAAUUCCUAAGGGGUCCUUCAAAGAAAGGUCCUCUAACUCAUUUAGCUUCCCCAAAUGAUCAUCUUCGACGCUGCUCACACUAAAAGAUGAGUCAAAAUCUGAAUCACAUUUCCUUAGAGAUGGAAGGCCUGAAGUUUGGCAAGGGGAACCUCUAAAAAAUUUUACUUUUGAGGAAGGUAGGGAAAAAAUAGAAUAUUUAAAAUGUGGAAAGCUGGAUCUCUGAGGAGCUGAUCCGAUUGAAAGAGAAGAAGCUAGGAUUCGUGUACAAUUAACCACCAAAGAAUAAGGGUUUCUAUUUAAAAUCAAACCUAUCCUUAAGGAACUCUUUUUUGAAUUUAGGAUAUCUGCCCUAACUAAAGAUGAAGAAGCUUGGCCUUGAGUGUCUUUUACCUUUAAAAAAUCAGAAUUUUGAGGAAUUUGGGAUGACAAAAUCUUUGUCUUUACGAGUCUUUUUUAAGAGAUCCUUUGGCCUCCUAACAAAAUGCUUGGGAGAUUUCUUAAAAGGAAGCAGAAGUUUCUUUGAUUUUUUAUGCUUUUUGGAAGUACCUCUUUGACCGAAACUAGCCGAAGACACUUGAGAUUAAGAAGGUAAAUAUGCAGAUGAAGAGAAGAGGCUUGAGGAUUUUUUAGAAGGAGAUGCAAUGGGCAAUGACUCAGCCUUUGCAGAAGGGGCAACCGAUGCUGAAGACACAGGAGAGAGGGACCUUCUAACGGCUGAAUUUGGAGAGACAGAGUUCUGGAAAUUAGUCGAUUGGACUAAAUCAAAGGAGUUAGGCUGAAAGACUCUUGGGUUCUCAAUGGGCAAUAAAGAGGGAGCAGCCAGAGAAUUCUCUUUCCUCUUUAGAUGCACCCCUUUCAGCUUUCGCUUCAUUGUUCCUUCCAAAAAUGAAAGGGUUGUAGGUUAAACUAUUGUCUUAGUGGGCUUUACAGCUGUAUGGGCAUUGAUUAUGCCUUUUGGAGGGGAGGAAUCAAUGCUCAACUACCCCAAUGGCUGAUUGAUUUCCUUAGUAGUGUCAGGCGGCUGCACCAAAGAAUCCAACCCUUCUUUAGGAUUGCAAGACAUUGAUUGGCUUUCCCCAAUUAAAAAAACCGAGGAGUCCAAUACAGCUUUCUCUCUCUUCUUUAACUGAUCUUUUCGAAUUCCAGCAGAGAAUUCACAAUAACCUUUGAGUUUACCUUCUUUGGCUUCAGUUGAGAAAAUUUAGGCUUGUGAAGUUUCAACUAGUUGAAUUUAUUUUACUGGAUAAAUGGAUUUCUGGUUUACUGUGCACAAAUCCUCUCUUGCAGGAGAAACUCAAACUGACCAUUUAAUGAAUCACAUUCAACCCCUUCAUCCUUCAGAACUUGAUUUAAUCUAACAACAUCCACCAGAUUUCAAAAAUCAUAAGAAAAUACAUCACCUUUGAUUUUACUGGGUGGAUUGACUACAGAAAUAUCACCGAAGUUCAGAAAAAUAUUUCCUCUUUUCUCUUUAACUUGAAUUUUAGCUUCUGAUACAUUAACAAAAUUCAAAAUUUCCAGGGAUAUGUCUAAUAAGCCCCAAAAGUAGACCCCAAAAGUUUCAAAAGUUUGAAUAUUCCAGUAGUCUAGAGGUAAGUUUUUAAUUGAGAUCAAUCCACCAUAUCUUCUUGAGUACAAAGGUCUGCUAUGAAUUAACUUGUGCCAUUUUCCAAAUCUUAAGUGGAAGGCACCAAAUAUUCUGCCAUUUCCUAGGUUGCUCUAUCACUUCAUCCAAAAAUCGUUGAUCAAUAUCAAUUAGAGCUUUCUCUGCAAACAAUAGAUUGAUGGUGACAUCCCAUUGGAAGGCAGUUUAUAAACUUUCAUUAAUCUCGAACCAGCUAUUGAACUCAAAAAAACGUGUGACAACCCAAAGAUUGUUGAAAUCUGUUCGGAAGACCUUUGGAUUCUUAAUAACCCAUUGAUGGUGAUUGCUCUGUUUUUCCAUGUUCAUAACAGGGGAGACCUUAUUCUGCUUAAAUUUGUCCGCAUAAAUAAUCCUCUUCUCAUCUUACAGACGGCCAAAAACUUCAGGGUGACUGCUUUUCCGCUUGCUCUGUGCUGAAAACCAUGUUGAAUAAUCAUGCUUGGAUUUGAAGCUUUCCAACAUUUUUAGAAACGUUCGCCAUCCUUUUUUCCUUGCCCAAUAGAAUAUGUAGGAUGGUUUUCCUCCUGUUCUAGGCCAUAAGUUGCAUCUUAAAACCCACCUUUUCUCCACUCUGAACUUUGAGGCUUUCAGUUAUGCCAUUUUCAACUCUUCCUUUCUUGUAAAAGUACUGCUUUUCUGAUUGUUGACAUAGAUCUUCAAUAGCCUCUUGGAACCAGCAGAGUUGGGAGCUUGAUAAAGGUAGUGUUUUUUUUGCUUCCACUUUUUCAACUUGGAAUAACUCAUUCUCGAACCAAAUACUGUAGGAAGAGUCUAGAAUUCUGCAUCUUUCCACCUCCAUUCCUAACUUAGACGCUGGAAAACUGAAAUCUAAGGGAGUCGUAAGGGGAAGAGGACGGGGGGAGAGAGAACAGAGAACAGAGAACUUAACUAAAUUACUCUAAUACCAUCUUAAACCACUGAUUUACCCCCUUAUUCUUGGUAUUAGGUAAUCCAAUCUUUUCAAGUUCAUAAUUCCCGCCCUUCUUAUCCUGCCUAAUUCCUUUUGAUCUAGAAUUCUUCCCCUCGGUCUACCAUUGAUGAAGACAAAAUAUCUAGGGUUUUUAACAGAACCCAUUAUCCAAUCAAUCCAUUUUUGCUCAAAAAUUUUGUUCCGGAGAACUUUCUCGUAUUCUAACUUGAGGAUCUAACCUUUCUUCUUUUUGGCCUGAUAUUCCUCAACCACGUCAUUAGCAAUUAAAAUUGGAUCCAUUGUUUGUCUUCCUUUAAUAAAUGAGCUUGAAUAUUCUUGGCUAAGAUUGUAAUUGUUCAAGUCGCUAUUAUGUAACUCAUGGGUUUCUUUUGGAUUUGGAUGUGAUGAUGGUGCUAAGGGGGUGUCAACCUAGUUGAGAUGCUCAAGUGCACCUCCUCUUCCGUAGCUUUAUGCUUGUUGUUUCCAAAGUACUUUGAGCAUUAUUCUCAUAUCAUUAUCUUAACAACGAGCUUGUUUCUUGUUAAUAAAAAGAUGAGCUUUGAAUCAAAGCAAUAUGGACGGCAUGACUUUCAUCAGUCUCUCGGCCAGCACCUUUGCAAUUUUACCUUGACAAGGUGGUUUGGCUGAUUGGUGUAAAAUCUUUAAUUAACACAGCAUUCUUCUUUCUCUGAAUUAGACAUAUGAAAUUUUCCAGCACACAUGCAUUUAGCCUUCCAUUUUUGUAAAACUUCUUGAAUAAAGUAAAGAAGUUUGACUUCAAUAGAAAUUCAGCUGCAAAGCCAUCAGGGCCUGGAGCUUUACACUUACCAAGAUUCUUGAUGGCUCUGUUUGAGAAAUCUCUCAACAUUUCAGAGAACGACAGUGAAAAAGAUGUCUUUUGCCGAAUAUUUAGACAAUCAAAUGAGUCAAGUGAAAUAAUUAAUCUUUCAUCACUACUUUCCAUUAUUUUUUAAUUUUACAAACAUAUGUAUAAAGAUAUCUUUUGCCAAAUAUUUUCACUUAUUUCUUCAUAUUUUUUUAAAGAACUAUCUUGCCUAACAAAAUUUCUAAAUUAAAAUUGUCUUUACAUUUAAAAAUAGAAAAAGAAAAUGGAUGAGACUAGGCAAACAAACUUUCAGUCACACUCGGAAGAAUCAAGAAUGUCUACGUUUCUUAUAUCUUAAGGCAUUAGGUGACAAUCCGUUAUUUUACAAUCAAAGUUUGAGCGCUUUGAACAUUAGCUUCACUCAUAUUAAGCAAGCAUGCAACUAGAGGCUUGAAUCCAAAACCAUGGCUAAUCAAGGUUCCAAACCUUUAACAUUAUCAUGAAGGUUUCCUUUUAUGGUUGUCACUGAAAAUCUAGGUAAGCCAUAAAAAAAUAAGAAAAAAAGGAAAAAGAAAAGUGGAAGACAACUAUGGCUCUGACAAGAAGACAAGUCCUCAACUAUCAUGAAUUGGAGUUUAAGUGUCAAUAUAAGGUGAAAUAAGCCCAAUGAUUCCAGAUAAAUCACCUCAACAGAUUUGAUGAAUGGUAAUGGAGCUUUCUGUCCAUGUAUGCUUAAUAUUCGAAGGGUCCAGUUAACAAAUUUCUUAUCUGUAGAAGCACAAAAAAAAUAUUGUUAAGGCAUUGCUUGAUGUACAUGUCAAAAGAAAAUAAUAAACAUCGAUUGCAUCAUUGCAAUGAAUCAGAAGGAAAGCUUUUUGUCCUUGCAGACUAGACAAUCAAAUGAUUCAAAUAACAUAAUUCUUUGUACCAAAAAACAAAUACCUUGCAAGUCACAGGAAGAAAUCAGUAUAAGAAAAAAAAAUCAAUUAUUGAACUUCAUUUCAAGAACAAUAUUAAACCGAUGAAUGCUAACAAUUUUUGGUCAUUAUGUAUUGUGUCACACUAGCAAAUCUCAGUCCUGAGGGAAGAUAGCCCCCGUUUUUAUUCCUUUUCUUCUUCUUACUUUUCUCAGUUUAAUUAAAAAAAUUAACAUUCUAAAACACGAUUUCAUAAUUUACACAAGGAUUUAUGCUCAUGGAUAAGGAAGAAGUACCGUAUUUAUUCGCUUACUCUAGAAUUAUAAAUUGUUAUCAAGUAAAAAGCAGAGGUCCAGUACAAUAACGGUCUUCCCUUGUCAAGCUUACAGAUGCAUUUUGAGCUGAUAUGUAAUGGAAUGCAAAUAAAUUUAGGAGAAGUUACCAAGACUCAAGCCUUGAGAAAGUAUAAUCUGGAAAAGAUCAAUUCUAACAAACGGGGGAAUUUGCAUAUUUAGGAUCUCCAUUACGCCUGCAAUGACCUAUGACAGAUCAGAUUGCACAAGAAAAAUAUUAAUUUAUGAUUUAGAGUUGAAAGUAUGAACAGUAGGUUAUUUAACAUAUUUAUAGAUGGUGACUUCAAAUGAGAAGUAUAGCAUGAAUACAAUUUCAUGUUUCUGGGUAUUGCAAAUGAAUGAGAAUGUGUAAAAAGGUGUUUUUCUAUUAUUUCUCUUCGAAAGAAAAGGGUUUUCUUAAAUAGAAGAAAUACCCAAUACAAAUUAGGAAAAUACAAAUAAGGAAAGAAUAAAUGUACAUAUCUUAAAUACAAUGAAAACAUUAACAAUAAAGGAAGUAAUUGUAAAACCUCCUAUCGUGCAUACUUACAAAAGAAGGGGCAAAAUGGUAAAAGCCCAAAAAGCAAAUGAUCAGGGAAUAGAAAAAGACUGUGAGAGUGGGGCCUGCGGGGAGGUCAAGAUGUUAGGAUUCUACACCCUUUCUAAUAAAAUACCCAACUAUGGCUAAACAGAGACAGCACCCUGUGAUCCUUUAUUUAUAUAUAUAGCCCAAAGUUACAGCUACAAUAAGGAAUGAAAACAAGAACAAUGAACAACAAGAACAUACCAGCACCCUCCACAAGAAGGAUACCCCUCUCCUAUCGGCUGCUGCCGCCUCCCUUUCUUAAAAGAUAACCAAAAAGAUACCUAUCCCUAUUUCUCAAUCAUUCUAUUUAUACUCACCCUCAAAUUCCUACCCAGUGGGACCCACCUGCACAUUCUUUUAUUUCCCACUCAUUCUCUCUCCUUACAUGUUGGUGAGUUUCCCUUCUUACCCUUCCUAACAUACGUAUGUAUGAUUGGGGGUCUCACACAAGACUACAUGUUGGUCAUCAUUCCAAAAUGACCAACAAGCGCAUGGGUCCAUUUCAAAUAUUGGAAAGACUCGGCCCCAAUGCUUACCGAGUAGACCUCCCAGCAAACAUGAGUAUUGGAGAAGUUGAGAAUCCCACAUUGGAAAAACCAAGAGCAUUCAUACUCCAUAUAAGAUAGGUGGGCUACUCCUCUAAUUGCCAAUUGGUUUUGAGAUGGAACCCCAUACCAUCAAAUUUAACAAUGAGAAUCAGCCCAUCUUUCAAUGUUGUCGACCUGUCACCUUACUAUGCAUCAGAUUCCUUCUCUUUAGCUCCCUAAUCUUCACUCAAGGUCGAGUUUUAUCCCAGAGGAGGGGUUUGAUGUAGAACGUCCUCCUUUCUUGAUGUUUCUUUAAGUUCUUUAGCUAAUUCUUGAGUAUCAUGAAUUACCAUUCUUGUAUGUUAGGAUUAGUUAUUCUUUAGUUAAAACUUGUGUAUCUUGAGUUACUAAUCUUGUAUCUUGAGUUAGUUAUAAAUAAACUAACUCAACUCCAAGUUAGUUCUACAAUAACUAACUUCUAACAACUCUUGUAAACUUCCCGCCUAUAAAAAGGCUUCUCCUCUCAUUAAUAAAUCAUCAUCAAAAGUAUUAUUCAUAAAAAUUCCUAAGCCCUCCUCUGGGAUAAAACUCGACCUUGAGUGAAGAUUAGGGAGCUAAAGAGAAGGAAUCUGGUGCAUAGUAAGGUGACAGGUCGACAACAUUGAAAGCUUUGCAGUUACUGCAUCAACUUCUCUCAAAAAAGUAGGGAACCCAAAAGAUGAGAUUAUGAAAGUUGAAUCAGUCACCAGCGUUAGUGCAAAAAUUGAACCAGUUGAGGAAGAAAUAAUUCAAACAGAGACAGAGAAACAAGAGGAUAGUGACUCUCUCGGUCCAAAUUGUUUUCCUCCCCAGACAAAGAAAUUUUGUGCAGGUCAGCGAGUAUCUUUCCCCCUCAAGAGUUGGUUCCAUUCUUGGCAGCAUGUGAAAUUGAAUUAAUAUAAGACAGAGGUAGCAAAGAUGGAGAUUAUAUCAUGGAACACAAGAGGAAUCAUGGGCCAAUCAAAACAAUUGGCUAUUAAAAAUCUUUUGAAGAAAGCUAAUCCAGAAAGAGUAUUGAUUCAGAAGACCAAAAGAGAAGAGAUGUCAGUUGUAUUAUAAAGGCACUAUGGAGUUCAAAAGGAAUUGGCUGGGUAUUUGUUAAAGCUAGUGGCAGAUUAGGAGGUUUACUGAUUAUGGGGGAUGAAUCUAAGCUGUUGAUUAUUGAAGUUCUGAAACGAGACUAUUCUCUUUCAGUAAAAUGCAGCACAAUCAAUAAAAAAAAACAUGUUGGAUUUCAAACAUCUAUGGACCCACACAUUAUCGAGAUAGAAACCAAAUUUGGCUGGAGUUCUCUCUUCUUUCAGACCUCUGUACAGGAGCUUGGUGUUUGGGAGCUAAUUUCAACAUCACUCGAAUGUUACAAGAGAGAUUUCCAGUAGAAAGAUUAACAAGGGGAAUGAGAAAAUUUAAUAAAUUCAUUAGAGAGGCAAAGCUGCUAGAAAUUCCAUCAUCCAACAGCAAAUUCACAUGAUCAAGAGAAGGAAGGUCAGAUUCACGUUCUCUGCUAGAUCGAUUUCUAAUAACUGCUGAUUGGGAUGAAUCCUUCGUCGAUACCAAAGCCUCCCAAAAAGAAAGACUCGCUUCAGAUCAUUUCCCCAUCUUAUUAGAAGUCAGUGCUUUUGAAUAGGGCGCCUCUCCAUUUCGCUUUUGCAACAGUUAGGUUGCUUGAUAAGCAGUGCUGCCAAAUUAUAAAAAAUUCCUUGACCUCCAUAAAUUAUCGAGGAUGGGCUGGUUUUGUCAUUUAUUCAAAACUUCGAAGUUUAAAAAGCACCAUGAUAUCUUGGCAUGUGGAAGGUGAAAGAGCCAGAAAAAAUGAGGAAGAAUCUUUGCUUCAAGCUCUUGCAAAUGAAGAAAUUAAGGAAGAAUCUUUGAAUAUAUCAUCCUUAGACAACAUUCUGAAAUUGUAUAUUAAAUCAGACCUAGAAAUUUAUAGGAGAGAGGAAAGAGAUUUAAUUCAUAAAAGUAAGCUGAAUUAGUUAAAACUGGGAGAUGAAAGUUCUAGAUUCUUCCAUCGCUUCCUUGCUGCCAAAACAAGACGUAGCUUGAUUUCAGAGUUGAUUGAUGACCAAGGUACUCCUACAGUCUCCUUUAAUGGAAUUGAAGGUUUCUCCAUUGAAUCCUACAAGUAGCUACACAAAAUCCCCUCAUGCUGGAUCUCUUCCUAAUCCUCUUGAAUGGUCAGUGGUUUCGGCAGAACAAAAUACAAGACUCUAUUCAAGAUUCAGUCAGUCCGAGAUAAAAUCUGCACUUCAAUUACUGGAAAAGAUAAGGCCCCUGGACCAGAUGGCUUUACAGCUGAAUUUUUAAUCAGAUUUUGGGAUCAUUUCAAAGAUAAUUGCCUUACUCUCUUUAAUGAGUUUUAUGAGAAUGGGAGGUUAAAUGCAUGUGUAAAAGAGAACUUCAUUUGUUUAAUCAGGAAGAAAGAAGAUGCAGUAAGGAUAAAAGACUUUAGACCAAUAAGUCUUACAACAUUAAUUUAUAAGUUGUUUGCAAAGGUUCUCGCAGAAAGAUUAAAGAAAGCAAUGUCAGUUAUUAUUGCUCCAUCACAAUGUGGCUUUCUAGAAGGGCGCAAAAUCUUGGACCCUAUUUUAAUAGCAAACGAAGCUGUGGAGGACUAUAGAAUCCGAAAAAAGAAAGGAUGGAUCAUUAAAUUAGACCUUGGAAAGGCCUUCGACAGAGUGGAUUUGGAAUUUUUAGAAAAAGUAAUGAAAGAGAAGAACUUCAACGCAGAAUAGUGUUAUAUUGGCCAGCCUUUACAGCCUCCCCACCUUGAAGUUCUUGAUCAUCCGGACUCCCGGAUCAGCCCUCUGCUUCAGACAGUUUUUUGCUCAAUCAAUCAAGGCUUAUUCUUCUUAUUCUUCUUUGUUCUUGGCCUGCUACCUUCGAUUUAUGAUUUUGCUUUGGACAGAUUAUUUUUAUCAUUUUGUUUGGCUUUUUGUUUGAUCUUGUAUUGUCGCUUUUUGGAUGUGUUGAGGGCGCUAAGGAGGUGUCAACCUAGUUGAGAUGUCUGGGUGCACCUGCUGAUCCUCCCUCCCCUCUAUUGCUCUUUGUAUGAUCAUAAAGAAAUGGUGUAUUUGACUAUAACUUAUUUCUUAUCUAAGUUCAUUUUGGAGCCUAGAUCUUUUGGAGGUAAUUAAGUUUGGCAAAACGAUUUCCAGCCGUCAGUAUGACUUGCGAAAGAAGAAGUUGUUUGGCUGUUUAACAAAAAGUAGUUUUCUGGAACUUCUUUCUCAAGAAAUCUUGAAGGUUAAAGAAGUGAGUGAAUUUCAUAUUCCUUUGGGGCUUGAGUAACACUGGAAAGUGGAAAGAAAGGGUUAUAAUUGAUCAAAGAUAGUGGUCGUUGAAUCCUGUUGGAAAUUUGUUGAGUUGUUUCCUUCCUCUAAAUAAAAGUUGUGAAUCUAUGUUUGGAAAUUGGUUUUUGGACACUGUUUGUCUCCUUCAGUCUACACCUAUGCUCUGCCACUAGUGACUCCUUUCAGCACCUGGUUUUGAUUGCUUUUUCUCAACUAGUUUGUAUUGUUGUCAAAUUGUGCUUGGAAAGAUUUCAGAGAUAUUUUCGGAGCAAGCUUCUUAGCAUAAGACCCCAGUGGAAUCACCACAUUUCAGUCUCUUCGUGGGGUUCUUUCUCCAAGGAUCUCGAGUUUUUCUCAGUGCAAGUUUUACGCCUAUUCGGUCACCUUGUCAAUAGUCUAUUCUAUUCUUGUCUUUGAAUUUUUAUUUCUCCGUACUUCUUUAGUUUUUGUUUUGCCUUUGGACAUUACUCCUUUGUUUUUGGUUUUAGUUUGAUUGGAUACAAUUAGGGUGCUAUGGGGUGUCAAACUAGUUGAGAUGUUCAGGUGCACCACAUGAUCCAUGGUUAUAUGCUCAUUGUAUAAUUCUUUUGUACUAUGAGCUUUUGUCUCAUUAUUAUUAUAUUAAUAUAAAGAGGUUGUCUCCUUUUCAAAAAAAAUAUAAUAAUAAAGAGAAAUCCAGCGGCGGCGGUGGAAUGCAGCUAGACACGACGGAAGUGGCUCAGACUUGGCCAGCCAACAAAAAGUAGCAAAACCCUCAAAGACCCGAGAAAAAAAGGAGCAAAAAAGAGCUAAACCUGAGCGGCAAAGGAGACCAGCAAUUCCGACGAAGAAGUGGUGGCCGGCGAGCUCUAAAGGACCGGAAACGACGAUGGAGGUCGGUGGCAGCACAAACUAGGGUUUUUUAGUUUAUUAGAAAAUGACUGUUUUUAGCGCUUCAAUGUAAUUUCUUCUUCGAUAUCAUGUAUAAAAAGAUGUUUUUCUCCUAGAAAGAAAAGGGUUUUCUUAAAUAAAAGAAAUACCCAAUAUAAAUUAGGAAAAUACAAACAAGAUAAAAAUAAAUACACAAAUAUAUCCUAAAUACAAUGAAAAUAUUAACAAUAAAGGAAAUAAUCAACAGAAAAGAAUGGUAAAAUUUAGUUCUUUACUGCGCUUGGGAAAGAAAGAAAAAAGAAAACAAUACCUUAUCAACGCGACCAUGGAUAACCAAACUUGCUUUUUUAUCCUUUGGUGUUUUCUGUCGGAGAAGGCAAACAAUAAUUUCUCAAAAUUAAAUGAUAGUUUGGCAUGAAACCUUCCGUUUAAAAUUUAUGGAUUCUUUUGAUGUAUACAUAUUUAUACAUCUCAUUUCAUAUUAAAAAUCAUAAUAAAAGAAAAGAAAAUAUGUACACAUCUUUAUGACCAUAACACUUGUAUUUAGGCCCAAAGAUAUUGGUAGCAUUUUGUUACUGUUUGCCGCCGGUUUAUAAGGCAAAACCUCCAGAGAAUUAUUCUAAAGAUACACAUGAAAUAUAAUUUAUAUAGGACAAAGAGGGAUGUUGACCAACAAAACAAGUGAUACUUUUUCCUUUGGUAUAAUAUGUGUUAUCCCAUCUAACAACUAGAGGAGGCAUGUCUCACCUUUCUAUGUCUUAAAGCUUAUCAUUUUUUGGUUUUCUAUCCACCAAGAUGUUGAUGAUGAUGAUUAUAAAUUUCAUCAAAAAAGAAAAAUAAAGAACAAGCCCUAUAUUCGCUUGAAAUAAGAGACAUACCUGAAGAUUAACAAUUAUAAUCUUUCCCCCACCACGAAGUGAUUUCAGAGGAAGGUUGCAUGCUGGAGUGAUCUGCAAGCUGCACAUAGUAAUUAUACCUAUCACCAUUAAAAAGAUCCAGAAAAUAUAAACUUACAUAGUAGGCACACAAAAUGCUUUACAGAUAACCGAAUGAUAGAACUAUACAAGCACAAUGGUACUAACUUUACCAUAGAGAAGAUUUAAACCAUAAGCUAAAAGUCCAUUUCCUCUUGAAAUCAUGUUAACAAUAUAAUAUUGUAAAUCACCUCAAAUUCCUCAAAAUACUUCAGGAAGAAGCUACUGACCGAUUGCUAGUCAGUAAGACUGCAUCCACGAGAAUAAUCUCCAAUCAUGGACUUUAGCAACAUUGUCAGAGACUAAAAUAUACAAACUCUUGUGGAUAACAGAAAACAAGACACAAGUUUCGUUUCAUCACAUGAAAAGGACAUAGAGUAUAGACACAUGCUUAUUUCGGCAAACAGAGUUGUUAGUGUUGAUUUUAUGGAAUUAAUCUAUAUUUCAUUCAUUAUUUAGUAGAGAUACAAGCCUAUAUAUAACCAUAGAGAAAUACACUUAAAGAAAUAAUAUCAAAUAUCUCCAGAAUAAUAUCGUCUAAGAAUAAUCUAAUUAUAUUAAUAGUUAGAACCAGAUUUUAUGUUUAGAAUUAGUAACCACCACAUUAACAAUCUAAUUACCUCGUCCCUAGACACAAUACAAUAUCAGCCAUCCUGCAGUGUCUCUCAGCUGGAUUCAUCUCCUUUGGAGGCAAUGCAUCCUGCAUUUAUACAGAGGUCAGAUGUCAUAAACAGUUUGUCAUGGUUUGCUAGAAACACAUUUGAAAUUUGAUUCAAUGGUUUUUCCUUUUGGUUUCCAUUGAUAGAGAUGUAAAAAUUAGUCAAACAAACACCAUAAAUCUGUUUGCACCACCUUGUAUGAAGCCUUACAGAUAUAAAGGUUGGAUCAACAUAAGUCCAAUCUACUUUUAUCAACCUUUUCAAAGCCCACUUUUAGAAUCACUUUGUUGAAGCAUAUACACUCUCCAACUGCUUCAAAAGCAGUAAAAGAGGCAUCUAAAAUAUGACAGUCCCCAUAGUUGAUAAUCAUCAGGCAUAAGAGCAGUUCUUUCUCUAGACAGUCGACUAAAUUCUUUGCUAAUCUUGCAGAAGGAAAUGACUAAGCUGAUAGGUUUCAACUUUCAAGUCAUUUCUCAGAAGCUCUUGAAUUCUUUGGAUAAGACAUGUGUAUGACUAUGAAAGAAAACUCGUGGAAUACCUGAAUUACAUUUGGUACCAGAAGGUUACAUGUUCCUUCCACAAAUCUUUUGGUCAUACUCAUACCAUAAGAGUCUGAGAGAUCUUAAGUUACCAAGAUGUUUUCCUAAUUUGCAUAUUUGUACAAAAAGUUUCCCAACCAAAACUCCCAAACAAGCUGGAAAAGGUUCCAAUGGAGGCCUAAAAAAGUGAGUCUUAAGUUAACCACCAUCAAAAGUAUAAAAAUUUUGAGAAAGAACCAACCACUUCCUCAAUUUCCAAACUGGACUUCCGUGGAAGGCCACAGUUUCAACUAGCCUUCCAUUUGCUCUAAAGUCCACAUUGCUGUGGAAGCUAAAAACACAACAGAACACAAAAAAUAAAGACUCGUUGAACUUUGCCUCUUAACACUUAUUAGUGAUAAAAAGAACAAAAAAGAAUAGGAAUAUUAAGUCAAGUGCUCUAUUAUGUCACUCUUGAGAGUUCUAAACUAGAGGAAAGAAUAUAGUACUUUCAGGAAAAAAAAAACAAACAGAAUAUCAUUAACAUGAGCACCAAAGAGAUAAGAAUUAUAACAGACUGAAAAUACUAAAACUAUCAACUAAUGGAACCAAACCUUGAAAAUGCAUAAAAUAUGAAAGGUGACCAGCUGAAUUCAUUCAUAUCUAAAAAAUACAAGAAGGCCAAUAACAAAAGUACCUCCCAGUCAAGAACUGUAUCCCUUAGUUUAGCUCCACAAUUGGCAUCAGAACAUCUCCGUGAUGUAUCCUUCAAUCCGAUAGUUUCUACUUCAAAAUCCCUCAAAUACCUUCAGAAUAUUUUAGAGUCAGAUCUCCAAUGGGUUAGGAUAAAAUAACUACUCACUCAAAAACAUGAAAGCAAUGCUGUCUGGAAGGAAGGGGAAAUAAAUAAAACAUAGUCCAAAAGCUGCAAAAACAUUAGUGACCAGAGAUAACAAUAUUCAUUUCUUGGUUAUCAGGACAAUGAUCCACCUUAGGGUUUUAAAAAGGUUAGAAAAGGGAGACCUUAUAAAAUGACCGAAUAAAAGAUUCUACUAUUUCUCUCCUCCAAAUACUACUAUAGGUGUUAUAAUACAUGUUUAUAUUUAUAUCUGUCCUUUAUUGUAAUUGUACAUACCUCGCUUAGGAUUUCUAUGUUCCCUAUAUAUGUGUCACUUUACUCUGAAUUAUAAUGAGAAUAUUUUACUCCAACAUAUUGAGUACAUGGCAUCAGAGAAUUUAGGGUUUCAAAUCUUCGUUGGACGCUCCCAUAAGGUUAGGGUUUCAAAUCUUCGUUGGACGCUCCCAUAAGGUUAGGGUUUAAGUUUACGUCAUCGAGUUCGAGAGGUCGUUUGUCGACACCAUCCACCUCACGAGGAGCGCAGCCAUUGUCUGCUUCUGCCUACCUUUGUCGUUCAUUGGAAAACAACCAUGUGAAGUUCACAUCCUCACAUGCAGCCGAUACUUUCCUACAACGUCGCCACACCUGGGAGCUUCAUUUUGUCUUCCGUCUUUUGGGUUCGUCUCGGGUACUCUUUUUCGGUCAAUUUGUUCAAUUGGUUCCAUUGCAACCUAUUCAGAUUGGAAGAAAUUUGAAGAAUACACCUUGUAUCUAGCGUUUGAUGUUGUUUCCACCGCUUGCUUUCUAAUUGAUAGAAUGUCUUCAACUGUUCUUAAUGGUGAGAUUCCUUAUCGUUUUCUUUUCCCACCAAAUCUUUGUUUCUUAUUGCUUCGAAGGUAUUUGGUUGCGUUUGUUUUGCUCAGGAUGUUUGUCCCCAUCGUACUAAGUUAGAUCCAAAAUCCUUGAAAUGCAUCUUCUUGGGUUAUUUGCAUGUUCAAAAGGGGUAUCAUUGUUACUAUCCUACUUUAACAGGUACUUGUCUCUCCUUAUGUUCAAUUCUCAAGGAUAUGCCCUUCAGUCCAUCACCAUUGAGUCCGUGUUAGGAGGAGAACAACUUUUUAUCUAUGAGAUUACCUCUCCUACUUCGUCAUCUACUUCAUCUUCCUCUGAGUCUCUUCCUUUUCAUCCAUUGAUUCCUCAAUUAUACUCCCGACACCUUCCACAACAACCUUGAGGCACAUGUGUCUUCCACUAAUGCCUUCUUCAACAUACAAUCCAGGACAAACUGAUGAUCUUCCCAUUACCCUUCGAAAAGGUAAACACCAGUGUACGUACCUUGUUUCUUCAUUUGUUUCAUAUCAUCAAUUAUCCACACCAACAUAUUCUUUUAUUACGUCCCUUGAUUCCACAUCUAUUCUUAACACCAUUCACGAAGCCUUAUCUCAUCGCAACUAGCAUAACAUAAUGAUUGGGAAGAUAACUACUUUAGAUAACACAACUACCUUUUUCUGCAACUAGGACCUUCACAUUUGAAGCCAAGUAAUCAUUCAAUCGACCAAGCUUUAAGUCAGAAGCAAAUCGGAGCAUUCAAGCCUUACCAACUUUGACUCCACGAAUGGCAUCAAAUUUGUAUGUACUCCAACAAAUCAGGUUUGUUGGAUCAGAUUUGGAUCGAUCCAACAAAUUGAGUUCAUCAUUUUUUUUAUUCGCAUCUGAAACAAAUCGGUCGGCCAAAUUCUUUCGGAUUCUUCUCAUCUAAGCAAGUUGUAUACGUAUGAGCAAGUCACCUAUUUUUUUAUUUUAUUUGGGUUAGAUUUGGAGGAUUUUUCAACAACUCAAGUUCGGGUUGGGAGUUUUCAGUGGGAUCAAGCCUGCAACUGCUAUAAUUUUUCAGGUCUGAUCCCUCCAUUCGGGCCUGGUAACCAAUUUUUUUCCAUAAUUUUUUUUUUCUUUCCUCUUCCUUUGUUCUCCAAGUAAGAACCAGAAGUAUUCCUCUACGAUAUUUACAAACCUAAUAUUUCAUGGCAUCCUUAACUUCAAACAUUAGUAAAGGGGCGAUACACCAAACUACUAAUCACAAAUUGAAUGGAAGGAAGUAUCUCCCAUGGUCACAAUCUGUUAUGAUAUUCUUUUAUUGAAAUGGAAACAAACCUCUUUACUAAUGAUAAUAAAUGACACUAAAGCUCAAAGUAUAAGAGUAUUAUACUAAGAGCAAAAGGAACUAAAGAUAAAUACAGGCUAACAUUAAAACAAAGACUAUACUUGGACAAAAUAAAUAUGAUGACAACCUAAAACCAAACCCAAACAGAAAAAUAACAAGCUACCCUAAGCCACUCAAAGACAAUACUUCAGUAGAAAGCUAAAUACAAAUAAAAACUAAACACGCUCAAAAAAAACCCACUCGAAUCUAAAAUCUUGCACACCCAAAUAUCCAAGAUGAAAAGAGAAAGGGAAUGCCAAUAGGAUGCAACCAGUUAGAAUUUGUUCCACACGCGAAGAAGAAAAAUCAUGGAAUUACAAAAGUUGGUCCAACAAUUGGGUGAACUACAUUCAACGGCUGGAGACUCAAACUAGAAUAAAUCCACAACCAACGACUAUUGACUUUAGAUGACCUGGUAUUUCACAAAACUCCAUGAAGUUCAUAUGUGGAAAAGAAAAGAAAGAUUAUCUAUCAAGCAACACUCCAAUCUCAGACCACAUUGAUCAGAAAUACAAAACAUGGAAAGCAGAAAAUAACAUGGUGAUGUCAUGACAACAAAGAUCGGUGAAGGAGUUUUGCUCUUGUCAACUGUCAGCGAAGUCUGAGAAACAACUCGUGAAACCUAUUCCGAUAAAAAAAAAUUACACAAGUAAACUAACUUGUAUGAAAAAUUGCAUUGCAAUUUUCCACUCACAUAAUUGCAUAUUUCAGGAUUUAAAUUUGAGGAAGACGAUUGGCAAUGCUAAGGAAUCCUUGGAUCUCUACGUACUAAAUGUUCUCAAGUCUAAAGUCAAGGAAUUAAGUUUUAGCAUAUCUGCUUUGAUGAUUCUGAAGACAAUUAUGAUAGUACAAUUAUGUUAUGGCAUAACUGUUUAGGACAUCCCAAUUUUCUAUAUUUUGAAAAGAAGUUUUCCAUAUAUUUUUAAUAAAAGUUCUCAAGUUUUCCAAUAUGAGUUUUGUGAAAUAGCAAAUUUGGCUUUGUUCGUGAAAUAGCAAAGAAGCUUUCCAUAAAGAAAGUUAGGCUUCGUGAGUGACUUUUCUAAAGAAAAUGACUAAGUUUUGCAAAGCUUUCUUUCAAAAGUCGAGUCAUGUUGGUGUUAUGCAAAGUAUAAUACAUGUUGUAAUGUGAUUUAUGUUUAAUAUGAAAAGCUUGACCGCUGAAAGUUUAUGUAUGAGUUAAAGUAUGUUUUUCUUGUGAUGCUUGUAUGCACCAUUAGUUUUAUUCCUAUCAUGAGCUAGCUAUUAUGUGCACAUAAGAGUAGAGGUUGUCUUGCGUUGAGUGGAUCGCUUGGUAGAAGGAUGACUGAACGUGUUGAGUCGUCUGUGUUCAAGCCUGUCGCAUAAGCAACUGGUGUUAAACGAGGGUUUGCGGUGAUACUAAUGGUGAAAUGAGUUACCACAGUGGUCUACGCCUUGAGGAAGUUCACUGUCAAGGCAAAGAGGAAUAAGUAAAGGCUAAUGUGUGCUUAAUGUUUUGGCACGAAAUGAGCCAUUGUGAAACGUUCUUGUAAAAUGGGUUUUAUGCAUGACCUCAUAUUCCCAAAAGGUUUUCCUAAAAUUGUCACUCACUAAGGAUUUGGCUUAUGUUCUAAGUUUUCCCUUCCCCAGGUAAGCGAGUCGUCAAGACCGCGUUAUGAAAAUUAAGGCGAUAUGCCAGGCAAUGAGGUGUUAAAGCAAGCGUUAAGAGUUGUGCCAGGCGUUGAGAGCCUGAAGUUUUAGAUUUAGUAUUUGUUGAAGUAUAAGCUUGUGUUUGUAAUAAGUUCUGUUGGAUUGAAUAAAAGUUGCUAAGUUCCCUCAAGUUUAAGCGUUAUCAAAGUUUAUCGCCUUGCAUACUUUUAAGUUGUUAAAAAUCCGAGUUAAGAUUAAGUUUUAAGACACGGCAUUCUGGCGUUUCACUUAGGAGUGCCAAGGCUGCCCAAGUCGCAUCCACAUUCGUAACGCGAGAAAGUAGCGUUGCGGGUGGGAGUAUGACAAUCAAUGACCUGGUAAAGCCUGAUAGAUGACCAUCAAGUUGGUAGAAGCCCAGAAUACAGCUCAGAAAGCAUUAUUAUGUUUUGGAAGGCCACGAUAAGUGUCUGAAUCACCCCAAAAGUCACGAUAAGCGAUGUAGAAGCAUUGAGGACGCGUUAUGGGGAACUCAGACGAUGAAGGGAGAUUUGACAUAGUAUUGUGAUGGUCUUGGCCUCAUAUAUGUGCAUGGUUGAGCCUCAGGACUUGGUCUAGAGUAGAGGCAGGCAGCUAGAGUCGCACAUGAGGGAAAAUACACGUACGGGCAACAUGUAUGGCCAAAUAAAAUUCAGUUGUGCAUGCAUUCAGUUCGGUUGAGAAUGAAAGAACCUCGCCUAAGGUCUGUCGAAGCUUCAAAGGGUCGAGCUAAAAGUGAAUUGGGACUUGAGUUUCCCUUAAGGCUGACCAUGAUCAAGCGUAAUGUCAUGGUGUCGCACAGUUGAAAAGUAUCGACGGUGACAUUUGGUAUCAAAGCCACUCUUUAUGAGUGGAGUUGGACAUGAUAAACAGAGAAGACCCGAUGAUUGAAUUGAAGACUUCACAAAUGUGUUGAGAGUGCCAGUUUCGCUAGGGCAGACGUGAGUUAGUAUCAGAGACAGUAACGGGUUGAAGCUAGAUUUCUUCAAUAAAGAAAAUCCUAAUGGUCAGAAAGUAAGAACCAAGCUCGUUUGCCAAGAUGUUGGGUGUUAUGUGAGCAAAAGAGAAGAACAGAAGGUAUUCUAGGUAGGAUGUCUUCAAAAAGAACCAUUACCAUCGAGAGGGAUAAUGCUAAUGGUUACAAACAAAAGAAUCGGGGGUCAGGGAGACAUAUGUAAGUUGAGUGCAAAAGUGUGCUUCAAGCGAGUCUGCAUGGGUGGAUGACAUGCCUUUACUUCCAAGAUGGGUUAUUGUCCUAUGAGAGAGCUUCCUAACAACAUGCUUUGCAUCCACUUUUUGUAGUGAAACUCCCACAACCACCUCCAUCGACUACCUUCGACAAUCAUCUCCUUCAACAUUCAACUCCACUCAACCACCAACUCCACUUGACCGACUCUAUUGGUUAUCUCCAACCAUCAACUCAAUCAAUAGUUUACUUCAUAGGAAAAUAUUUAUUAUUAGAAACUUCAAAACAAAACAAAACAAACAAAAAGACUUGGUUGGACAAAAUACUAACAUCCAAACUUAGACAAAACUCAAGUCAAUACCCCAAACAUAACUCAGAUAGAAUUGUUGAUUUUAUGGAAUUAAUCUAUAUUUCAUUAAUUACUUAAUAGAGAUACAAGCCUAUAUAUAACCAUAGAGAAAUACACUUAAGGAAAUAAUAUCAAAUAAUAUCUCCAGAAUAAUAUCUCCUAAGAAUAAUAUCUCCUAAGAAUAAUAUCUCCUAAGAAUAAUCUAAUUAUAUUAAUAAGAAUGACCCUGUAGCCCAAACACAAACAUAUGAACUUCAGACUUAAGAACUCAACCUAGCACUCCAAACAGCCCUUAAUAAAUUUCAUACAUGUGCUAUACUUCCAAACUCAAAAAACAAUUGUUAAGAAAUUGCAAUAUCAAUAUCUAAGCCCCUUAACGUAUAUUUUACAAUGAUAUCGAAAUUAUACAAGUGCAAAGCAAUUGAAGAGAAGAGAUUAAGGCAUGAAUGAGCAUUUUCAACUUUCUAUGAGAGAAGAAGAAGAAGAAGAAUAAGAGUACUAUUAUUAUUAUUAUUAUAAAAAAAUAUAUAAAAAAAAAAAAAAAGAUUUUGUGACACCCUUCCUUUUAUACACCCUAAACCCUAAACCUUUAAAGAAAACACACCCAACAAGCAAAAGGAGUUGGAAAAGGCUCUAGUUAUUUCACAUAUGAACAUAGGUAUAACUGCAAGCACUUCUAAAACAAAUACAUCAUCAAGAUUCCCUACGGACUUGGGCUGUGUUCAAAUAUUUCCUUAUUUCUUUCAACUAAAUAGCACAUGUUUUAACAGGAUACAAACUUUCUAUUGAUUAAUGAAAAGAAGUUGAGUCAUUAAAGGAUACCAUGAUCAUAGUUAGAGUAAGAAAACAAAACAUGGGGAAGACAAAAACAUCAGAGAUAAAGACGUUGAAAUAAACAAAAACACAUAAAAUAGGGACUUACUCAGCUCCACAUGAUGGACAAGUUUCCAUGAAUGAGUUCCCAUGUAAUUCAGCAAGCUUCUCUCUUGGUAUACCAGAUCGAAGAUGGAGGCCAUCAAUAUUCUAUAAUGAAAUAUCUCGGUAAGCAAGCAUUCUUAAUGUAAAGAAUGCAAGUAAAACUAUCUAACCAAGGUGUCAUCCAAAAGUAUCUACACAAGAGCGCUCUACUUGGGGAGGAAGGAUGGGGGAAAAAAAGAACUCUUGUAUUCCUUUACAACCAAAUAUUUGAAACAAUUGCAAGGGUCUAGGGUUGACCCCAAGAAUCUGCAAAGUUUUAAUUCAGCAGAUACACUGCAAAGAAAGAUGUUUUUGUGGACUUGAACCGGUCAAUUUCUAUUGUACGUUGGAGGGCCAACAAAGGCCAAAGCCAUAUAUUUUUUCAAUGGUCAUAUGCUGUGUAAAUACUAGCAUGACAGUUCAUAUUGCAACAGUUCAAUAUCAUUUGGAUCAGGAAGGUUCAAAACUGAAUUUGUAGUUUUUCUUUUUAAAAAGAGUUCAAAACUUCCAUAUUCACAAAACAGAAAGGAUAAACUGAUCGCAUAAUCUGGGAAUGAGGAAGCUUCAUUUAUACACUUGGGAGGUAUUAAAGCUGCUGUUUAAAAUCCAAUAAGAAUAUUGAUUCUCUUUGGACUUUUGGAUUUUCCACUUGCCAAAUACACCUUUUUCUUUCUUUCAUUUUCUCUUUUCUUUCUUUUGGCAAAGGAGAAAUUAAGAUAACAGCAUGAAAAGUGAUUGAAAUGAAUAUUGAUUCUCUCUGGCUGGCUAUCGUUUAUUUUUUAACAAGAAACAAGCAUCUUCAUUCGGAUAAUGAAAUGAGACUAAUCCUCAAAAUACAUAGUAAACAAAAAGGAAAUGAAAGUAACUUCGGAUCAGAGGUGCAGCUGGAUAUAUCAAUUAAGUUGACACCUCCUUAGCACUAACCACGCCUCCAUUACUAGGUGAAAUUAGAGAUCUUUGGCUGGCUAUCAUUCGUGCUUUUUUAUGGAUUCUUUGGGGAGAGCACAACAAACGGCUCUUUUGAGAUCAGUUUUCCAGUUUUGAGUUAUUUAUGGACUUGGUUAUCUCUAGUGCAAAUAUAAGCACCCUUUUAAGCAUUUUAAGUCGUUAUUAUCUUGUCUCUCAUUGGCAUUAUUUUCCGUUCCGUAAUCACCUUUGAGAGUUUGGGCUCUGGCCUUAUUUUAUUAUAUCCAUGAAAUGUUUCUAUUCCAAAAAAAAGAGUGAAGUGAUUGAAAUGAGCAUACAACCAAAUAAUCAAAUUUCCACCCCCUCAAAUCUUCAAUAUCUUUCAACUUGACCAAUUCAAAUUAAGCCAAUAAGGAGCUGAAUUCAUUGACCAAUUCCUUUGCCACAAAAAGUAGAACAAAACUAGAUUGCCUACCAUUCAUUAAGAGAAAAUGAAGAGUUGAUUUGUAGAGGGUAAGACUGUAUUAAUCUAUAUUGAGAUGUGCAAUAUAGGUCUUUUUAUAUAGAAGAGAGACCAAAUAUAAAUAAGGAAAGAGAAUAACAGUAAAAAAUAUAUGUAUUGAUAAAUAUUCCUAAAUAAUUCAAAUGCCCCCACCCCCCUGGAAACUGGUUUAAAAAAUGUAUUCCAUAGCCAAUUUGGUAAUCAAUCAAGAUAGUGCCUAGAGAGUAAUUUCUUUUAAUAAUAAUAAAAAAAAAAUAAAAAAAAAAAGACAAGAAACCUAAUAAGGGCCUAAAAAUCACUAGGCUCUCUAACGGUUAGGAAUCCAAACACGUAAAUCCUUUCUCCCACAGCUAAAAUUGAACUCCCCCAACAGAGAUAAAAAGGAGACAACAUCAAUCACUGUGUCACAGUCAAACAUCAAUUAAGAGUGAAAGAAAAGGAGACUGAGUUCCCUGACCUCUAACGGUUUUGGCAUGCAAGUCCUCAACUGAAUUUUGGCUUCUUUUGAAAGAUCAAUUAAGCUUGUUGUGUAUUUUGCAUUCUCUUGCUUGCUCGAGGUCUUGAAGUUUUUGUUCAGUUCAUUUGUUCUGUUGUAUUGAGAUUGUUCUUUUAGCCCUUUUAGUCCCUUUCGCUCUUAAUAUAUUUAUCUUGUACUUUGAGCAUUAGUUUCAUUAUUAUUAUUAUUAAUAAAGAGGCUAGAUAUUAGUAUAGUUGGCCAAAUUAGUAAAUAGCUAGUAAGUUGGUUAGGGCUUUAGUUAUAAAUAGAAAGAGUGAGUUGAGAGGAUGAGCGUGAAGUAUUUUGUGGGAUUUUCGUAGUUGGGAAUUUGGGAGGCUUGAGCCCCUCGAAAGGCUAGGGUUUAGUAGUUACCUUGUUGAUCGUUCUUAUGAUAUUAUAGCACAUUGUCAAUAUAUUUCCACAUAAUUCUAUCUUUUAGUGUUUCUUUGUUUGUUCUCGAGUGUUCUUGUGAGGAGGUAUCCAUAUAUAGUUUCACUAAAUGACUAAAAGGUCAUGGAUUCAAUCCAUGGUGGCUACCGAACUAGAAAUUAAUUUCCUAUGAGUUACCUUGGCACUCAAAUGUUGUAGGGUCAAGCGAAUUGUCCCUAAAAAGCACAUAAGCUAACCCGAACUGUCAGAAAAAAGAAAGCUAUCCAUGGUUGGCAGUCGUAGACUUGUGUAUAGUAUUGUUGCAUCUAGAUUAAAAUAUUAGUCAUUUAAAUCCUUUCUUUUUAUAAUUUGUUUCCUUAGUUGGGCUUCUCUUGUAAUUUUUUCUUUUCUUUUUUUUUUUUGGAAAAAGGAAACCAACCUCUUCAUUAAGAAAAUGAAUAGACAUUACAAAGAAUGCAAAUAGGAGACAAGGUCAAAGCCCUCAGGAUUAGCAAGUGCACCCAGACAUCUCAACUAGGUUGACACCCCCUUAGAACUCUCAUCGUAUCCGAACUUGGACCAAAAGGUAAACCUAAAAUUAAAUCAGAAAUAGAAAUUCUCAUAUGUUUAUAUUUAAUUUUACCCAUUAUUGGGUCAAUUUCGAAAUAAAAAUAAUAAUCUCUCCAAAAAUGGCAAGAGUUUACAACCAUCCUUCUGAACCACCCUACUCGUCAUCGACUCUAAUGUGAGGUUGCUACAAAAUCUUACAUGUUAUAGUAUAUAAUUUUUUUUUUUUAAAAGGACAAUCUCAUUUAUCAAUAAUAAAUAAGAUAAAAUGAUGUAGAACAUCCUCCUUUCUUGAUGUUUCUUUAAGUUCUUUAGUAUUUCUUUAGCUAAUUCUCAAGUAUCUUGAAUUACCAUCCUUGUAUCUUAAGAUUAGUUAUUCUUUAAUUAUUCUUGUGUAUCUUGAGUUACCAUUCUUGUAUCUUGAGUUAGUUCUAUAAUAACCAACUCAAUUCAAAGUUAGUUCUAAAAUAACCAACUUUAAUGAACUCUUGUAAACUUCCGGUCUAUAAAAGGCUUCUCCUCUCAUUAAUAAAGAUAUCAUAAAGUAUUAUUCAUAAAAUUCCUAAGCUUUACAGUAGCUGCAUCAAUUGGUAUUAGAGCGUGAUCCUAGCUCACCUUUCCCACAAAAAAAAAAAAAACUUGAAUCUUACCACUCAUAACCAUGGACGCGGAAGCCUCCUUCGACCAACGCUUGCAGUUGGAGGAACAAGUUGUCGAAGAACUUCAAAAAGGACAGUCGGAUAUAUAGUAAUCAUUAGUAGAUUUGACUAAUCUUUUUACCCGAUUUCAUGCCCAAUCUUUAGAAGAAGCAAUCUAACCCCCAAGAAACCCAAUUGCAGCAAACCAAGAAAGGCAAGAAGGACCAAGAAACCCAACUGCAAACCAAAGACAACCAAGAAAUCAAUCUGUUCACAUCCACAAUAACCGGCUAUAUGGGAACAACUUACCUAGACAUUUGUUAGACGAUUCUGACUCUUCCGAUGAAGACCGCUUGCUGAACAUUCAUCAAGAACCACAACGAGGGCUUGGUCUUCGACCAUAUUUUCAAGAAGAUCAAGAAAUACAUAUGAAAGUGGAUCUUCCUACCUUCAAUGGUCGAAUGGACAUGGAGAAGUUUCUUGAUUGGAUCAAGAAUGUAGAAAAAAAUUUCGACUAUGCCAAUACAUCCAAACACAAGGUCCGAUUAGUUGCUCUCAAACUCCAAGGUGCCGCAAGUGCUUGGUGGGAUUAAUUACAAAAUAACAGAUGACUCUUCGGUAAACAAUUAAUAAGAAGUUGGCCAAAGAUGUUACAUCUAAUGAAGAAGAGAUUCCUACCCAUCAACUACCAGCAAUUACUUUACAAUCAGUAUCAACAGUGUCACCAAGGUUCACGAAGCAUCAUAGAUUACAUAGAGGAAUUCUAUAGACUUAACGCUUGAAAUAAACUUCCAGAAACAAAACCCCAACAGAUUUCUAGGUUUAUUCAUGGUCUAAGAGAUGAAAUUAAGGAUAUUGUAAACUUACAUCCUUUAACUUCUUUCAGAUGCCAUCUCCUUGGCUUCCAAGAUUGAAGACAGUGAAGAGACCAUGAAAACCAAGACUUAUCAAAGAAAGAACAAUUAGGACAAACAGCACAGAACUAACCCAACUAGUUCAUUUAGAAACUUUCAACAAGAAAUCUCCUCCACAUCCUCACAGCCCGCUAAAAAUGAUGACAACCCACCAAAGAUAACAACCACCAAACCAGGUGAAAAUGCUACAAAAAAUAAGGUUGAUAACGUUUAUAACUGUCCUACUUUGGGUAAAUGUUUGAGGUGCGGACAACAAGGACAUCUCUCCAACGAGUGCCCUCAAAGAACUUUGACAAUUGAAGAAGAACAAGAAGUUGAUGACUCGGAUAACAACAUCUAUGAGAUCUCAACACCAGAUGAAGAAGAUCAACUAUCUUGUGUAGUUCAAAGAAUUCUUUUCACUACUACAGUUGAACAAAUACCUCAAAGGAAUUUCCUUUUUUGAACAAGAUGCUUGAACAAGAUGCACUAUUAACGGUAAAGUGUGUCAAGUUAUCAUUGAUAGCGGUAUUAAACCAUCAAUUCAUCCAAAAGCUUAAGCUGGUGGUUGAAGGCACAACUUUAAUUAUAUAUCACCAACACUCCCCCUCACUUGUGGGCUUGAAAUAUUUGAAAGGCCCAACAAGUGGAAAUUGAUUUUAGAUGGGGAGGAAACGACAAUGCAGGGGCUUGAACACAGGACCUCCCUAGACCACCUGCUCUGAUACCAUAUUAAACCACCAAUUCAUCCAAAAGCUUAAGUUGGUGGUUGAAGACAACUUUAAUUAUAUAUCACCAACAAGCGGUAGUAGUGAAAAUUUAGUGUCCAAAAAGCUAGUUUCUGCCCUAAAUUUGAAAACUGACCCACACCCGAAUCCCUAUAAGAUUAGUUGGAUAAAAAAUGGGGGAGAAGCUACUGUUAGUGAGGUUUGUACUAUUUUUUUAUCAAUAGGGCAGCACUAUAAAGACCAAAUUAUAUGUGAUUGAUAUGGAUGCUUGCCACAUCCUUCUAGGACAACCUUAGCAAUAUAACACAGAUUACAUUCAUAGAGGUAGAGCUAACACUAUUGAAUUUGAUUGGAUGAGUCAUUUGUGUAGUUCUUUUACCUAUAGGCAACUCCCCGUAACAAAACCUAACUCUAAUAAAGGAAAACAUUUUUUGUCAAUAAUCAAAGGUAAGGAGUUCCUGCCAUCAAAACCAGCACCUAUUUUAGCGUUUGUCAUUAAAGGAAACAGCACUGCACCUUCAGAAAAUCACCUACCUAGUGUAAUAUCAAACCUUCUAGAAGAAUUUCCAAAUAUCAUAGAACCAACCACUUCACUACCACCUCUUAGAAAUAUACAACACACUAUAGACUUAAUGCCCGGUAGUACCUUACCUAACCUGUCACAUUAUCGAAUGAACCCUAGGAAGUACAAAAUUACAUGAACAAAUAGAAGAACUCGUUAGCAAGGUCAUAUCUAACCUAGCCUAAGUCCUUGUGCCGUCCCAGCUUUACUUACACCAAAAAAGAUGGCAGCUGGAGACUGUGUGUGGACAGUAGAGCUAUAAACAAAAUUACAAUCAAAUAUAGGUUCCCCAUCCCUCGUUUAUCCGACCUCCUUGACCAAUUAGGUAAGGUUUCCAUCUUUCCCAAAGUAGAUCUCGGCUACCACCAAAUUAGAAUUAAACCAGGGGAUGAGUGGAGAACAGCCUUCAAAACUAAUGAAGGAUAGUUUGAAUGAUUAGUUAUGCCCUUUGGUCUCUCAAAUGCCCCUAGCUCUUUUAUGAGAUUAAUGAAUCAAAUCCUACAACCUUUUUUGAAUCAAUUCAUUGUGGUAUACUUUGAUGACAUACUCUAUAGCUCCUCUAAGGAAGACCACCUAAAACACAUCCAACUACUUUUUACGACCUUACAAGAAAAUGAGUUACAAAUUAACCUUAUAAAAUGUGAAUUUUUGUGUUAUAGCAUUCAUUUUCUUGGAUUUAUCAUAAGUUGUAAUGGUAUUUCUGUUGAUCCUAAAAUGAUUGACUAUAUUAGUUCUUGGCCUCAACCAAAAACUCCAAAAGAUAUUCAAUGCUUUUUAGGAUUAGUUUCUUUUUAUAGAAGGUUCAUAAAGAACUUCAGCACUAUUGCAGCACCUUUAACCAACUGUUUAAAGAAAGGUAGUCUCCAUUGGGGACAAAUAAAAGAAGACAGCUUCUGUCAAUUGAAAUUAGCUUUAGCUAACCCCCCUGUUUUAAAACUACCGAACUUUGAUAAACCAUUUGAAGCCACUGUAGAUGCUUCGGGUUUAGAUAUAGGAGCUGUCUUUAGUCAAGAAGGUCACCCUUUAGAGUAUUUUAGUGAAAAACUAAGUACUUCUAGACAAAAUUGGAGUACCUAUGAACAGGAACUGUAUGCCCUUGUGCAUGCUCUAAAACAAUGGGAACAUUAUCUAUUUGCUAAUACUUUUAUCUUGCUUCCUGACCACUUCUCUCUCAAAUUUCUGAAUUCCCAAAAAACAAUUAGUAGAAUGCAUGCUCGUUGGUUACAAUUCUUGCAAAGAUUCAAUUUUGUAAUUAAAAAUACUUCGGGCAAGUCUAAUAAGGUUGCUGAUGCUCUUAGCCGAAACGGUAUACUUCUCACCACACUCCAAUCUCAAAUAAUUGCCUUUGAUCAUGUUCCUACACUGUACCCUACUGACACUGAUUUUAGAAGUAUUUGGGAAACUUGCUCUAACCAUAAACCUUACAAAGAUUACCACAUUGUUAAUAACUUUCUAUUCAAAGGUGAUGUUUUGUGUGUUCCUCAUACAUCUUUAAGAGGGGAAAUAAUUAAAGAAGCACACUCUAGUAGAUUAGCGAGACAUUUUGGCUAAGACAAAACUUCGGCUGCAAUUAACUCUAAAUUCUUUUCGCCACAACGAAUGUUACUAACUUCAUCAAAAGGUGCUCUAUUUGCCAAACAGCUAAAGGUAAUUUUCAAAAUACAGGUUCGUACACUCCUUUACACUGUUUGGAAGGAAUUAUCUAUGGAUUUUGUGUUAGGCUUACCUAGAACUCAAAGGUCACGAUUCGGUUUUUGUAGUAGUAGAUCGCUUUAGUAAAAUGGCCCAUCAUCCCUUGUAAAAAAAAAUUCUGAUGCUUUGUAUUUAUUUCUCUUCGUUUUGGUUCUAUUUUAUCUUCAUUUUUUCUGUUGGUUUUCGCCUUUUUAGCUUGUUCUUUGUGUUUGUUUUGUUUUGGUCGUUUUUUCCUUGUAUUGGCUGAGGUCGUCUUUGGGUAGUUUGUUUGGUUGUUUGUUUUUACUUUUUGCUCUUUGUAUAAUUCUUUUGUACUUUGAGCUUUAGUCUCAUUUUCCUUUAUUAAUAAAAAAGCUUGUCUCCAUUUCAAAAAAAAAAAGAUAGUCAAAAAGGAGUUGCAAACUAAGAAGCACGGACACUUCAGAUUGGACAGCGUGUCCAUGUCCAACACUUGGACACUCUGAUACUUGGUGGGCACCUAUUGGAUACUUGUCCAACAAAUGUAUUAAACAUGCAUAGAACACUUAUUGAAUAGACUAUAAAGACACAUAUAUGACAAUAAUAAUAACUUUUGAGCAUGGAACACAUCAAGCUAAGUUUUUAAGCAUAUAAAUGCAUCAAUUCAUUUACUAUGAAUUUUCUUUUACUAUUAAAAUGAUAUAUAUUUUUAAAAUGAAUAUUUUAAUAAACUUGUCCUUGCUAUGUUGUGUCCUAGAUUUUUAAAAUAUGGUGUCGUAUUCGUGUCUCGUAUCCGUGUUCGUGAUUCUUAGACUGCAAAUAGAAGAAUCAUAUGUAACUAUAGGAGCUUACUACUCUUUUGUCCUCUAGUGUAAUUUACUAGUUUUUAUUUAGGGUUUCCAAGUAUGUAUAUACUGAACUCUAUUGUAGUAUAGAAUGAAGUAAGGGAGUUAUUUCAUACUUCGCUCUAA
rnacentral:lncRNA from 1 species